CCAUGUCAACAGCAUAGUCACCCUCACAACAAGACAAGCAUCUUCAUCAUAAUGUGGAAGCAACAAAGUUGGUGAUAAAAAUGAACAUGGUCACCCUCAAUAGCAUAGUCAACUACAACUGAAGCUAAAAACAUCCAUCCAACCAUUUUGCACACUAAUCUAUAUUAGGCUUGAGUUGACUUGCAGUUGGCGUUCUUGCGGCCAUACUUUUGGUUUCAAGCUAAACAAACGGCUCUUUGGGCUAUGGUGAAAAAAACUACUUGAUCUGGAAGCUAAUAAAACGAAGUUGGAAGCCGAUUUGUUUACAACGACAAGAAGUGAUACAAUAACUUGUCCAGGAUGCUACUAUGAGAGAACAGUUUGAUUUGGAAAUUGGUAAAAGGAGAAAGACGAGGAAUUUAGAAAGUACAUAUAGCUUAUUGAUUAUAAUGGAAGUCAGGAAACCGUUGAGAACUUUGAAGAACAAAUGGCUAAAAUUUAUGGAGUGGCUUUGGAUGCUAGUGAUGGUGGGGACAUGGAAGAUGCUCUUAGAAGAUGCCCUAGAUUGAAAUGCAAAGAAUAUUUCAGGGUGGAAGAUUUAGAAGAAAAAAACAGAGCUGAAGCUAGAGGUAAUUAUAGUAUGGAUGUUGAUUUGUCUUCUUCUAAUGCCUCCUUACUUCACAUGAAUGCUCUGGUGGGUAUUGAAUUGGGAUGUUCCAUUGAGAUGGUUGAUAAGAACCUUGACAUGAUUAAAAAUGGAACAUGCUAGGAAAUAUAUAUUUUCAUGCAAAACAUUGUUAAUAAUUAAGAAUACUAGUAAAACAGAAAUCACUAGCUCACCAGGUCCAAUUAACACCGGUGGUGCUGCUCUUGAUGAGUUAUGUUCUGAUAAUGAACAUUCUAAUGCCGAGAUGGAAGAAUACUACUAUAUGCAACUAAAAAAUAUUUUCUACGUUGGGAAAAUGAAGAGAGAUAGCUCCCGGAAAUAGGUUCUCUGAUGCACUUUGAUUCCAUUGAAGGGCUGAAAAAAAUCCUAAAUUAAAAGAUAAUAUGGUUAAUUUGUUUAGAAAUGGAAGGAGUUUUUUAGAGUGUGAGAGGUUUGGGGCAAGAUCUCAAAAAAUAGAUAUGUUAGGGAUGAUCAUAGAUCAUAGAUUAGAUUUUAUUGAGCUGUUGGAAGCCAUAAAACAAAAUUACUCNNNNNNNNNNNNNNNNNNNNNNNNNNNNNNNNNNNNNNNNNNNNNNNNNNNNNNNNNNNNNNNNNNNNNNNNNNNNNNNNNNNNNNNNNNNNNNNNNNNNNNNNNNNNNNNNNNNNNNNNNNNNNNNNNNNNNNNNNNNNNNNNNNNNNNNNNNNNNNNNNNNNNNNNNNNNNNNNNNNNNNNNNNNNNNNNNNNNNNNNNNNNNNNNNNNNNNNNNNNNNNNNNNNNNNNNNNNNNNNNNNNNNNNNNNNNNNNGGGGGGGGGGGUUGAAUGGCACUAGAAUCACCCUAGGGGAAGGUCUGGUGGGAUUUUAGUUGGUAUUAAUAAAGAUAUGUUUGAUCUAAUUCAGGUUGAGAGUGGAAAAUACUUUAUUAGAAUUUCGUUAUUUAAUAAACUUGCCAAAUUCAAUUGGAAUCUUAUUACUGUAUAUGCGGACGCCCAAUUGGAAGGGGAAGCUAGUUUCUUGGCUGAACUAGCUAGAUUUUAUCAUGAUAAUCCCAUAACAUGUUUGGUGGCUGGUGAUUUUAACAUAAUUAGCAAAGGUUGUGAAAAAAAAUCCAGUAAUACUGAUCACUAGAGUUUUGUCUUCAAUGCAAUUAUUGAGCAUGCUGGUUUGAGAGCGAUGUCUUUAAAUGUGAGAAAUUUCAUUUGGGCAAACAAUUUGGAGGAUUCUACUUUUGAAAACUAUACCUUCGGGGUUAGUUUUAGACUGAUACGUCUCCAACGUAUCUAUAAUUUUUGAUUGCUCCAUGCUAUAUUAUCUUCUGUUUUGGACAUUAUUGGGCUUUAUUAUACACUUUUAUAUUAUUUUUGGGACUAACCUAUUAAGCGGAGGCCCAGCCCAGAAUUGAUGUUUUUUGUCUAUUUCAGAGUUUCGCAGAAAAAGAAUAUCAAACGGAGUCCAAACGGAAUGAAACCUUCGGGAACGUGAUUUUCGGAACGAAUGUGAUCCAGAGGAUUUGGACCCUACGUCAAGAAAGCUACCAGGAAGCCACGAGGUAGGGGGCGCGCCUACCCCCUGGGCGCGCCCUCCACCCUCGUGGGCCCCAGGUUGCUCCACCGACGUACUCCUUCCUCCUAUAUAUACCUAUGUACCCCCAAACUACCAGAUACGGAGCCAAAAACCUAAUUCCACCGCCGCAACCUUCUGUACCCGUGAGAUCCCAUCUUGGGGCCUGUUCCGGAGCUCCGCCGGAGGGGGCAUCGAUCACGGAGGGCUUCUACAUCAACACCAUAGCCUCUCUGAUGAAGUGUGAGUAGUUUACCUCAGACCUUCGGGUCCAUAGCUAUUAGCUAGAUGGCUUCCUCUCUCUUUUUGGAUCUCAAUACAAUGUACUCCCCCUCUCUUGUGGAGUUCUAUUCGAUGUAAUCUUCUUUUGCGGUGUGUUUGUUGAGACCGAUGAAUUGUGGGUUUAUGAUCAAGUUUAUCUAUGAACAAUAUUUGAAUCUUCUGAAUUCUUUUAUGUAUGAUAGGUUAUCUUUGCAAGUCUCUUCGAAUUAUUAGUUUGGUUUGUCCUACUAGAUUGAUCUUUCUUGCAAUGGGAGAAGUGCUUAGCUUUGGGUUCAAUCUUGCGGUGUCCUUUCCCAGUGACAGUAGGGGCAGCAAGGCACGUAUUGUAUUGUUGCCAUCGAGGAUAACAAGAUGGGGUUUUUAUCAUAUUGCAUGAAUUUAUCCCUCUACAUCAUGUCAUCUUGCUUAAGGCGCUACUCUGUUCUUAUGAACUUAAUACUCUAGAUGCAUGCUGGAUAGCGGUCGAUGUGUGGAGUAAUAGUAGUAGAUGCAGGCAGGAGUCGGUCUACUUGUUUCGGACGUGAUGCCUAUAUACAUGAUCAUGCCUAGAUAUUCUCAUAACUAUGCUCAAUUCUGUCAAUUGCUCAACAGUAAUUUGUGCACCCACCGUAAACACUUAUGCUCUCGAGAGAAGCCACUAGUGAAACCUAUGGCCCCGGGGUCUAUUUUCCAUCAUAUUAAUCUUCCAACACUUAGCUAUUUUCAUUGCCUUUUAUUUUACUUUGCGUCUUUAUCACAAAAAUACCAAAAAUAUUAUCUUAUCAUGUCUAUCAGAUCUCACUCUCGUAAGUGACCGUGUAGGGAUUGACAACCCCUUAUCGCGUUGGUUGCAAGGAUUUAUUUGUUUGUGUAGGUGCGAGGGACUCGUGUGUAGCCUCCUACUGGAUUGAUACCUUGGUUCUCAAAAACAGAGGGAAAUACUUAUGCUACUUUGCUGCAUCACCCUUUCCUCUUCAAGGGAAAACCAACGCAGUGCUCAAGAGGUAGCAAGAAGGAUUUCUGGCGCCGUUGCCGGGGAGGUCUACGCAAAAGUCAACAUACCAAGUACCCAUCACAAAACCUUAUCUCCCGCAUUACAUUAUUUGCCAUUUGCCUCUAGUUUUCCUCUCCCCCACUUCACCCUUGCCGUUUUAUUCGCCCUCUCUUUUCUGUUCGCCUCUUUUUCGCUUGCUUCUUGUUUGCUCGUGUGUUGGAUUGCUUGGUUGUCACGAUGGCUCAAGAUAAUACCAAAUUAUGUGACUUUACCAAUACCAACAAUAACGAUUUCCUUAGCACUCCGAUUGCUCCUCUUACCGAUACUGAAUCUUGUGAAAUCAAUGCUGCUUUGUUGAAUCUUGUUAUGAAAGAUCAAUUCGCCGGCCUUCCUAGUGAAGAUGCCGCUACUCAUCUAAAUAGCUUCGUUGAUUUGUGUGAUAUGCAAAAGAAGAAAGAUGUUAACAAUGAUAUUGUUAAAUUGAAGCUAUUUCCUUUUUCGCUUAGAGAUCGUGCUAAAGCUUGGUUUUCGUCUUUGCCUAAAAAUAGUAUUGAUUCUUUGAAUAAGUGCAAAGAUGCUUUUAUCUCUAAGUAUUUUCCUCCCGCUAAGAUUAUCUCUCUUAGAAAUGAUAUUAUGAAUUUUAAGCAACUUGAUCAUGAACAUGUUGCACAAGCUUGGGAGAGGAUGAAAUUAAUGAUACGUAAUUGCCCCACGCAUGGUUUGAAUUUGUGGAUGAUUAUACAAAAAAAUUAUGCCAGAUUGAAUUUUGCUUCUAGAAAUCUUUUAGAUUCGGCCGCGGGAGGCACUUUUAUGGAAAUCACUUUAGGAGAAGCUACUAAACUCCUAGAUAAUAUUAUGGUUAAUUAUUCUCAAUGGCACACUGAAAGAUCUACUAAUAAAAAAGUGCAUGCGAUAGAAGAAAUUAAUGUUUUGAGUGGAAAGAUGGAUGAACUUAUGAAAUUAUUUGCUACUAAGAGUGUUUCUUCUGAUCCUAAUGAUAUGCCUUUGUCUACUUUGAUUGAGAAUAAUAAUGAAUCUAUGGAUGUGAAUUUUGUUGGUAGGAAUAAUUUUGGUAACAACGCGUAUAGAGGAAACUUUUGUUGGGGAACGUAGUAAUUUCAAAAAAAUUCCUACGCACACGCAAGAUCAUGGUGAUGCAUAGCAACGAGAGGGGAGAGUGUUGUCCACGUACCCUCGUAGACCGAAAGCGGAAGCGUUAACACAACGCGGUUGAUGUAGUCGUACGUCUUCACGAUCCGACCGAUCAAGUACCGAAUGCACGGCACCUCCGAGUUCAGCACACGUUCAGCUCGAUGACAUCCCUCGAACUCCGAUCCAGCCGAGUGUUGAGGGAGAGUUUCGUCACACGACGGUGUGGUGACGAUGAUGAUGUUCCACCGACACAGGGCUUUGCCUAAGCUCCGCAACGGUAUUAUCGAGGUGUAAUAUGGUGGAGGGGGGCACCGCACACGGCUAAAAUAUCGUAUAUCAAGUGUGUCUAGAGGUGCCCCCCUGCCCCCGUAUAUAAAGGAGCAAGGGGGAGGCCGGCUGCCUUGAGCGCGCCAAGGAGAAGGGGGAGUCCUCCUCCUAGUAGGAGUAGGACUCCCCUUUCCUAGUCCAACUAGGAAGAGAGGGGGGGAAGGAAAGAGAGGGAGAGGGAGAAGGAAAGAGGGGCUGCGCCCCCUCCCCUAGUCCAAUUCGGACUCCUCAUGGGAGGGGGCGCGCCACCUCCUGGCUGCUGCCCUCUCUCUCCCCUCAAGGCCCACUAAGGCCCAAUACUUCCCCGGGGGGUUCCGGUAACCCCUCCCGCACUCCGGUUUUAUCCGAAACUUCUCCGGAACACUUUCGGUGUCCGAAUAUAGUCGUCCAAUAUAUCGAUCUUUACGUCUCGGCCAUUUCGAGACUCCUCGUCAUGUCCCCGAUCUCAUCCGGGACUCCUAACUCCUUCGGUACAUCAAAACAUAUAAACUCAUAAUAUAACUGUCAUCGUAACUUUAAGCGUGCGGACCCUACGGGUUCGAGAACUAUGUAGACAUGACCGAGACACCUCUCCGGUCAAUAACCAAUAGCGGAACCUGGAUGCUCAUAUUGGUUCCACAUAUUCUACGAAGAUCUUUAUCGGUCAGACCGCAUAACAACAUACGUUGUUCCCUUUGUCAUCGGUAUGUUACUUGCCCGAGAUUCGAUCGUCGGUAUCUCGAUACCUAGUUCAAUCUCGUUACCGGCAAGUCUCUUUACUCGUUCCGUAAUACAUCAUCCCGCAACUAACUCAUUAGUCACAAUGCUUGCAAGGCUUAUAGUGAUGUGUAUUACUGAGUGGGCCCAGAGAUACCUCUCCGACACUCGGAGUGACAAAUCCUAAUCUCGAAAUACGCCAACCCAACAAGUACCUUUGGAGACACCUGUAGAGCACCUUUAUAAUCACCCAGUUACGUUGUGACGUUUGGUAGCACACAAAGUGUUCCUCCGGUAAACGGGAGUUGCAUAAUCUCAUAGUCAUAGGAACAUGUAUAAGUCAUGAAGAAAGCAAUAGCAACAUACUAAACGAUCGGGUGCUAAGCUAACGGAAUGGGUCAAGUCAAUCACGUCAUUAUCCUAAUGAGGUGAUCCCGUUAAUCAAAUGACAACUCAUGUCUAUGGCUAGGAAACAUAACCAUCUUUGAUUAACGAGCUAGUCAAGUAGAGGCAUACUAGUGACACUCUGUUUGUCUAUGUAUUCACACAUGUAUUAUGUUUCCGGUUAAUACAAUUCUAGCAUGAAUAAUAAACAUUUAUCAUGAUAUAAGAAAUAAAUAAUACUUUAUUAUUGCCUCUAGGGCAUAUUUCCUUCAACUUUAAUCCUAGGCCUUAUCCUAGUAAUUCCUCUAAUAAUUAUGGUAAUUCCUACAACAAUUCUUAUGGAAACUUUAAUAAGAUGCCCUCUGAAUUUGAGACUAGUGUUAAGGAAUUUAUGAAUUCGCAAAAGAAUUUCAAUGCUUUGCUUGAAGAAAAAUUGCUUAAAGUUGAUGAAUUGGCUAGGAACGUUGAUAGAAUUUCUCUUGAUGUUGAUUCCUUGAAACUUAGAUCUAUUCCACCUAAGCAUGAUAUCAAUGAGUCUCUCAAAGCCAUAAGAAUUUCCAUUGAUGAGUGCAAAGAAAGAACCGCUAGGAUGCGUGCUAAGAAAGAUUGCUUUAUAAAAGCGUGUUCUUCUAAUUUUUAUGAAAACAAAGAUGAAGAUCUAAAAGUUAUUGAUGUGUCCCCUGUUAAAUCUUUGUUUUGCAAUAUGAAUCUUUAUAAUGAUGGGACUGAAUAUGAUCCACCUUUACCUAAAAGGCAUUCCAGAAAUUCGGAGUUUUUAGAUCUUGAUGCUAAAAUUGAUAAAAGUGGGAUUGAAGAGAUCAAAACAUUAGAUAUUAAUGAACCCACUAUUUUGGAUUUAAAGGAAUUUAAUUAUAGCUGCUCUUUGAUAUAUUGUAUUUCCUUGUUGCAAUCCGUGCUAAAUUCUCCUCAUGCUUAUAGUCAAAAUAAAGCCUUUACUAAACAUAUCGUUGAUGCUUUGAUGCAAUCUUAUGAAGAAAAACUUGAGUUGGAAGUUUCUAUCCCUAGAAAACUUUAUGAUGAGUGGGAACCUACUAUUAAAAUUAAGAUUAAAGAUUAUGAAUGCUAUGCUUUGUGUGAUUUGGGUGCUAGUGUUUCCACGAUUCCAAAAACUUUGUGUGAUUUGCUAGGUUUCCGUGAUUUUGAUGAUUGCUCUUUAAACUUGCACCUUGCGGAUUCCACUAUUAAGAAACCUAUGGGAAGAAUUAAUGAUGUUCUUAUUGUUGCAAAUAGGAACUAUGUGCCCGUAGAUUUUAUCGUUCUUGACAUAGAUUGCAAUCCUUCAUGUCCUAUUAUUCUUGGUAGACCUUUCCUUAGAAUGAUUGGUGCAAUUAUUGAUAUGAAGGAAGGGGAUAUUAGAUUCCAAUUUCCAUUAAAGAAAGGCAUGGAACACUUCCCUAGGAAGAAAAUAAAAUCACCAUAUGAAUCUAUUAUGAGAGCCACUUGUGGAUUGCCUACCAAAGAUGGCAACACCUAGAUCUAUCCUUGCUUUUAUGCCUAGCUAGGGGCGUUAAACGAUAUCGCUUGUUGGGAGGCAACCCAAUUUUAUUUUUAGUUUUUUUGAUUUUUGCUUCUGUUUAGGAAUAAAUAUUUGUUCUAGCCUCUGGUUAGAUGUGUUUUUAUGUUUUAAUUAGUGUUUGUGCCAAGUUAAACCUAUAGGAUCUUCUUGGAUGAUAGUUAUUUGAUCUUGCAGAAAAUUCCAGAAACUUUCUGUUCACGAAAAUAAUUGUUAAAAAUCACCAGAACGUGAUAAAAUAUUGAUUCCAAUUGCUUCUGAUCAAUAAAAAAAAAUUCUAGGUCGUCCUAUUUUGGCUGAUUUUUUGGGGUUCCAGAAGUUUGCGUUAGUUACAGAUUACUACAGACUGUUCUGUUUUUGACAGAUUCUGUUUUUCGUGUGUUGUUUGCUUAUUUUGAUGAAUCUAUGGCUAGUAAAAUAGUUUAUAAACCAUAGAUAAGUUGGAAUAAAGUAGGUUUAACACCAAUAUAAAUAAAGAAUGAGUUCAUUACAUUACCUUGAAGUGGUCUUUUGUUUUCUUUCGCUAACGGAGCUCACGAGAUUUUCUGUUGAGUUUUGUGUUGUGAAGUUUUCAAAUUUUGGGUGAAAGAUUUGAUGGAUUAUGGAACAAGGAGUGGAAAGAGCCUAAUCUUGGGGAUGCCCAUGGCACCCCCAAGAUAAUAUAAGGACACCUAAAAGCCAAAGCUUGGGGAUGCCCCGGAAGGCAUCCCCUCUUUCUUCUACUUCCAUCGGUAACUUUACUUGGAGCUAUAUUUUUAUUCACCACAUGAUAUGUGUUUUGCUUGGAGUGUCUUGUAUGAUUUGAGUCUUUGCUUUUUAGUUUACCACAAUCAUCUUUUCUGUACACACCUUUUGAGAGAGACACACAUGAUUCAGAAAUUAUUAGAAUACUCUAUGUGCUUCACUUAUAUCUUUUGAGUUAUAUAGUUUUUGCUCUAGUACUUCACUUAUAUCUUUUAGAGCACGGUGGUAGAUUUGUUUUAUAGAAACUAUUGAUCUCGCAUGCUUCACUUAGAUUAUUUUGAGAGUCUUAAAUAGCAUGGUAAUUUGCUUAAAUAAUCCUAAUAUGCUAGGUAUUCAAGAUUAGUAAAAACUUUCUUAUGAGUGCGUUGAAUACUAAGAGAAGUUUGAUGCUUGAUGAUUGUUUCGAGACAUGGAGGUAGUAAUAUUAAAGCUGUGCUAGUUGAGUAGUUGUGAAUUUGAGAAAUACUUGUGUUGAAGUUUGCAAGUCCUGUAGCAUGCACGUAUGGUAAACGUUAUGUAACAAAUUUGAAACAUGAGGUGUUCUUUGAUUGUCCUCCUUAUGAGUGGCGGUCGGGGACGAGCGAUGGUCUUUUCCUACCAAUCUAUCCCCCUAGGAGCAUGCGCGUAGUGCUUGGUUUUUGAUGACUUGUAGAUUUUUGCAAUAAGUAUGUGAGUUCUUUAUGACUAAUGUUGAGUCCAUGGAUUAUACGCACUCUCACCUUUCCACCAUUGCUAGCCUCUUCGGUGCCGUGCAUUGCCCUUUCUCACAUUGAGAGUUGGUGCAAACUUCACCGGUGCAUCCAAACCCCGUGAUAUGAUCAAAACAGCCACCAUACCCACCUAUUAUGGCAUUUCCAUAGUCAUUCCGAGAUAUAUUGCCAUGCAACUUUCCACCAUUUCGUUUAUCAUGACACGUUCAUCAUUGUCAUAUUGCUUUGCAUGAUCAUGUAGUUGACAUAGUAUUUGUGGCAAAGCCACCGUUCAUAAUUCUUUCAUACAUGUCACUCUUGGUUCAUUGCAUAUCCCGGUACACCGCCGGAGGCAUUCAUAUAGAGUCAUACUUUGUUCUAGUAUCGAGUUGUAAUCAUUGAGUUGUAAAUAAAUAGAAGUGUGAUGAUCAUCAUUUUCUAGAGCAUUGUCCCAAGUGAGGAAUAAAAAAAGAGAGAAAGGCAAAAAAAAGAGAAGGCCCAAAAAAAUGAGAGAAAAAGAGAGAAGGGACAAUGUUACUAUCCUUUUACCACACUUGUGCUUCAAAGUAGCACCAUGAUCUUCAUAAUAGAGAGUCUCUUGUUUUGUCACUUUCAUAUACUAGUGGGAAUUUUUCAUUAUAGAACUUGGUUUGUAUAUUCCAACAAUGGGCCUCCUCAAGUGCCCUAGGUCUUCAUGAGCAAGCAAGUUGGAUGCACACCCACUUAGUUUCUUUUGUUGAGCUUUCAUAUAUUUAUAGCUCUAGUGCAUCCGUUGCAUGGCAAUCCCUACUCCUUGCAUUAACAUCAAUCGAUGGCAUCUCCGUAGCUCAUUGAUUAGCCUCGUUGAUGUGAGACUUUCUCCUUUUUUUUCUUCUCCACAUAACCCCCAUCAUUAUAUUCUAUUCCACCCAUAGUGCCAUAUCCAUGGCUCACGCUCAUGUAUUGCAUGAAAGUUGGAAAGGUUUGAGAUUACUAAAGUAUGAAACAAUUGCUUGGCUUGUCAUUGGGGUUGUGCAUGAUGAGAGCAUUCUUGUGUGACGAAAAUUGAGCAUGACUAAACUAUAUGCUUUGUAGGGAUGUGUUGGGAACGUAGCAGAAAUUCAAAAUUGUCUACGCAUCACCAAGAUCAAUCUAUGGAGUAAUCCAGCACCGAGGGGAAGGGGAGUGCAUCUACAUACCAUUGUAGAUCGCGAUGCGGAAGCGUUGCAAGAACGCGGAUGAAGGAGUCGUACUCGUAGCGAUUCAGAUCGCGGUUGAUUCCGAUCUAAGCGCCGAACCACGGCGCCUCCGCGUUCAACACACGUGCAGCCCGGUGACGUCUCCCACGCCUUGAUCCAGCAAGGAGAGAGGGAGAGGUUGGGGAAGACUCCGUCCAGCAGCAGCACAACGGCAUGGUGGUGAUGGAGGAGCGUGGCACUCCAGCAGGGCUUCGCCAAGCACUGCGAGAGACGAGGAGGGAGAGGGGUAGGGCUGCGCCAAGAGAGAGAUGUUCUCAUGUCUAUGGCACCCCCAAAACCCCCACUAUAUAUAGGGGAGGGGGAGGGGCUGCGCCCCCAUCUAGGGUUCCCCCCAAGGGGUGCGGCCAGCCCUAGAUGGGACUUGGAGGGGCGGCCAAGGGGGGAGAGAGGGGGGGGCACCACUAGGUGGGCCUUAGGCCCAUCUGAGCCUAGGGUUUCCCCCUUCCCCCUUCCCUGCGCCUUGGGCCCCUUGUGGGAGGCGCACCAGCCCACCUAGGGGCUGGUCCCUUCCCACACUUGGCCCACACAGCCCUCUGGGGCCGUGGCCCCACCUGGUGGACCCCCGGGACCCUCCCGGUGGUCCCGGUACGUUACCGAUAGCACCCGAAACUUUUCCGGUGACCAAAACAGGACUUCCCAUAUAUAAAUCUUUACCUCCGGACCAUUCUGGAACUCCUCGUGACGUCCGGGAUCUCAUCCGGGACUCCGAACAACAUUCGGUAACCACGUAUAUCUAUUCCCUAUAACCCUAGCAUCAUCAAACCUUAAGUGUGUAGACCCUACGGGUUCGGGAACCAUGCAGACAUGACCGAGACGUUCUCCAGUCAAUAACCAACAGCGGGAUCUGGAUACCCAUGUUGGCUCCCACAUGUUCCACGAUGAUCUCAUCGGAUGAACCACGAUGUCGGGGAUUCAAUCAAUCCCGUAUACAAUUCCCUUUGUCUACCGGUAUAGUACUUGCCCGAGAUUCGAUCAUCGGUAUCCCGAUACCUUGUUCAAUCUCGUUACCGGCAAGUCUCUUUACUCGUUCCGUAACACAUCAUCCCGUGAUCAACUCCUUGGUCACAUUGUGCACAUUAUGAUGAUGUCCUACCGAGUGGGCCCAGAGAUACCUCUCCGUUUACACGGAGUGACAAAUCCCAGUCUCGAUUCGUGCCAACCCAACAGACACUUUCGGAGAUACUGUAGUGCACCUUUAUGGCCACCCAGUUACAUUGUGACGUUUGGUACACCCAAAGCAUUCCUACGGUAUCCAGGAGUUGCACAAUCUCAUGGUCUAAGGAAAUGAUACUUGACAUUAGAAAAGCUCUUAGCAAACAAACUACACGAUCUUGUGCUAGGCUUAGGAUUGGGUCUUGUCCAUCACAUCAUUCUCCUAAUGAUGUGAUCCCGUUAUCAACGACAUCCAAUGUCCAUGGUCAGGAAACCGUAACCAUCUAUUGAUCAACGAGCUAGUCAACUAGAGGCUUACUAGGGACAUGAUGUUGUCUAUGUAUCCACACAUGUAUCUGAGUUUCCUAUCAAUACAAUUUUAGCAUGGAUAAUAAACGAUUAUCAUGAACAAGGAAAUAUAAUAAUAACCAAUUUAUUAUUGCCUCUAGGGCAUAUUUCUAAUAGGAUGAACUUUCUUUGGCCAUGUUAUUUUGAGAGGACAUAAUUGCUUAGUUAGUAUGCUCAAAGUAUUAUUAUUUUUAUGUCAAUAUUGAACUUUUAUCUUGAAUCUUUCAGAUCUGAAUAUUCAUACCACAAUUAAGAAGAAUUACAUUGAAAUUAUGCCAAGUAGCAUUCCACAUCAACAAUUCUGUUUUUAUCAUUUACCUACUCGAGGACGAGCAGGAAUUAAGCUUGGGGAUGCUUGAUACGUCUCCAACAUAUCGAUAAUUUUUGAUUGCUCCAUGCUAUAUUAUCUUCUGUUUUGGACAUUAUUGGGCUUUAUUAUACACUUUUAUAUUAUUUUUGGGACUAACCUAUUAACCGGAGGACCAGCCCAGAAUUGCUGUUUUUUGCCUAUUUCAGAGUUUCGCGGAAAAAGAAUAUCAAACGGAGUCCAAACGGAAUGAAACCUUCGGGAACGUGAUUUUCGGAACGAACAUGAUCCAUAGGACUUGGACCCUACGUCAAGAAAGCUACCAGGAAGCCACGAGGUAGGGGGCGCGCCUACCCCCCUGGGCGCGCCCUCCACCCUCGUGGCCCCCACGUUGCUCCACCGACGUACUCCUUCCUCCUAUAUAUACCUACGUACCACCAAACUACCAGAUACGGAGCCAAAAACCUAAUUCCACCGCCGCAACCUUCUGUACCCAUGAGAUACCAUCUUGGGGCCUGUUCCGGAGCUCCGCCGGAUGGGGCAUCGAUCACGGAGGGCUUCUACAUCAACACCAUAGCCUCUCUGAUGAAGUGUGAGUAGUUUAGCUCAGACCUUCGGGUCCAUAGUUAUUAGCUAGAUGGCUUCCUCUCUCUUUUUAGAUCUCAAUACAAUGUUCUCCCCCUCUCUUGUGGAGAUCUAUUCGAUGUAAUCUUCUUUUGCGGUGUGUUUGUUGAGACCGAUGAAUUGUGGGUUUAUGAUCAAGUUUAUCUAUGAACAAUAUUUGAAUCUUCUGAAUUCUUUUAUGUAUGAUUGGUUAUCUUUGCAAGUCUCUUCGAAUUAUCAGUUUGGUUUGGCCUACUAGAUUGAUCUUUCUUGCAAUGGGAGAAGUGCUUAGCUUUGGGUUCAAUCUUGCGGUGUCCUUUCCCAGUGACAGUAGGGACAGCAAGGCACGUAUUGUAUUGUUGCCAUCGAGGAUAACAAGAUGGGGUUUGUAUCAUAUUGCAUGAGUUUAUCCCUCUACAUCAUGUCAUCUUGCUUAAAGCGUUACUCUGUUCUUAUGAACUUAAUACUCUAGAUGCAUGCUGGAUAGUGGUCGAUGUGUGGAGUAAUAGUAGUAGAUGCAGGCAGGAGUCGGUCUACUUGUUUCGGACCUGAUGCCUAUAUACAUGAUCAUGCCUUGAUAUUCUCAUAACUAUGCUCAAUUCUGUCAAUUGCUCAACAGUAAUUUGUUCACCCACCGUAAACACUUAUGCUCUCGAGAGAAGCCACUAGUGAAACCUAUGGCCCCCGGGUCUAUUUUCCAUCAUAUUAAUCUUCCAACACUUAGCUAUUUUCGUUGCCUUUUAUUUUACUUUGCAUCUUUUUCACAAAAAUACCAAAAAUAUUAUCUUAUCAUAUCUAUCAGAUCUCACUCUCGUAAGUGACCGUGUAGGGAUUGACAACCCCUUAUCAUGUUGGUUGCAAGGAUUUAUUUGUUUGUGUAGGUGCGAGGGACUCAUGUGUAGCCUCCUACUGGAUUGAUACCUUGGUUCUCAAAAACUGAGGGAAAUACUUAUGCUACUUUGCUGCAUCGCCCUUUCCUCUUCAAGGGAAAAACAACGCAGUGCUCAAGAGGUAGCAUAGACCUGAAUAAUUGUUAUUUGGUGCCGCCGUUGAGCAUGAACAUUAUAUCUAGAUCUUGGUUGAUGCGAGACGGUCAUUCAUUUAAAUCAGAGAAUACUGGUUGUUCUAUUUAUAUGAGUAAUAUCUUUUAUGGUCAUGCACCCUUGAAGAGAGGUCUAUUUUUGGAAUCUCGAUCGUGGUGAUACACAUAUUCAUAAUAUUGAUGCGAAAAUAUGCAAAGUUGAUAAUGAUAGUGCAACAUAUUUAUGGCACUGCCGUUUAGGUCAUAUUGGUGUAGAGCGCAUGAGGAAACUCCAUGCAGAUGGACUUUUGGAAUCACUUGAUUAUGAAUCAUUUGAUGCUUGCGAACCAUGCCUCAUGGGCAAGAUGACUAAGACUCCGUUCUCCGGAACAAUGGAGCGAGCUACUGACUUAUUGGAAAUAAUACAUACCGAUGUAUGCGGUCCGAUGAGUGUUGAGGCUCGUGGCGGGUAUCGUUAUUUUCUGACCUUCACAGAUGAUUUGAGCUGAUAUGGGUAUAUCUACUUAAUGAAACACAAGUCUGAAACAUUUGAAAAGUUCAAAGAAUUUCAGAGUGAAGUAGAAAAUCAUCAUAACAAGAAAAUAAAGUUUCUGCGAUUUGAUCGCGGAGGCGAAUAUUUGAGUUACGAGUUUGGUCUUCAUUUAAAACAAUGUGGAAUAGUUUCGCAACUCACGCCACCUGGAACACCAUAGCAUAAUGGUGUGUCCAAAUGUCGUAACCGUACUUUAUUAGAUAUGGUGCGAUCCAUGAUGUCUCUUACCGAUUUACCACUACCUUGUGGAGUUAUGCAUUAGAGAUAGCUGCAUUCCCGUUAAAUAGGGCACCAUCUAAAUCCAUUGAGACGACACCGUAUGAACUAUGUUUGGCAAGAAACCUAAGUUGUCGUUUCUUAAAGUUUGGGGUUGCGAUGCUUACGUGAAAAAGCUUCAGCCUGAUAAGCUCGAACCCAAAUUGAAGAAGUGCGUCUUCAUAGGAUACCCAAAAGAAACUAUUGGGUACACCUUCUAUCACAGAUCCAAAGGCAAGAUAUUUGUUGCUAAGAAUAGAUCCUUUCUAGAGAAGGAGUUUCUCUCGAAAGAGUGAGUGGGAGGAAAGUAGAACUUGAUGUGGUAGUGGUACCUUCUCUCGAAUUGGAAAGUGGUUCAUCACAUAAAUCAGUUCCAGUGAUGGCUACACCAAAUAGUGAGGAAGCUAAUGAUGAUAAUCAUGAAACUUCAGAUCAAGUUACUACCGAACCUUGUAGGUCAACCAGAGUACGUUCUGCACUAGAGUGGUACGGUAAUCCUGUUCUGGAAGUCAUGUUACUAGACCAUGACAAACCUACGAACUAUGAGGAAGCGAUGAUGAGCCCAUAUUCUGCAAAAUGGCUUGAGGCCAUGAAAUCUGAGAUGGGAUCCAUGUAUGAGAACAAAGUAUGGACUUUGGUUGACUUGCCCGAUGAUCGGCAAGCCAUUGAGAAUAAAUGGAUCUUCAAGAAGAAGACUAACGCAGAUGGUAAUGUUACUAUCUACAAAGCUCGACUUGUUGCGAAAGGUUUUCGACAAGUUCAAGGAGUUGACUACGAUGAGACCUUCUCACCCAUAGCAUGCUUAAGUCCGUCCGAAUCAUGUUAGCAAUUGCCGCAUUUUAUGAUUAUGAAAUAUGGCAAAUGGACGUCAAAACUGCAUUCCUUAAUGGAUUUCUUAAAGAAGAGUUGUAUAUGAUGCAACCAGAAGGUUUUGUCAAUCCUAAAGGUGCUAACAAAGUGUGCAAGCUCCAGCGAUCCAUUUAUGGACUGGUGCAAGCAUCUCGGAGUUGGAAUAUACACUUUGAUAGUGUGAUCAAAGCUUAUGGUUUUAUACAGACUUUUGGAGAAGCCUGUAUUUACAAGAAAUUGAGUGGGAGCUCUGUAGCAUUUCUAAUAUUAUAUGUGGAUGACAUAUUGUUGAUUGGAAAUGUAAUAGAAUUUCUGGAUAGCAUAAAAGGAUACUUGAAUAAGAAUUUUUCAAUGAAAGACCUCGGUGAAGCUGCUUAUAUAUUGGGCAUCAAGAUCUAUAGAGAUAGGUCAAGAUGCUUAAUUGGACUUUCACAAAGCACAUACCUUGAUAAAGUUUUGAAGAAAUUCAAAAUGGAUCAGUCAAAAAAAGGGUUCUUGCCCGUGUUACAAGGUGUGAAGUUGAGUCAGACUCAAUGCCUGACCACUGCAGAAGAUAGAGAGAAAAUGAAAGUCAUCCCCUAUGCCUCAGCCAUAGGUUCUAUCAUGUAUGCAAUGUUGUGUACCAGACCUGAUGUGUGUCUUGCUAUAAGUUUAGCAGGGAGGUACCAAAGUAAUCCAGGAGUGGAUCACUAGACAGCGGUCAAGAACAUCCUGAAAUACCUGAAAAGGACUAAGGAUAUGUUUCUCGUUUAUGGAGGUGACAAAGAGCUUGUCGUAAAUUUUUACGUCGAUGCUAGCUUUGACCCUGAUCCGGAUGACUCUAAGUCACAGAUCGGAUACAUAUUUAUAUUGAAUGGUGGACUUGUCAGUUGGUGCAGUUCCAAGUAAAGCGUCGUGGUGAGAUCUACGUGUGAAGCGGAGUACAUAGCUACUUCGGAAGCAGCAAAUGAAGGAGUCUAGAUGAAGGAGUUCAUAUCCUAUCUAGGUGUAAUACCUAGUGCAUUGGGUCCUAUGAAAAUCUUUUGUGACAAUACUGGAGCAAUUGCCUUAGCGAAGGAAUCCAGAUUUCACAAGAGAACAAAACACAUCAAGAGACGCUUCAACUCCAUCCAUGAUCAAUUCAAGGAGGGAGACAUAGAGAUUUGCAAAAUACAUACGGAUCUGAAUGUUGCAGACCUGUUGACUAAGCCUCUUCCACCAGCAAAACAUGAUCAGCACCAAGACUCCAUGGGUGUUAGAAUCAUUACAAUGUAAUCUAGAUUAUUGACUCUAGUGCAAAUGGGAGACUGUAGGAAAUAUGCCCUAGAGGCAAUAAUAAAGUUUUUAUUCAUAUUUCCUUAUAUCAUGAUAAAUGUUUAUUAUUGAUGCUAUAAUUGUAUUAAAUGUAAACUUGAUACAUGUGUGAAUACAUAGACAAAACAAAGUGCCCCUAGUAUGCCUCUACUUGACUAGCUCGUUAAUCAAAGAUGGUUAAGUUUCCUGGCCAUAGACAUGUGUUGUCAUUUGGUGAACGGGAUCACAUCAUUAGGAGAAUGAUGUGAUGGACAAGACCCAUCCAUUAUCUUAGCAUAAUGAUCGUUAAGUUUUAUUGUUCUUGCUUUCUUCAUGACUUAUACAUAUUCCUUUGACUAUGAGAUUAUGCAACUCCCGAAUACCGGAGGAACACCUUGUGUGCUAUCAAACGUCACAACGUAACUGGGUGUAGGGAUGGCAGUUUUGCUACCCUACCCGAAAAUAGUGGGCAUGGGUGAGACUUUCUACCAGUUCAUACCCAUUGGUAAUGGGUAUCCAUACCCACAAAAUGCAUGGGUAGGGUAUGGGUGUGAAAUUAUACCCAGGGGUAACCCAAUGGAUACCCAGAAAAAUUAAUAAAAAAAUUAAACCCUAUAAUAUCUGGGUAAACCUACAGUAAUUAGCAUUGCAAGUUUACAAACAUGAUUUUUUUUUCAAAUUUACUUUGUAAUGGAGAUUAAGACAUUUGUGUGUCAAUCGUCAUUGUGAAAUUUUGAUGUAAGUGCAAACCAGAUUGUGAUGGCCGAGUACCUAACUUUAGUUUUAGGCCCUUUUCUUGUCUUACCUUUAUCAUGCCAAUGUUAUAUAUUGUACCCAUCGGAUACCCAUUGGGUACAAGAUACCCUAUGGGAGAAUGAACUAGGUAUGAAGAUACCGACGAUCGAAUCUCGGGCAAGUAACAUACCGAUGACAAAGGGAAUGACGUAUGUUGUCAUUGCGAUUUGACCGAUAAAGAUCUUCGUAGAAUAUGUAGGAACCAAUAUGAGCAUCCAGGUUCCGCGGUUGGUUAUUGAUCGGAGACAUGUCUCGGUCAUGUCUACAUAGUUCUCGAACCCGUAGGGUCCGCACGCUUAAUGUUCGAUGACGAUUUGUAUUAUGAGUUAUGUGUUUUGGUGACUGAAGGUUGUUUGGAGUCCCGGACGAGACCACAGACAUGACGAGGAGUCUCUAAAUGGUCGAGAGGUAAAGAUUGAUAUAUUGGACGAUAGUAUUCGGACACCGAAAUGGUUCCAAAGUGUUUCGGGUAUUUAUCGGAGAACCGGGAGGUUACCGGAACCCCCCGGUGAAAGUAAUGGGCCACAUGGGCCAUAGGGGAAAGAGAGGGCAGCCCACAAGGNNNNNNNNNNNNNNNNNNNNNNNNNNNNNNNNNNNNNNNNNNNNNNNNNNNNNNNNNNNNNNNNNNNNNNNNNNNNNNNNNNNNNNNNNNNNNNNNNNNNNNNNNNNNNNNNNNNNNNNNNNNNNNNNNNNNNNNNNNNNNNNNNNNNNNNNNNNNNNNNNNNNNNNNNNNNNNNNNNNNNNNNNNNNNNNNNNNNNNNNNNNNNNNNNNNNNNNNNNNNNNNNNNNNNNNNNNNNNNNNNNNNNNNNNNNNNNNNNNNNNNNNNNNNNNNNNNNNNNCGAAUUGGACAAGGGGGGGGCGCGGCCCCCCUUUCCUUCUCCCUCUCCCUCCCCUUCCCCCUUUCCCCCUUCAAAAGAAGGAAGGGGGCCGAAUAGGACUAGGAGUCCAAGUGGGUUCCCCCCACUUGGCGCUCCCCGUAGGCCGGCCUCCUCCCCUCUCCUACUUUAUAUACGGGGGUAGGGGGGCACCUCUAAGCACAUCAAUUGUUUCUUAGCCGUGUGCGGUGCCCCCCUCCACCGUUUACUCCUCCGGUCAUAUUGUUGUAGUGCUUAGGCGAAGCCCUGCGCGGAUCACUUCACCAUCACCAUCAUCACGCCGUCGUGCUGACGAAACUCUCCCUCGACACUUUGCUAGAUCAAGAGUUCGAGGGACGUCAUCGAGCUGAACGUGUGCUGAACUCGGAGGUGCCGUACGUUUGGUACUUGAUCAGUUGGAUCGCGAAGACGUUCGACUACAUCAACCGCGUUAAACUAACGCUUCCGCUUUCGGUCUACGAGGGUACAUGGACACACUCUCCCCCUCUCGUUGCUAUGCAUCUCCUAGAUAGAUCUUGCGUGAUCAUAGGAAUUUUUUUGAAAUAGCAUGCUAUGUUACCCAGCAAGAACGAGUAAAAGACUUGCCGAUAACGAGAUAGAACUAGGUAUGAAGAUACCGACAAUCGAAUCUCGGGCAAAUAACAUACCGAUGACAAAGGGAAUACAUAUGUUGUCCCUACAGUACGGCCGAUAAAGAUCUUCAUAGAAUAUGUAGGAACCAAUAUGAGCAUCCAGGUUCCGCUAUUGGUUAUUGACCAGAGAGGUCUCUCGGUCAUGUAUACAUAGUUCUCGAACCCGUAGGGUCCGCACGCUUAACGUUAGAUGACGAUUUUAUAUUAUAUGAGUAAUGUUAUUUUGUGAACAAAUGUUGUUCGGAGUCCCGGAUGAGAUCACGGACAUGACGAGGAGUGUCAAAAUGGUCGAGAGGUAAAGAUUCAUAUAUAGGACGAUGAUAUUCGAACACCGGAAGUGUUCCAGGGGUACCGGGUACAUAUCGGGUCACCGGAAAGGGUUCCGGGCAACCCCCCGGCAACUAUAUGGGCCUAAUGGGCCAAGAGGGGAAAUGCAGCAGACAACAUGGGCUGCUGCGCCCCCCAUAUAGGCCGCACCUAGAGGGGAAGUAAAGAGGGGAAGAGAGAAAGGAAGGGGAGGGAUUCGGCCUCCCCCUUCCUUCCCUCCCCCCUCCUCCUUCCUCCCCCCUCCGGAAUUUAUGGUAAGGGGGCGAAUAGGACUAGGGCCCCAAGUAGGAUUCCUCCUACUUGGGCGCCCCCUUGGCUGCUCCCUCUCCCUCCCACCUAUAUAUAUGAGGGCAGGGCACCGCUAGAACACACACCAACAAUUGUUAGCCGUGUGCGGCGCCCCCUCCACAGUUUACGCCUCCGGUCAUAUCUUCGUAGUGCUUAGGCGAAAGCCCUGCACGGAUCAUGCUACCUCUUGAGCACUGCGUUGGUUUUCCCUUGAAGAGGAAAGGGUGAUGCAGCAAAGUAGCGUAAGUAUUUCCAUCAGUUUUUGAGAACCAAGGUAUCAAUCCAGUAGGAGGCCACGCUCAAGUCCCUCGUACCUACACAAACAAAUAAGAACCUUGCAACCAACGCGAUAAAGGGGUUGGCAAUCCCUUCACGGCCACUUGCAAAAGUGAGAUCUGAUAGAGAUGAUAAGAUAAUAUUUUUGGUAUUUUUAUGAUAAAGAUUAAAAAUAAAGAUUGUAAAGUAAACAAAGAUAAAAAUAGCUUGUUGACGGGAGAUUAAUAUGAUGGAAAAUAUACCCGGGGGCCAUAGGUUUCACUAGUGGCUUCUCUCAAGAUAGCAUAAGUAUUACGGUGGGUGAACAAAUUACUGUCAAGCAAUUGAUAGAAUUGAGCAUAGUUAUGAGAAUAUCUUGGUAUGAUCAUGUAUAUAGGCAUCACGUCCGUGACAAGUAGACCGACUCCUACCUGCAUCUACUACUAUUACUCCACACAUCGACCGCUAUCCAGCAUGCAUCUAGAGUAUUAAGUUCAUAAGAACGGAGUAACGCUUUAAGCAAGAUGACAUGAUGUGGAGGGAUAAACUCAUGCAAUAUGAUGUAAACCCCAUCUUUUUAUCCUCGAUGGCAACAAUACAAUACGUGUCAUUUCCCCUACUGUCACUGGGAUCGAGCACCGCAAGAUUGAACCCAAAGCUAAGCACUUCUCCCAUUGCAAGAAAGAUCAAUCUAGUAGGCCAAACCAAACUUAUAAUUCGAAGAGACUUGCAAAGAUAAUCAACCAUACAUAAAAGAAUUCAGAGAAGAUUCAAAUAUUGUUCAUAGAUAAUCUUGAUCAUAAACCCACAAUUCAUCGGAUCUCGACAAACAGACCGCAAAAGAAGAUUACAGCAAAUAGAUCUCCAAGAGAAUCGAGGAGAACUUUGUAUUGAGAUCCAAAGAGAGAGAAGAAGCCAUCUAGCUAAUAACUAUGGACCCGAAGGUCUGAGCUAAACUACUCACACAUCAUCGGAGAGGCUAUGGUGUUGAUGUAGAAGCCCUCCGUGAUCAAUGCCCCCUUCGGCGGAGCGCCGGAAAAGGCCCCAAGAUGGGAUCUCACGGGUACAGAAGGUUGCGGCAGUGGAAUUAGGUUUUCGUGGUGCUCUUCGAUGGUUUGGGGGUACGUAGGUAUAUAUAGCAGGAAGAAGUAGGUCGGUGGAGCCACGAGGGUGGAGGACGCGCCCAGGGGGGUAGGCGCGCCCCCCUGCCUCGUGGCCUCCUCAUUGGUUGCUUGAUGUCCACUCCAAGUCCUCUGGAUCACGUUUGUUCCAAAAAUCACGCUCCCGAAGGUUCCAUUCCGUUUGGACUCCGUUUGAUAUUAUUUUUCUGCGAAACACUGAAAUAGGCAAAAAACAGCAAUUUGGGCUGGGCCUCCGGUUAAUAGGUUAGUCCCAAAAAUAAUAUAAAAGUGUAUAAAUAAGCCCACUAAACAUCCAAAACAGAAUAUAUAAUAGCAUGGAACAAUAAAAAAUUAUAGAUACGUUGGAGACGUAUCAGAUCACUUCACCAUCACUGAGGGAGUCCUGGAUUAGGGGGUCCUCGGUUGUCCGGGCUAUGUGACGUGGGUCAGACUGAUGGGCCAUGAAGAUACAAGACAGAAGACUUCCUCCCGUGUCCGGAUAGGACUCUCCUUUGCGUGGGUGGCAAGCUUGGCGUUCGGAUAUGAAGAUUCCUUCCUCUGUAAACCGACUCUAUACAACCCUAGGCCCCUCCGGUGUCUAUAUAAGCCGGAGGGUUUAGUCCGUAGAGGCAAUCACAAUCAUAUAGGCUAGACAUCUAGGGUUUUAGCCAUUACGAUCUCGUGGUAGAUCAACUCUUGUAAUCCUCAUAUUCAUCAAGAUCAGUCAAGGAGGAAGUAGGGUAUUACCUCCAUCAAGAGGGCCCGAACCUGGGUAAACAUCGUGUCCCCCGUCUCCUGUUACCAUCGACCUUAGAUGCACUGUUCGGGACCCCCUACCCGAGAUCCGCCAGUUUUGACGCCGACAUUGGUGCUUUCAUUGAGAGUUCCGCUAUGUCGUCAUCAGGAGGUUCGAUGGCUCCAUCAGUCAUCUAUAACGAUGCCGCCCUGGGGGAGGUUUUUCUCCCCGGCCAGAUCUUCGUAUUCGGCGGCUUCGCACUGCGGGCCAACUCGCUUGGCCAUCUAGAGCAGAUCGACAGCUACGCCCCAGGUCACCAGAUUAGUUUUGGAAAUCUGGACUAUGUCGCUGAUAUCCGAGGAGACUUGAUCUUCCAAGGGUUCACGACCCCAACCUCCGCUCUGGCCUUAGAUCCAAAGCACAUCGCCAGGUCCGAGGACGGGAUUCCUGAGCCCGCCGUACUAUCUGCGGCCACUAAGCCCAGUACGGGAGAGCCGGAGGAAGUAUUCUCGCUAGCAACCGUCAUGAAGUCGGACUCUUCUCCGGACACUGGCUCCGAACCCUCUGAGUCGGCAUUGUGUGAGCUCGGCCAAGGAGUCUCCUUCCCGCCGUACUCCACGGACUCUCUUCUCCCUGGCCAAACCUCGCCUUUAAGCGAGGCUCUGGACUUGAUGUGAUCCCUCGUCAUUACAGAGGGGCAACGUCCGAACUACGCCUAGCCCGGACUAGGGGCUGAGAGCGGGGAAUUUUACGUCCCACCCACCACCCACUUCAUAGCCACUGUCGAGGACCUAACUGACAUGCUCGAUUACGGCUCUGGAAACAUCGACGGUAUGGACGACGAUGCCGGAGAAGAGCAGGCCCAAAACCCGCCGUUUACCGGACGCUGGACGGCCACCUCUUCGUAUGACGUGUACAUGGUGGAUACACCCAAAGAGGGUAACGGCGAUAACGAGAAAGAUCUAGUCAAGGAUAGACCUCCUGAGAUACAACCAAAGCGUCGACGCCAGCGGCGCCGCUCUAAAUCACGCCGUGGAAAAGACAACGAUACCGGCACGAGAGACAACAUACUCCAGACGACACUGAAGACCAAGAAGACCCCGCCAAGCCAACCUCCGAACAGGAUGAUCGGGAAGAUGGGCAUGUUAGCCCUGAUGAACAGGCCGUAAACAAAGACUUGGAGGACAGUAAUUAUCUUCCACUCUCCAAGGAUGAGGUGAGCCUCGGCGACGAAGACUUUAUCGUGCCUGAGGAACCCCUCGAGCAGGAGCGCUUUAAGCGUCGGCUAAUAGCCACUGCAAGGAGCCUGAAAAAGAAGCAGCGGCAGCUUCAAGCUGAUCAAGAUCUACUCAACGACAGGUGGACUAAUGUCCUGGCAGCCGAGGAAUACGGCCUCGAGCGCCCAACCAAAAGUUACCUGAAGCGUAAACUGCUACCUCAAUUCGACGACGAGGCACUCGAGCCCGUACCAACAGCACGUAAUGCGCCUGACUGACCACCACGCGGUCGGGACAAAACGGCAACCCAAGCCGAACACCAGCCCAUAGUACCUCGCCGUAAAGGUAGAGACACAACAGCUCGGGGAUAUACAUAUGACCUGCGGCAAGACCUGGAAAAUAGAGCAGGUCAGACCAGAUCAAUCUACGGAUCGCGGGGGCAGGCCCCGGCACGCGAUGACGGGUAUCUAGCCGGACAUGACAAGCAUAACCACGUAUGGGCCAAAAACCGCAGACGGACACCAUCCGAGCUACGUCGCGACUUGGCCCGAUAUAGAGACGCUGUACACCCCCUCUGCUUCACUGAUGAAGUAAUGGAGCACGAAUUCCCAGAAGGGUUUAAACCCGUGAAUAUCGAAUCAUACGAUGGAACAACAGAUCCCACGGUAUGGAUUGAGGAUUUUCUUCUCCAUAUUCAUAUGGCCUGUGUUGAUGAUCUUCAUGCCAUCAAAUACCUCCCGCUAAAACUCAAGGGACCAGCUCGUCACUAGUUAAACAGCCUGCCUGAAAACUCUAUUGGCAGCUGGGAGGACUUGGAAGAUGCCUUCCACGACAACUUCCAAGGCACAUACGUCCGACCUCCGGAUGUUGAUGACUUAAGUCACAUAGUUCAACAGCCCGGAGAGUCAGCCAGGAAAUUUUGGACUAGGUUCCUAACUAAAAAGAACCAGAUCGUCGACUGUCCGGAUGCCGAAGCCCUAGCGGCCUUUAAGCAUAGCAUCCGCGACGAAUGACUCGCCCGACACCUCGGCCAAGAAAAGCUGAAGUCCAUGGCAGCCCUCACGGCACUCAUGACCCGCUUUUGUGUGGGCGAAGAUAGCUGGCUAGCCCGUAGCAAUAAUAAUGCAAGCGAACCUGGCACCUCCGAAGCCAGAAAGAGCAAUGGAAAGCCCCGACGCAACAGGCACAACCGUCGAAGCAACGGUGACAAUACCGAUGACACAGCGGUCAACGCCGGAUUCAUUGGCUCCAAAUUCGGCCAGCGGAAGAAGCCAUUUAAAAGAAAAAAUCCGGUCUCAUCCAGCUUGGACCGCAUACUCGAUCGUCCAUGUCAGAUCCACGGCACCCUCGAUAAACCAGCCAAUUAUACCAACAGAAGUUGUUGGGUCUUUAAACAGGCCGGCAAGUUAAAUACCGAGAACAAGGAGAAGGGGUCGCAAAGUGAGGACGACAACGAGGAGCCCCGUCUGCCGAACACAGGGGGGGCAGAAGAAGUUUCCCCCCAGGUUAAAACGGUGAGUAUGAUAUACGUCACCCAUAUCCCCAAGAGGGAGUGCAAACGCGCGCUCAGGGACGUCUACGCGAUAGAGCCAGUCGCCCGAAAAUUCAACCCAUGGUCUUCCUGCCUCAUCACCUUCGAUCGCAGGGACCAUCCGACCAGUAUCCGUCAUGGCGGUUCAGCCGCACUGGUCCUCGACCCAAUCAUUGAUGGAUUCCACCUCACGUGAGUUCUCAUGGACGGUGGCAGCAGCCUCAACCUGCUCUAUCAGGACACGGUCCGCAAGAUGGGCAUCGAUCCAUCAAGGAUCAAGCCCACGAAAACUACCUUUAAAGGAGUAAUACCAGGUGUAGAGGCCCACUGCACGGGCUCAAUCACAUUGGAAGUCGUCUUCGGAUCCCCGGACAACUUCCGAAGAGAAGAAUUGAUCUUCGAUAUCGUCCCCUUCCGCAGUGGCUAUCACGCACUGCUCGGACGAACUGCAUUUGCUCGAUUUAAUGCGGUGGCACACUAUGCUUAUCUCAAACUCAAGAUGCCCGGACCACGCGGUGUCAUAACAGUCAAUGGAAACACAGAACGCUCCCUCCGUACCGAGGAGCACACCGCAGCGCUGGCAGCGGAAGUACAGAGCGGCCUUAUCAAGCAGAAUAUUAAUUCAGCAGCCAAGCUCCCAGACACUGUCAAACGAGUCCGGACUACUCCGCAGCAUGACAAUCCAGCUCGUCAGGAGUUCGACUAGCAAUUCGGCCUCUAUCUCAGUCCCGACCAAAUGGCGGCGUACGUACCGCGCGUACAUAACUACACACUCAAAAUACCAUGGGCAAAGACGGAGGCAUAACUCGAUUGUGGUCCAUAAUACGGCUCGACCUUCCCUGGGCACACGUACUUUCCCUUUUAUUUUUAUCCUUUUCAGGUUUCUUUUCCACAGGCCCCUCAUGACGGCCUGAUCAUCGAUCCUUUCGAAGGAUGGAUAUACCAAGGUGGCAAGCAGCAUAGACAUGUGGGGGAAUCUCUAGGUGGUCUUCUUGACGAUCACACUACCUGUUUUCAGGACCCGCACGCAGCUCCCCCUUGGUCUCGGCAUGUUAAAUAGCCCUAUUGCUUAUUGCACUAUUUGUACAAAUACGCUUUGACGUAUUAAUCGAAUUAUAAUAGAAACAGUUUGCGGCCCAACUUAUGUGGCACUGGCUUACUACUUCAUUUUAUUUCACUAUUCUUAUCGAUUGCACCCAUACACUUUGGUACGCUUUAAUUCGCCAGGGGCUUCAUUGUGCUCCAUACUAGGGCAACAAAGUCCGAACACUUUUUACAGUAUAGUUCGGCACCCCGAAUUUAGCAUUAUAUGCAUCGGCUCCGAAUCAUGUCUUUGGUCAAUGUUGGGCUCCUGUGCUUACUACCUUACGUUCCGCCCUAUCGGCUAGGGUAGUAAAGGGAGAACUACUGUGAUUGUGUUUCUGGUUCUUCCGGGUGAACACCUCAGUAGAGAAAGCCGAAAACUGACUGUCAUGAUACGGCGAGAGCUGGUAAGCUAUUCGGAAGUUAAAAUUUCUUGCGAUUUUUUCCCGCAUUAUGCGACGGAUCGGCCUCCACCCGAUCAGGUGUCUACAGCACCCUAGUCCGGAUUAACAAAUACUAACUAGGGGCUGCGCCUACAUUCCUAUUGUCAAAUUCCUAUGGCUAAGUGAGGGUGAUAAAGCCACAUAGUCCGAUUGCCUGGUUCGUUGCGCUAAACACCUCCUUCAAGGACCAAAUUCUUGGAUCAAGAGUGUUUAGGUUCCAACCCAAACACCCCCGUACUACCUACGUGGGGGCUGAAGCCGACAACUGGCCAACUCUCAGAUUUAAUAAAACGGCCGCACAGGAGGCAAAAUUUAAACAAACAACAAGCAAUAUGUUACAUAUCGGCUUUGUUUCAUAAUACAGGACGGGAUAACAUGAAUGUAUUCAUUCAAAGAUAAUGUCUUUUGCACACUGGCCCUCUACAAUGCGGGAUCCCUUCAGGACAUCAUCAAAAUCCCGCUCAGGCGUGCGGUGCUCCUUGCCCGCGGGCGGCCCCUCGGUCGCGAGCUUGACGGCGUCCAUCUUCGCCCACUGCACUUUGACACGAGCGAAGGCCAUCCGCGCACCUUCGAUGCAGACCGACCGCUUGAUGGCGUCAAGCCGAGGGCAGGCAUCGACCAGCCGCUUCACGAGCCCGAAGUAGCUGUUGGGUAUGGCUUCGGCAGGCCAUAGACGGAUUAUCAAAUCCUUCAUGGCCAAUUCGGCCACCCUAUGCAGUUCGGUCAGCUGCUUCAGCUGAUCGCUAAAGGGCACCGGAUGCUCUGGCGCAAGGUAUUGCGACUAGAACAGCUUCUCCUUUGAGCUCCCCUCUUCGGCUCGAAAGAACUCCGCAGCAUCAGCAACACUGCGCGGCAGAUCCGCAAAUGCUCCUGGAGAAUUCCAAAUCCGGGUCAAUAAGAGGUACCUUCUCUUCACAUAUUUGCUCUGCAUAAUAAAGGCCUUACCCGCCGCGAUUUUCCUGGCUGUCUGGAUUUCCUGGAGGGCGCCCUGGGUUUCAACCCGGGCCUCUUGUGCGCUUUGGUGGGCCUUAGCAAGUUCGGACUCUUGGUCCACAAUCUUGCGCUCCAAGGACUCGCAUUUAUUUACGGCGUCCUGGAGCUCCUGCUGGACCUCCCCGACCCUUGCCUCGUGUUUUUCGCGAGCGGCUUGUUCCUUCGCGGCUCUCUUCUGGGCCUCGGCCAGCGCGUUCUUAAGGGACUCCACCUCGGUCGCAGCUCCUACGAAAUAUCAUGAUAACAUGAUCAAAACAAACAAUUCAUAUCUUUCCAGAUCUGAAUAGGCCAUUGCAUACCUUGCUUGUCCUCUAGUUGUUUUUCACACGGCUGAGCUCUUCCUCAGUCCACUCCAGACUCUGCUUCAGUUUGGAGACUUCGGCAGAAUGGGAGGUCGCAGCCAGCAUCGACGCCUGCUUAUUCACAUAGACAUGUAUGGUUAGUCUCCUGCGAAAAUUAUUUGAUCCUCUGUCCGGCUUUUCUUUUUCGAACAUCGGACAGAGUCUCAAGGGCUACUGUCUAUACUAUGACAUUCUUUUUACAUAAUUACGUCACAUACCUCAAAGCUUGUUAGAAGGCUGGUGCAGGCUUCGGUCAGUCCGCUCUUAGUGGACUAAACCCUCUCAACCACCGUACCCAUGAGGGUGGUGUUCCUCAACGAUGGAAGCACUUUGCAGCGCUUACAGUAGAGUAUCCGGUGCCUCUGGAUGGACAGAGGUCACCGGCGGAAUAGUUACACCUCCUUCUUUCGAAGAAGGCUGCUUGCCUGAAUCCGGAGCCGUAUGGGUCUCCGGAAUAGUAUUCGGCUGGGGGCCGAAUUGGAUAUGGCCCCCAUCGCCAGUCUCCAGAGGGAUUUGCUCCCCCAUGUGUCCGGCGGCCGAGGUAUUACCCUCUGGGGCCACCCUGACGAUCUCUUGUACCUCUCCCUGGCCUGGGAAGGUCCUUCGGGACAACACCUCGGCGUCGUCCGUGGCCUUGGGAGAGGAGGCCGCCGGAAGUGACUCGUUGUCCAUCACAUUUGGAUCCAGCGAAUUCCCCGAAGAUGAGGAUCGCUGGGGGCGGGCAUGGGCCGGACUGCAGCGCAUGAUUCGGCAUAUUAAAACCACGAAGUAAAGAAGUUGGAUAUAUGUGUACAAGUGCCUUUGAGUACUUAUGAUUCGGCCAGGGGCUUCUCCCUGGGGCGCCACUCGGAGCUGCUAUCAGUGUCCAAUGCGGAGUUGUCCGCGAGGGAGACCCUCCCCUUCUUGGACGCCUCUGCCUCCAGAUCCGUGGAGGCCGCCCUUUUCUUCCUUCCCCCCUCAGGGGGAGAGUUGCUUUCCUCCUCCUCCUCCUCGUCCUCGACGGUAGAGUGGGUUUCGGCGUCUUCGGACGUCACGUCCGAAGUGCCUUUACGACAAAGGCCGCCUCUUCCCGCCUGGCCCUUCUUCUCCGGCGCCUGGUAGGGUGCCGGGACCAGCAUCUUCGUCAGAAGUGGGAUAGCUGGGGUUUUGGGCAGCGGAGCCGGACACUCGAUCUGCUUCGCCCUCUUUGUCCAGCCCUGAAAAGAUAGAUAGGGAAGCUUAGACAUCUUCCUUGAAUGUACAGGCGAAGGAUACACCUCGAAAUACGAAAAACUUACCGGACUGGCGGGAUGGGUCAGGUUGUACCCACGGUCCUCGGUCGUCUUCGACCACGUCUCAUUUGCCUUCAAAAGCACCUUCCAGAUGCCUUUGUGCGUAGUGCCGAAGAACUGUUGCAAGGUCUGGUGCUUGGCCGGGUCAAACUCCCACAAAUGGCAAGUCCUGCUUUGACAAGGAAGGAUCCGGCGAAAAAGCAUCACUUGGAUCAUGUUGACGAGCUUAAUGUUCUUUUCCACCAUGCUCUUGAUGCGUGUCUGCAGCGCUGUCAGCUCAUCCGACGAAGCCCAGUCCAGGCCCUUCUCUAGCCAGGAGGUGAGCCGCAUCAGGGGCCCAGACUUAAAUCCGGGAGCCGCGGCCCAGGUGGUGUCACGGGGCUUUGUGAUGUAGAACCACUGUUGUUGCCACCCUUUGACGGUCUCCAUGAAGGUACCUUUGGGCCAUGAGACGUUGAACAGCUUUCUCACCAUAGCGCCUCCACACUCUGUGUGUUGACCACCCACCACCUUCGGUUUCACAUUGAAGGUCUUUAGCCACAAUCCGAAGUGGGGUGGGAUGCGGAGGAAGGCCUCGCACACGACAAUGAAUGCCGAGAUAUUGAGGAAGGAGUUUGGGGCCAGAUCAUGGAAAUCUAUCCCAUAGUAGAACAUGAGUCCACGUACGAAGGGGUGGAGAGGAAACCCUAACCCGUGGACGAAGUGGAGAAUAAACACCACCCUCUCGUGGGGCUCCGGGGUGGGGACGAUCUGCCCCUUGGUCGGAAGCCGGCGGGCGAUUUCCUGGGCCAAGUACCCCGCCUCCCGGAGCUUCGUGAUAUCCUUCUCCGUGACGAAGGAGGCCAUCCAUUUGCCCUGCGCUCUAGAUCCGGACAUGGUCGGGGUGCUUUUUUGAGGCGGAGAGGAUGGAAGCUUGGGCGCUGGAGCUCGAGAGUGGGUGGGCAGAGAGAAAGAAGGCGUGGGUGAAAGGGUGAAUCCUUAUCUCUUUAUAAAGGCAGCAAAUAUCAAGCGCCUCCCCAUUCACCUUAAAACUGGCCUAUUCCCCAAGGGUCGUGCAGACGGCUCGGUUAGAUUGCCCAUGCCCGUAUUGAUGAGAAUCCCGCAAUAAGGGGACACGAUCUCUGCUUCGACAAGACGUGCCAACAAAAACCGCAUCUCGAAACAUGGAGCGGGAGGCUAAAAAUGGUUCGAAAUAAUGACCGGGCAGGGACGUAAUGUCUCGCUACAAAAGUUGUCGGUAGAUGGGACUCGUGAAAUAUUAUACUCUCUGUGGUUGUGUGUGGUACUUGUUUUGCAGAGUCGGACACGUUUUCUGUGUUCGAAGGCUGCUUUGGAGUAUUCGGAGGAGGAACCCGUCUUGCAAUGCCGAAGACAAUCUGCGCGCCAGACACAUCGUCAUUGAAGCCUGGUUCAGGGGCUACUGAGGGAGUCCUGGAUUAAGGGGUCCUCGGGCGUCCGGGCUACGUGACGUGGGCCGGACUGAUGGGCCAUGAAGAUACAAGACAGAAGACUUCCUCCCGUGUCCGGAUGGGACUCUCCUUUGCGUGGGUGGCAAGCUUGGCGUUCAGAUAUGAAGAUUCCUUCCUCUGUAAACCGACUCUGUACAACCCUAGGCCCCUCCGAUGUCUAUAUAAGCCGGAGGGUUUAGUCUGUAGAGGCAAUCACAAUCAUAUAGGCUAGACAUCUAGGGUUUUAGCCAUUACGAUCUCAUGGUAGAUCAACUCUUGUAGUCCUCAUAUUCAUCAAGAUCAAUCAAGCAGGAAGUAGGGUAUUACCUCCAUCAAGAGGGCCCGAACCUGGGUAAACAUCGUGUCCCCCGUCUCCUGUUACCAUCGACCUUAGACGCACAGUUCGGGACCCCCUACCCGAGAUCCGCUGGUUUUGACACCGACAAUCACCGUCACCGCGCCGUCGUGCUGACAGAACUCUCCCUCGACACUUUGUUGGAUCAAGAGUUCGAGGGACGUCAUCGAGAUGAACGUUUGCAGAACUUGGAGGUGCCGUACAUUCGGUGCUUGAUUGGUCGGAACAAGAAGAAGUUCGACUACAUCAACUGCGUUGUCAAAUGCUUUCGCUUUUGGUCUAUGAGGGUAUGUGGACACACUCUCGCCCUCUUGUUGCUAUGCAUCUCCUAGAUAGAUCUUGCGUGGGCGUAGGAAUUUUUUUAAAAUUGCAUGCUACGUUUCCCAACACUAAUAUUGCUCUUCAUAAUCAAGAUUUACCUAAAAUUCCUAAGGAGGUGGUUGACAAAUUAAUAGAACCUUCUUUCUAUAAAAGAAAUUCAUGAUGUGGUUUUUAGAAUGGAAAAAAAUAAAAGCACUCGCCCUGAUGGGUUUCCUGUUGAUUCCUAUUAGGGGUUUUGGGAUUUGUUUAAGUGGGAUUUGAAGGACUACUUGAUGAAUUUUAUCAUGGCAAGUUAGAUAUUGCUAGGUUGAAUUAUGGGAGUAUUACUCUUGUUCCCAAGACUAAUGAUGUUAAAAAAUACAGAAGUUUAAACCUAUUUGUCUUAUGAAUAUUAGCUUUAAAAUCAUUAACAAGAGGUUUUGAUGAAUAGAGUACUAUCCCCUAUUAUUUCUCCUACCGAGACUGCUUUUGUCAAGGGAGAUACAUCAUGGAAGGGGUGGUUGUUCUCCAUGAAGCGUUGAAUUCUAUUCAUUUUAAGAUAGAUAAUGCCUUAUUGUUUAAUAAAGUGGAUUUUGAAAAAAAGAUUUAUCAAUAAAAAAAAUUAAGUAUCCCUUUGUGAUGCAAAUGCUUAAAAUGAAAGGAGUUCCUGAUAAAUGGCGUGACUUGGUCAUGGUCACUAUGAGAGGGGGUAAUGUGGGUGUAAGAGUUAAUGAUACAAUUGGUCCUUACUUUAAAAAUCACAAAGGCCUAAUAUAGGGUGAUGCUUUAUCACCUUUUCUUUUUGAUCUGGUUGCAAAUGAUGUGGUUGUUAUUAUGGAAAAAGCAAAUGUUAAUGGUUUUGUGAAAGGGGUUUUAAAUGAAAAUCUAGAUAAUUGAGUUGUAUGCUUUAAUAUUCUCAUGAUGUCAUAUUUUUACUUCAAGAUGACGUUGAAAGUGCUAAAAACCUCAAAUUCAUAUUGAGUGCUUUUGAGCAAAUGUCUGGACUAAUUAUUUAAUUUCCAUAAGCGCGAGUUGUUUCUUUUGGGGAAGCUAAGAAUAAAGUUGAGGUGUAUCAAGAGAUUUUUACUUGUCAAUCAGGAGAUUUGUAAAUGAAGUAUCUGGGUAUGCUUGUCUUUGAUACUGGGAGUAGGAAUAAACAUUAUAAGGGGGGAGAAAAUAAAAUUGAAAAAAGAUGUGGAUGUUGGCACGGUAAACUAUUGGGCUCUAUUGCUGACAGGACUACUUCGGUCCAAGCUUGCUAUCUUACAUGCCUCUUUUUAUGAUGUCUUUGUACCCCCCCCCCUCCCCGGUUGAGUGCUUAAGAAAGCUGAUUUCUUUAGAGCUAGAAUGGUGUGGGAGGGUGAUGAAAAUAACAAGAAAAAUCACUUAGUUAAUUUGAAACCUGUUGUAAACCUAGAGAUCACGGGGGUUGGGGAUCCUUAAUUUGGAUAGCAUGGAUAAAGCAUUGCUAGGUGGUUUCGGAAACUAGAAACUGAAUUUGGGCUUUGACAAUUUGUUUUGUUGAAAAAAAUAUGUCACUAGUGGGUGUAUUUCUAAAGCUAAACCCAAGGUGGGGGAUUCACAAUUUUGGUCUAGCAUUCGGAAAGUUAAAGAGAAUCUUUAUCAAUUCUGCAAGAAAAGUUUGGGAGAUGGUUAAGAUUGGUGGUUUUUUAGAUGAAAAACCUUUAAAAAUCUCUUGCCCUAAACUAUAUGUUUCAAGCUUUGAUCAUGACAUUAUUGUUGCUAAAGCCUUGUAGAAAGGCUGGGGGUCAGGUUUAGAAGAACUAUAUAUGGGGAGUCUCUAGAGCUCUGACAUAGUUUGAAACUUAGAUGUGAAGAGAUAGAAAUGGGAUCUAGUAAAGAUAAGAUAAAUUGGUUGUUAACAACUCAUGGAUUUUUUUGCCAAGUCUUUAUAAGUAAAACUAGUUGAAUCUAAUUGCAAUUUCCCUUAAAAGUUUGUAUGGAAGGUCAAACUACCGGCUAGGAUAAAGUUUUUUCUGGCUUAUGGCUAGAAAAAGCAUACUCACCAAAGAUACUCUAUUAAGGAUAGGAUGGGUUGGUAGUAAAAUGUGCAUCUUUUCUGGUAAAGAGGAGACAAUUGAUCAUUAGUUCUUCAAAUUCUUUGGUGCUGGUUUGAUCUAGAGCUUGCAGAAAUGUGCUUUUAGCCUAAGUUCUACUCCUACUACACUUAAUGAUUGCUUUGGGAACUGGAUUAGAAGUUUACCAAAGAUUUAGAAAAAGCUAGUGUUGGAGGUGUAGAAAUGAUGUCAUUUUUGAGAAAAAACUUAUCAAUGAUCAUAUCAUCCUCAUAAAGUUGAUUUGCUAUUGGAUUAUUGGAUGGUCUAUUUUGUAGAUAAAGGAGGAAAACAGAGGGGUGCUGAUGGUAGGGGCAAAACUACUUGAGCUUGUAGCAAAUGAAGUCUACAGAUCGUCACAAGGUUGGAGGCACAGUGUCCUAAAAUUGGUGGCAAAGUAUUGAAGCUUACAACACUAGCGAUUACUGUUUCAUUUUUUUCCCCGUGAGGAGUUGUCGACUUCCCUCCUUUAGCAAUCUUUCUUGUUCUCUUUUCUUUUGCCAUUGAUGUACUUAUGCACCUAGUUAUUCUAGCUUGUGUAGUUGGUUUCUGAGCUCCUUCAUGAUGGGGUUGUGGAAGAGUUUGGUUGUGUUUAUUUGUUGUUCUAGUUCUUGUGGUGUUAGAGACUGCUUAUAUGUAAGUAGCUCCUUCUUUUGGAGUUUGGUGAUUUGAUCGCUUUGCUGGGUGCUUGGAGCACUGUGUUGAUCCUUGUUAGAAGCUCAAUAGAUGUUAUAUUAUGGUGGUAGUCUGUAUUAGGUGGACCUUAUGGUUUCUAUUAAUAGAAAUCAAAGGGGUGGACCCUCUUUUAUAAUAAUAAAAAAAGGCUUUGGGUCGAUGGGUUGCCAUAUUAACCAAUUCCCUAACAACAUAUAGGUUAUGGCCGGAAAAAUUGCAACCCAGUUUUAGGUAAGCUGUUUGAGCAAUUUUUUGGACCAAAAAAACUAAAUUUUCAGUUUGUAGGUAUUUGGCUCAUUUUUAGGAUAGUUAUUGGAGAUGCUUUGAGGGCAUCAAUUUUUUAAGACCUUUUAGGGAUUUGACAAAAAGAUGUAAUGUAAGUCUAGAGGGUCUAAAACUGCAAUAAUAAGGAUCAAAUGAUCGCCUUUGGAAAUUUGCUUCAAGCACCAACUUGAAAGAAACUUAUAAGCUUCUAAGAACACGAAGGUGUCCAGGUGCGGAGGCACGGGCAGAGAGUGGUAGACCGAGUUAGAUUUGAGGGAAAGCUGUGAUGGAGCAUCCUAGGGUGGUUGCGAUCACGUCAGAGGUUUGGAUCCUGAAAGGGGGCAAAAAUUGAUCACAUGAUUACUAAUUUGGUCAUCAGGCCAAAAAGAAGACCUUGUCCAAGGAGGAGGUGAGCCCAGGACUCGACAACCGAUUCAUACAUAAUAAGGUAAGUCGAAAAGGGAAGGGAGUUGCUUGCAUCGUAAAGAUAAAAUCCCGGUUGCAAGAACAAACGAAGACAAGGAGAUCACAAAAAGAAUCUUCAAGGAUGAUGAUUGUCCCGGAUCUGAAUCUGGCCGGUCGGGAUUCGGUCGCUGCUACCUUCAGGCGUGGUGACGUCGGGCCUCCAUGGCCUCUGGGCACAAUGGUGACGCAGGCGGCUGGUGGCGCCGCGGCGACUCGCUCCCGGCAGUGAGUGGCUAGUGGCGGGUCGGUGGUGCUGGCUGGCGGCGCCCGGAGCGCGGAUCCAGGGAUCUCGGCCCGGAUCUGGUGCGUCUUCGGCGCUGGCCGGCGUCCUUGAGGUGCGCACGGCAAGGAAUGCGGCGGUUGUCUCUGGAUCCUUGCGUGGAGCGUAGCAGGAUGGAGGGUGUAGGUGGUGCACCGGCACUGGCGAUGGCGGCGGUGCGAGAGCAGCCAUGGCGGCGGCAGCGCUGCGAGGCCUUGCCAGGAAGGGUCUUGGCGGGCAGCGGGCGUUCGGUUGCUGCCGUGUGAGGCGUGAGGCGUGCGGCGAUGCCUUGACGGUGUGGGUGCCGGAGUGUGGUCGGAGGUGCGGGUCGAAUCCAUUCUGGUGGCAGUCCCCUGGCGCGGGUGAAGGCCACCGUGGCGGAACUGGCUUUGCACCGCUCGGUGGUUGCUGCAGCUCCUAGUCGAUGUUGAAGGUGAUUGCUUUAGGCGUGUUCCCUCGGCGGUGAGGGGGGCUUUGAUGGCAAGUUGUUGCGGUGACGGCGAUGCGAGGCAUCUGAUCGGGACUGGCCGGGAUCUUGGAGAUGUGCAGCGCUACGGAUGAAAGUCCUGUUCGGUUGUGGCUGGACCAGCGUUGAUGGCACAUGCAUGUGUCAUUCACCUUCCAGGAGGCUUCGCCGAGUGCAACGCCAUCUUCCUCGUGACCUCGUAUCGGCAGCUGUCUCCGGGGCGAAAGCCUUGAUUCGUAGGAUCGGCACAAUGGUGACCUCGUAUCGGCAGCUGUCUCCGGGGCGAAAGCCUUGAUUCGUAGGAUCGGCACGAUGGCAACGUCUUUGAGGUUGUUACUCUGUUGGGAGCAUUGUGUUGAGAGACUCAAGGUCCCAUGGUGCGCUCCUCCGGUGUUCACCGCUGCCCGGAUCUUUCUCCUCCGGCGCCAUGUACGGUCAUCGCUGGCUAAUCCAAGGAAGCUGGAGUUGCUGUUCUUCAGAGGUCUUCAGUGUCGGCCGAGACACGGCGAGGGGCUUGGUGUUGGGUAGGCUUUUUGUGUCGUAGCUGUGUUGUUGUGUUUGGUUGUCCUUGUAUAAACCGGGUAUGGAAUUGGUCGCCUUCGUUGUUCGCAGCGAGUGAUAGACGUUGUUGUAUGUCUUAUUUCUCUCCUUCUAUAAAGCUAAGGUACGCAAUUUACAUACCCUUAAAAAAAAUGAUUGUGAAGGCAAUAACCAAUGCCAUUGGAUUCAAUAACCAGGGUACGUUUUCUUUCGCUUUCAAACCAAAUCCAAGGCAAGGUAAAAUCUUGUAUUUUCCUCGCCAUGAACGACAUAACAACACUUCGCCAUGGUUUCUCAGAUAAGUUUUUGGAGUGCAGAUCACCAUUCAUAAUAAAAGAUAAAAGAUCUUGGCGGAAAUGGAGUGCAAAAGAGGGACAAUCUCCACCGAACACACGCCUAGUGAGAGGAAAAUGAGGGGAACAGCGCAUCCCGACAGCAGGGGAACACUAGGCAAGCAAUCAGCAAGCAACAAAAUACUAGCUACAUCGCCAUCGAAACCAAGGGCAACAUGCCAACAUCAGAAGCACUAUCAACUGCAACAUUUCACCAUUAGAUGCAUCUAUCGACAGCUAUAUGCAAACUUGUAACCAACUUAGCUUGCAACGAUCAGUGCAAUCCCAAGUAUGAAGUGCGAAACAUGGUGACCAAUUAUGCUAUGUAGGCAAAGUAGAUUGCCAGAUAAUUCCAAAGCGACAAUUCUUAUGAACGUUACUCCUAUAUGCAGAAGUAGAUUGACAGUUAAUUCCAAUUGCUACAAUGCUAAGCAUGAAGCACGACCUAAUAGUGAGACUGUUUAUACAACAGACUAUAUCCAUCUUAUAUAGAGUAGAACACUGGCCAGUCAAGCAUUUUUUUAUCUCCGACUAAACCAAAAUUCAGACUAGCCACCAUGCUAUGUACUACUAGGAUGCAUCUGCAAAUAUGUUAUGUAACUAAAAAUGUGAUAUGAUGCAUGUAUACCUGGAAGUGAGCUAUAUAUUAUACAUUUUACUAAACAGAACAGAGCAGUAAACAUCAACGUCCAACCACUACAAUCAAACUUUCUCCGACAUACGGAAGCAAAAUUCAACACUAAGUGACAAUGCAAGCUGCAGCGCACGAUCAAGAACAGGCCAAGAGGACAGCGACCAAGUACACAACAACAUGACAAACAUCUUCAUCAUAAUGCGGAAGCAACAGAGAUGGCGAUAAAAAAAAUGAACAUGUUCACUCACAGCAGCACAGUCAACUACAACCGAAGCUAAAAACAUCCAUCCAUCCAUUGUGCACACUCAUCUCGAUUAGGUUACAACACAUACUGAGCAACUAAGCCGACGGAACAAUUAGUACGGAGCACAAAUCGAAGAAGCACGGUCACACCUAGGAGCUUACCACCGUCGCAACCACAGCGAGAUACACAGACCGAAAGGCAUCAGCACGCAGGCCUCACACCGCCACCUUGCGUGGGCGCCCACGGCCACGCUUGGCAGGAGCGGAGCCGUCCGCGGGAGCCGGAGAGGCAGCCUCCUUGGCGACCUUGGCCUUCUUGGCCGAGGAGGGACCCGGCGGGCGGCCGCGGCCCCGGGGCAUGCCGGUGGUCGCCUUGGCGACGGCAUCCUUGACGGCGUCGGCCAUGGGAUCCUUAGCCUUGGGCGGGCGGCCCCGGCCGCGCUUGGGCGUGUUGGGGUCCUUGGGCGCAGCCUUCGGCUUGGGCGGCGCGUUAGGGUCCUUAGGCGGGCGGCCGCGGCCGCGCUUUGCCGGGGUGGCGGAGGGAGCGUCAGCCUUGAGGUAGUUGUUCUUGACGAAGGCGAGCUUGCCGGCCUCCUUCAUGCUGGCGAGGUUGGCCGUGAGGAGGGAGGCGUGCGCCGAGGGGAGGCCCUCGUACUUCUCCUCGAUGUAGCUGGAGAUGGCGGACUUGCUCGAGCCGUUCUUGUCGCCCAGCGCCUCGAUCGCCGCGAGAAUCAUCUGCGAGGAGAAGCAGAGGCUCUCAGGCCGCGGCCGGCAAGGAGAAGGAUCUAACGAACAAGGAAAUGAUACGCCGCCGACAAAUCUACGGCGGAAGGCACGGAAGCAGAGCGCCAAAACCGGGAGAAACUCACCUCGGGGUAGGGCGGGAUGUCACCGGACUUGGGGGACCCGUCGUUCGCCAUGGCAGCGACGGCGGCUACAGCCCACGGCGGUGGAGCCGAGCGCUCGGGCUACAGUGCGGGCGCGGAGGAGGGAGCGGGCUGCGGGGAGGGGAAAAAUUUCGGAUUUGGAUCGGGGGAGGAGGCGAGGACGGCGGGGGCAGUAGAUAAGAAAUGGGCGAGCUGUGCCGCGUGUGCCGAAGGCAGCAGGCCUAUGACCUAGGGUUUCCGCGUGCGGUCACCGACGUGUGGGCCGCGUAGGUUAGUACCCUGGGUCCGGGACCACCUGGCGGUGGGACACCCGGAGCGUGUCAGACGAAUCAUGCAGUUUCGGCCGAUAUAAAUGCAGCUUUCCUAUUUUGAACGCCUUUAUCGAUGCGCGUGGGACGGAGACCCGUGCGUGACGUGCACGGACGGCGGGGAUUGCGAGGCGGGGGAUCCUAGGGCGGAGAGGGGAGAAGCAACGGGUGUGUGCACGCGGAUCGGUGACGUGGCGGGGGGUCGGGGUGGGACGAGGGAACGAUCCUGAAACGCUUUUGCUGGACUUGUCGUCUCCUGCGCGGGGAGCGGGAGCGGGAGCGGCCUCGCGUUUUGGGUCGGGGAAAUGACUGUGGUACCCCCGACGGGCGCGCUGUCCAUAUAAACAAUAGGGUACAGUGUUUUUUUUUAUUUAGAAUUUUAUAGUUCAUAUCAUGAAUUAGUACAAAGUAGUUCGACCCUUACAAGCACACUGAAACGCAAACACAAAGGACCAUGAACACCUAGAAUACCCUAAGACAACCAUAACACAAGAAAAUCUGCGGAGCCCCGUGUCUUCAUCCCUGAAUCUUGAGAGAAGACCACUGUAGCAACUCCAAUGAGGCGACCUAUUUCGUCCGCGGCCGUUCGUUUGGGUCUGCGCAGAUAGAAAGGCGGCCCAACGCGCCGACCCAAACGGACGCGCGUCCGUUUUUCAUCCGCGAACGACCCAUUUCCGGCCCAUUUUUUAGCCUGAUUUGCGUCGGCGCGGACACGCGCGCGCUCGCCUACUCCUGUCCCCGGACCCGCUGGUCUGUGGCACAUUGGCCUCCCCCCUCACCCCCUUCCCCCCGGCCAACAAGCAACCCUCGCCCCGUCUCCUUCGGCGACUCUUCCAGCUGUCGCCGCCUCCACAUCCGCCCAGCAACGCCGCCCCUGUCCCCGUUGUCCGCCGCCGCCGUUUUGCCGCCGGGGAGCAAACUGGUUCCCGCCGCCACUUCCCCCACCGCACAGCCGCCCGUGACCAAGAAGACGCCUCGCCGCCCCCGCCACAUCCGACCGGCACGCUCGUCGGACGCCGUCAUUGUAGCGACCAGACCUCAAACAGUCUGUACUCUGUGCUUUAGUGUCAUCCCUGGAUCAGUAAUGCUGACACGCACAGUACAAAUGGAGGAUUCAUAACAGAGUAGCAAUCACACACUUAUUACAUCGAGUAUCUCAAAAGAGAAAUAAGUAUGAUAAGUAUGGCUUAAGGCCAUCUAAUACGAUAACAGCGGAAGACUUGGAAGAAAAGUGAGUCCAUCAACUCCAACGGCAUCACUGAGUAUAAGACCACGACCUAAGGCACCUUACUCGUCGUCUGAAAAGUCUGCAACAUAAAACGUUGCAGCCCGAAAACGGGUCAGCACAUGGAAUAUGCUGGCAAUGUAACACAUAGAGAGUAAUGAACAUAAUAAUGCUAUACUACAUGCAUAUAUGGCUGGUAGAAGGCUCUAUGGUUACAGUUUUGCGAAAAGCCAAUUUUUCCCUAUGGUUACAGUUUUGCGAAAAGCCAAUUUUUCCCUACUGCAAAGGAAUAAAUUUUAUUUAACUAUCAUGGUGGUUGUUAAACAUUGAGAAUGGUUGAGUCAACCAUUCUCAAUCCCAAUUAAAUAUCAUCAUUAACCCAACAAAAUUAAUUAAAGUAACAUGGUGAUUAGAUUCACAUGAUAAUCCAAGUACUAGAUACUCAAGAUGUCCAUAACCGGGGACACGGCUAACCAUGAUUAGUUUGUACACUCUGCAGAGGUUUGUGCACUUUUCCCCACAAGACUCGAUCGCCUCCGCUUGAUUCUCGCACUACAUGAUCUUUGAGAAACGGAUGACCGAGACACAGUCUUUCAGAAACAAUAACUCUUUACUCCGGGUGGACAGUUACACCUACUUUCCCCUACAUCUGAUAGCCCACCUCUUCAAGAGAUCAUGUAACCUACUCAACUAUGCUAGAGCCCAUAAUAGCUUGUGGCUGCACACGGAAGUUUCUAGCAUGAAUAAUCUUAUGACCCCUUUGAGCCUGGGUGGCGGUCCUUAGAAAAACAGGCGUUCUCCAGGUGCCUCAAUCCACCCAGAUGUGAGUUUUAGUUGCCACCUUAAGUAAACCAUUAAUUAACAAUCUCACACCUGUCGUGAAUAUCUCUCAAACCCAAUCCACGUAUACUAGCAUAGCAUAGCGAUAUAAGCAAACGUAGAAGUAACUCCCAAGGGUUUGAUAAUAAACAGGUAAUAGGUACUACCUCAACUACAUCCCAAUACCCACAAUUUAAUUAGAUCCUAACCAUGCAAUGUUUGAGGGUUGGUCUAAUGCAAUAAAACUGGGUAGUAGAAAGGUAUGAUCAAAGUGUUACUUGCCUUGCUGAUGAUCCGUGAAACUUAGAGAUUCGAAGUAGCAAGCGGCGCACUCCGGGUACUCUAUCGCAAACAAACAAGCAUACAAUAAGCACUUAUCAAAUGCACAGGUAAAACUCAAAUAAAAGAUCUAACCAGAAAGUUCAACUUAAGAACUCCGGUUUGCAAAAAGAAUCAAAUCGAACGAAGCAACGAAAGUCAAACGGCGAGAGAAACAAGCUUCGUUUACUAAUCUGAAUCUAGGUCAAAUUUUACAGUAGCAAAAAUUUGUUUGAGUAGGUUAAACGGAAAGAGAAUUUUGAGACGAAACUCUAGGCGCUUGAAUCGCCUGAUUCCGAUAAACGAGCGAAAAGAUAAACUAAAACGAAAAUCUGAUCAGAAAUCGCGAUCUGGAAUAAUCGCGGAAAAUCCGACGAAAAAGAAAACUGACGAACAGUUAAAUGAACGGACGUUUGUUAACAGCGACUAACCGACGAACAUGUUCGUUAAAACGAAUAGAUCGGUGAACGUUCACUAAUUAAUUAAACCGAAGAAAAAAUAAACCGAUCUAUUUAAAAAAUCUAGGGUUUUGAAAAAAAAUAAAAAUAAACCGAGGCGGUUUUAAAAAAACGGACAGCGAACGGCGGCGGCUCCUGCUAACCUCCGACGAGGCUCGGGAUGGGCUCCGGCGGGNNNNNNNNNNNNNNNNNNNNNNNNNNNNNNNNNNNNNNNNNNNNNNNNNNNNNNNNNNNNNNNNNNNNNNNNNNNNNNNNNNNNNNNNNNNNNNNNNNNNNNNNNNNNNNNNNNNNNNNNNNNNNNNNNNNNNNNNNNNNNNNNNNNNNNNNNNNNNNNNNNNNNNNNNNNNNNNNNNNNNNNNNNNNNNNNNNNNNNNNNNNNNNNNNNNNNNNNNNNNNNNNNNNNNNNNNNNNNNNNNNNNNNNNNNNNNNNNNNNNNNNNNNNNNNNNNNNNNNNNNNNNNNNNNNNNNNNNNNNNNNNNNNNNNNNNNNNNNNNNNNNNNNNNNNNNNNNNNNNNNNNNNNNNNNNNNNNNNNNNNNNNNNNNNNNNNNNNNNNNNNNNNNNNNNNNNNNNNNNNNNNNNNNNNNNNNNNNNNNNNNNNNNNNNNNNNNNNNNNNNNNNNNNNNNNNNNNNNNNNNNNNNNNNNNNNNNNNNNNNNNNGGCCGUGCUCAAGCGGGGCUCGGGCGGCGGCGGCGCUGUCGUGCCCGAGAGGGAGACGGGGCGCGGGGCAGCUGGGCCGUCGGCUGGGCUUCGGCCCAGUCGGCGCGCUCGGUGUUUUUUUUAAUAAUAAUUUCACCGAAUCUAAAAAAACAUAGAAAAAUAAAUAAAAAUCCAAAAAUGCUAAAACAAAUUUUUACCGUCUAAUUAAAAUAAUUAGAACAAGAUGAACAUUUUCUUGGCCCAAAAAUGCAGUUUUGAAAACGUGCAAUUUUUCUAAUGCAAUUAAAAUUGCAAAUAAAGCCCGAAUAAAAUCCAAUAUUUGAUUUUAAUAUUUUUCCUCCAAUAUUUCAAUUAUUUUGGAGAAGUCAUAUUUUCUCCUCUCAUUUAUUUUAAUAUGAAAUAUUUUUUGGAGAGAAAAAUAAUUAAAACCAAAAAUCCUCGUUUUAUUAUUUGAUAAAAUCAAAUAUGAAAACCACGAAAAUCCCCAACUCUCUCCGAGGGUCCUUGAGUUGCUUAGGUUUUUUUCGAGGAUUUGCCAAAAUGCAAUAAAAUAUGCUAUGAAAUGAUGAUCUAAUGUAUAACAUUCCAAAUUGAAAAUUUGGGAUGUUACAGUCACACUCGUCGGACGCCGACAGGGGAGCUAGCUGGUCUGUGGGCGCCGCGUCUCCCCUCGUCGGCCGUCUCCUUCUUCGACGCCCGCAAGCUGUUCGACAGGCCAAGGUACGAAAAUGGACUCCGCCGACGAGUUCUUUUUCCACAAUUUGCUUUGCGACUCCGACGAUUUGUCGUCCGACGAUGAGGAGGAGAUAUUGGCUGCCGUGUUGGUCCAUCACCACCUCAACAACCAGCGGCCGUUGUUCCGUGGAUCCAUUCCGGGCCACCUUCCGGCGUUGAAUCGUAACGGAGAGAGCGGGCAUUUCCUUCUCUGGAAGGACUACUUUGAUACAACAAACCCGUUGUUCAAACAUCACAAAUUCCGCCGCGGUUUCCGUAUGAGUAGGCAUGUUUUCAACCGUAUUAGAGAGGGAGUGGUCGGCUAUGAUGACUACUUUGAGUGCAAAGAGGAUGCCGUCGGCAAGAUUGGUUUCUCCUCUUAUCAUAAAUGCACUGCCGCCAUCCAAAUGCUUGCAUACGAAGUGCCCGGUGAUCUCAUUGACGAGUACGUCCGUAUGAGUGAGUCUACAUGCCUAGAGUCCAUGUAUAAGUUCUGCAAGGCUGUGAUUGCUGUGUUUGGCCCUGAGUACUUGAAAGAGCCGACAGCUGAAGAUACAGCCCAUUUGCUGGCGAUGAAUGCCAGCAGGGGCUUCCCGGGGAUGCUUGGCAGCAUAGACUGCAUGCACUGGGAGUGGAAGAACUGCCCUUCUGCUUGGCAAGGGCAGUAUAAGGGACAUGUCAGGGCUUGCACUGUCAUACUAGAGGCUGUGGCAUCUCAAGAUCUUUGGAUCUGGCACUCUUUCUUUGGCAUGGCUGGAUCACACAAUGAUAUCAACGUGCUUCAGCGCUCGCCGGUGUUUGCUAGGCUUGUCGAAGGCAACAGCCCACCGGUGAACUUUACUGUCAACGGCCACAACUACGACAAAGGGUACUAUUUGGGUGACGGUAUCUAUCCUCAGUGGACCACUAUUGUCAAGACAAUACCCAACCCUAUCGGAGAGAAAAGGGAAAGAUUUGCCCAAGAGCAAGAGAGUGCUAGGAAGGAUGUCGAGCGUGCCUUUGGUGUUUUGCAAUCUCGAUGGGGCAUCGGUAUCCUGCUAAUACUUGGAGCACGCAUGAAAGAACAUGCGGUGCCCCCAUGUUUGGUUUUGGUAAUUGAUGACAAUCUCUAUGGACUAAUGGUUGCCUUGAGUUAUAUUUGAAGGAUUUGUCCAUAGGCAUUUCUUGAAGUUCAUGUGUUGGUUUCAAGGAGUUUAUGUGGUGACCAAGGUGUUAUUAAGGAAUUAUCCAAAGAUUGGUCAUGUGAGAGUUGAGCUUAUUGCAAGCAUGUCUUGGAGAAGAAGAUUGUGUGAUCAUUCAUGUAUAUCUUCAAGACAUCAUCCAAAUGAAGAGAGUUGAAAAGAUUCAAGGUUGAUCAAGACUAAGUCAAGAGUGAAUCAACUUGAUCAACUCACAAAGCGUAGAAGAUGUACCGAGAGGGAUCAAGCGAUCCCAUGGUGUGGUAAGCAUUGUCAAUUACGCUUUGUGUACUAACCCAUGAUCUUCGUGAGAGUUCUUUGUGGGGUUAGGUUGCGGUGUGCAAGUUCAAGUGAAGCAUCAUGAAGAGAUCAAAUGCUUGAAGCUUGCCGUCCAUUGUGGUGACAAUGGACUUGUGAAGAUGUUGCGGUGUGCAAGUUCAAGUGAAGCAUCAUGAAGAGAUCAAAUGCUUGAAGCUUGCCGUCCAUUGUGGUGACAAUGGACUUGUGAAGAUGUGUGGAAGAGUGGCUCACCCAUAGUGGAGUAUGGGGGAGCAAUCAAUUAGUCUUCAUCGAGCCAACGCAACCAAGAAAGGUGGUCCAACUUGAGGGAGUCAAGAUCGUCAUCAUCUAGCUCAAGUGGACCAUGUGCAAGGCAAAGGUUUGCCCUUGAUAGGUUUUCUAUUUUACCGGUCUCAUGAUGGUAGUUGGGAGACCGGGUUAUAGGAUCGAUUGUCGUACUAUCAAGGGGGGCUCUCGAAGAGUAGCUUGAUCGUAUCAUUCGUAGAGAGCUCAAACCAUUGCAUCCUUGCAUCAUCUUUCUUGGUUCUUGUUUGGUUCUUCUCUUUGUGAGUUUUGGAGCUUAUGGUCAUCUUGAUGACAAGCUCGAGUUCAUCGAAAACGGAGUUCACUCGCAUCUUCUAUGAUGUUUUCGAUGUUGGAAGGUUAUGCCGGUUCUUCUCGGUUGGAGGUUUCACUCCUCUAUUUUGUUGGCAUACCUUCCCCGCCUCUUCUUACUAACCAGUUGCUGUUUUGAUGCUACUCGUCGUCUUGUAUCCAACAAGAUUGAGUUUGCUCAAUUCGGAGCUCAUAUGCAGAAGUUAUGGCAGUUUUGGUUUCCCGUGGAGUAUACUUGUUUUCGUGGAAGUGGCUUUAGGUUGGUCCCAGCGGUAGUACCGCGGUAUCCAGCGGUAGUACCGCUUAGGGGUCACAAGCGACAGUACCGCUCCAGAGCGGUAGUACCGCUGUAGCCCCCAGCCGUAGUACCGCUGCGGCUUCGUGCUAGUACCGCCUCGAUUCGAGCUCGUUCCCCUCUCUCAGUGUGCCCUCUCUAGUCCCAGCGGUAGUACCGCGGGCCGGAGCGGUAGUACCACUUGGGUGCUACAAGCGGCAGUACCGCCCCACAGCGGUAGUACCGCUGUAGCCCCCAGCCGUAGUACCGAUGCGGCUUCGUGCUAGUACUGCCUCGAUUCGAGGGGUAUUUUUCCGUGUCGGGUUUUACGGUACUAGCCGCGGCAGUGGGGGCAGUAGUACCGCCCGUGUGCGGUAGUACCGCUCUGGGCCCAGCGGCAGUACCGCGAGGGGGAGCGGUAGUACCGCUGGCCAAGCGGUAGUACCGCCCUCUGCGGGGCUAUUUUGGGGGUAACGGUUGGAUUGUCCCCCCACUAUAUAAGGGGAUCUCUUCCCCAUUCUACCAUAUCCUUUGAGCUUGUGUUCUUCCCCCAUUGUUGACCUUCUUCGAGCUUGCUAACUCUCAAUCCCUCCAUGGAUUCUUGCUAGUUUUUGAGGGAAAAGAGAGAGGAGAUAUAGAUCCACAUUUCCACCAAUCACUUUCUCCUCUAUGUGAGGGGAACCCCUUGGAUCUAGAUCUUGGAGUUCUUGGUGUUCUCCUUCUUGUUUUUCCUCUCAUCUUCCUCCCUAGCAUUAGUUGCUUCGGUGGGAUUUGAGAGAGAAGGAUUUGGGCACUCCGUGUGCCCUUGCCAUUGAAUUUGGUGCAUCGGUUUGAGUUCUCCACGUGAUACAUGGAAGUUACAAGUUGAGAAGCUUAUUACUCUUGGGUGCUUGGUGCCCUUGAGCUUGUUCCUCUUGGGUGCUUGGGCGCCCUAGAUGGUUGGUGGUGUUCGGAGCUCAAUCAUUGUGGUGUAAAGCUCCGGGCAAGCGUCGGGGUCUCCAAUUAGGUUGUGGAGAUCGCCCCGAGCAAUUUGACGGGUACCGGUGACCGUCCCCAAGGGUUUCCAAAGUGUACGGGUUUGGUGACCGCCCCCAAGGGUUGCCAUUUGUACGGGUUCGGUGACCGCCCUCAAGGGUCCCUUAGUGGAAUCACGGCAUCUUGCAUUGUGCGAGGGCGUGAGGAGAUUACGGUGGCCCUAGUGGCUUCUUGGGGAGCAUUGUGCCUCCACACCGCUCCAAACGGAGAUUAGCAUCCGCAAGGGUGUGAACUUCGGGAUACAUCGUCGUCUCCGCGUGCCUCGGUUAUCUCUUACCCGAGCCCUUUACUUAUGCACUUUACUUUGUGAUAGCCAUAUUGUUUCUUGUCAUAUAUCUUGCUAUCACUUAGUUGUUUACCUUGCUUAGCAUAAGUUGUUGGUGCACAUAGGGAGCCUAGUUGUUUUAGGUUUUGUGCUUGUCAAAUUAACCGUUAGGUUUAUUCCGCAUUUGUUCAAGCCUAAACCGUAAUUAUUUUAAAGCGCCUAUUCACCCCCCCUCUAGGCGACAUCCACGAUCUUUCAAUUGGUAUCAGAGCCUCGUCUCUCUUUGUUAGGCUUAACCGCCUAGAGAGUAAAGAUGUCGACUAGGGGAUUAGGAUUCUCUGACACUCUUAGUUUCGAUGGCACAAAUUUUGAUGUUUGGGUAAUUCGCAUGCUUAAUCUCUUUAGGGUCAUGGACCCAAAUUUAGAGCGAAUUGUAGAUAUGGGUUUUUCUCCUCCAAAGGAUCCCCAAAGAUUAUCUUUAGAGGAUGAGAAAAAAAAUCUUAUCUCAAUGCUCAAGCUUCUAAUGUGCUUUUCGAUGCUUUGAGCAAUGUAGUUAUAUUUCAAGUCAUGCCGUUCCGGGAUGCACAUGAAUUAUGGACAAAGCUUCAAGAUAAAUAUGGUGUGUCCAAGAUUUGUGGGGAUGAUUGUUCUCCCUCCACCUCCGGCCGUGUUGCCUUCUCAACUUCUUCUACUUCACCUACAUGUGGAUUGCCACAAGGUAAUGUUAGGGUGAGUAGUGGUGGUCAUUGCAAUGAUGAUAGUGUGCUUGUUCUUGGUGAUUCUUCAUCUCUAUCUUAUUGCCAUGGUCCUUCGUUGGACUUUAACACUUCGAGCACCUUACAUGUUUCACAUGCUCGUGUUGGUAGUCCUUGCAUAUCAUGUAGAAAUUGCUUGCUCAAAUCUCAUGAUGAUAUGCUUGCUAUGUCUUGUUGCCAUGAUGAAAAUGUAUCUAUUUCCUCGAGUUGUUGUGCUAACAAUGUAGAGGAAACCCAACACUCCAUGGAACAAGAUGUGGUCUUGAAUGGUGCUUUAAGGGAUCCCACAUCAUCAUCUAUUGCUUUUUGCCUUAUGGCCAAGGCUUCAAAGGUACCUCCCACUUUGAAUCCCAAUAUAUCUUGUGAUAAUAUUGAUGAUGGCAAGAGUGAUGAUGAUGUCGAUUAUGAUGAAGAGAAUGAUGAUGUUGCCUCCUUAAAAGUUAAGGGGGAAAUAAUUUUCAAAGCUCUUCUUAAGAAUAAAAUUGCUCGUUCCAACUUCAUGGAAAUCAUGUCUAUUGCUAUUGAGGGCAAGAAAUAUAUUGAUGAGUUGGAAUCUUGUCUUGAGGAGCAUGAGGUCACCAUUGAUAAAAUGGAAGGUCAUGAGCGUGAUUACGCUAAUGAGAUUGCGGACCUCUCUCAAGCUCUUGAACUUGAACAAACCACCAAGGAAUCUCUUGAGGAGACUUUUGCUCUAGAGUUAUCUAGAGUGAAGGAAUCUCAUGAUAGAGCUCUUGAGGUGGCCAAUGUUUUUGAAACUAAAAAUGCUAAGCUUGAAGUUCUUCAUGCUAGACUCCUUGAGGAUUUUGAGCUCCUCGAAAAUGGCUCAAGGGUCAUCAAGGGUGAGCUCAUCAAACUCACCGAGUCUCAUGCUCAACUUGAAGCUUCUUAUUUAAAAGAGCUUGCCAAGUUGCCUUCUCAUCUUGUUGUUAAUGAUGAUGCUUGUGCUACUAACUCUAUUUCUUGUGAAGCAUCCAUUUUAAAGGAGAACGUUGAGCUACGGGCUCAACUUGAGUUGCUAUCUAGCAAUUAUGGGAAAUUGGAAGAAAGCCAUGAAAAGCUCUCAAGCUCUCAUGAUGAUCUUCUAGUAUCCCAUAAUGUGCUAAAGAUAGCUCAUGAGGCCAUGAUUUCUAAGGUAACAUCUAGUGAGCCUCAUGUGGACACUAGCACUACUUUUAGUCAAAAUGCUAUAUUGCCUUGUGCUAGUCCUCGCGAUUCAUCCAUGCAUAAUGUUGGUACAUCUUGUGAUGAAUUGCUUUCCUUGCCUUGUUGCUCUAACGAUGAAGCUUAUACUUCCUCUAGUGCUUGUGUUGAGACUAACCAUGUAGAGGAAAUCAAAGAGCUCAAGGCCCAAGUCACUUCUUUGAAGAAAGACUUGGAAAAGAGUCAUGAAGGGAAAUUUACACUCAACAACAUCUUGAGAGUGCAAAAAUCCCCCAAUUACAAAGGUGGACUUGGAUUCAACUCCAACAAGAAGAAUAAGUCCAAGAUGAACAAAAAGAAGGGCCAAGAACAAGUCAAGAAUUCGGCCAAGAUUGUUUGCUUCAAGUGCAAAGUAGAAGGGCAUCAUGUUAGAUCUUGCCCAUUGAAGAAGAAGGCCAUUAGUGAUAAGCAACAAGGGAAGCGGCCACAAGUUCACUCUCAUUAUCAACCUCAAGUUGAAGAAAGGCCUCUUCCUAAGAAAACUCAAGCUAAUGCUUCUCAAGUUGAGAAAUCAAGUGAGAAGAAAGUAAAGAGUAGGCGUUGCUACCUAUGUCGUGAAAAAGGUCACGUCGCUUCUUCAUGCACUAGUGGUAACUUAUCCAACCCAAUUAUUAUUGAUGAUGUCUAUUCUCUUGGGAAGGAUAAGGUUGGCAAUGUGGUUGCCAAGUUUGUUGGUACUCAAAGUGGUUUGAAGCAAAGAACCAUUUGGGUAGCCAAGCCUAUUGUGACUAACCUCUUAGGACCCAACUUGGUUGGGGACCAACUAGCUCAAACUUGAUCAAUAGGUGUUGUUGGAGGGCAUUGGAGACUUGGAUACUUUAUGAAGAAUUAAGGGGACUUCAUCAUUCUAAUUUUCUCAAGCCAAGUCAUUCGGAUUAUCAAGUUUCUAUCUUAUAUCCAAUGUUCCUCCUUGCGGUAAAUCAUUCUUAAAGUGUUUACAUUGAUAGCUACUUACCCCUUUGCAUGUUUGGUUUCGUUCCUUGCAUGUGUUUGUAUAUGUUGUGCUUCCAACUUGAUUAUCUUGAGCAAUCAAGUAUGUGUGUGUUGGUUUGCACAUCAUGUACGUGUGUGUCAUGCGUUGAGCCUUUUUGCAUCUUUUUUAUUUCUUAGUUGGCUCUUGUGAGAGAUUAAUGGAAUAUCCCAUUAUGGGGGAGUGAUGUGCUUUGUGCACCUCACAAUCCUAUAUAUGUGUAUACAUGAGUAAUACCAUCUAGUAUUGAUAUUUCAAGAUUAUCUAGUCGCUAUGUAGUAUGUCUUCUCAUGAGAAAUUCAAAUUUUAAAUUGCCCAUUAAUUAUCUCUUGUUGGAUCAUUAUUUUUCCUCUUGUUUAUCUUUAAUUGGUAUCACAUUAUGGGGGAGUAAUAUGCUAUGUGUAUAUUACUAGCCUAGAAAAUGUGUACAUUUGAGAUAUUGUCACCUAGAAUUGAUAUUGUAAAUUAUUUUGUUCCUAGGUGGCAUGUUAGCUCUACAAGUUGCAAUUUGCUUUUUGUUUGGUGUGAAGAUGAUGUCGGAUAUCCUUGCUAUCUACCACCGGGAAUUAUUUCCAAAUACUUCUUGUCUUUUGACAAUUGGUACUCACUUAUGUGUGGUAGAAAUUAUUGAUCAUCUUUACAUUGGCCUUUGCUUUUAUUUGUUUUUUUUUCUUGCCUAGGAAUGUAUCAAUUCCCUUUGUCUUCCAUACCACUUGUGGAUCUUGUUAAUUUCUUGAUCUUGUCUAGUGUUUUCUAGAUAUAGUGAAAGUGGUGAUCCCACCUUGUGCAUUUUGUAUUCAAAUGCAAAUUCUCUAUAAUGCACUAGUCUUGGGGGAGCUAUCCUAUUUUCUAUAAAACACUCAUCUUGCGAUCCUUAUCAAGUGUGUGUUGGUGGACGGCAAGCCGUUUCUUUUUGGUACUUGUGCCAUCAUGAAACUUUGUAGAGAGCUUGGUUUGUUUGGAACCAUCCUCUCUUUUGGGAGUUUGAUAUAAUUUUGUGGGCUCCAAUGGAUAUCUCAUUCCUUGAUGUAUCUUUUAAUGAUAUCUUCCAAGUGAUGAUUUCUCCAUUUGGUAUUCUUUUCACUUGGUAUUUCCUUGUAUUUUGGUAUCGGUUAUUGAAAGUCUUGAGCAUGCAUAUUAACUCCAUGUAGUUUCCGUGGCAUGCUUUCUCUUUUUGACCCAAUAUAUAAGGGAAACUCCACCAAGUCUCAAAUUGGAUGAGAUGUGCAUGAAUUUCAUUUCCAUUUCUAUAUGCACAUAUUUAUGUGGAGUUUGUCCUAUGUAUUGUUGGUGUUUCUAACUCUUUGGUCCCAAUGAGUUUGGGUACCAUUUUGUUUGUGUUGUUGUUCUAGGAACAAUUGGAGAUGCAUUGGAUGCUCGGCUCACUCACAAGGAAGGUGUUGUCACCAUGUGCUUUUUGGAGUCAAGCUAGGAUGAUCAAUGAACUACUUUCUACCUUCAAUUGGUAUCUACUACAUCCUUCCAAUGUUAACUCGGUAACAAGUAUCUUCAUAUACUUCAUGCACACAUUUCUUGCAUAAACCUUGUGUAGGUUGUAUCAUGGCAUGUUAUUCAUUCUCUCUUGUGAUACUUGUUUCCUUUCUCAAAGCAUCCCAACAAUGAUCUCUUGUUUCUAGUUGUGAUGUCUUUGAUGGUUGUGUGGUAGGAAUUCAUUUAUGUACAAUAAGACCAUAUCUAGCCAUGUGCUAUGCUUCCAAGCAAAUAUCUUAUUGGUAUAUCUAUGACUUCCUUUGGAUAUCUUGUUCCUUCGUGUUGUAACUAUUUCGGGUGUACAUCCUUCUUCGUAGAUAUAUAUCCUCAUGAUUUCGUCUACCUAGAACCUUAUACACUUGAGAGAAAUUACAUCUCUAGAUGAUAUCCUUUCUUUCACGUCCACCUUGUCCUUCUUAUGUUAUUUCUUUUGUGGCUCCGUGAAAGCUUUUGCCUUGAGUGCGUGUCUUAUCUCAUUGCAUCUUGAUGCACUCUUGUGUGGUGAAGAUUAUUUUCCUCAUGCUUGUCUUUACGAGGCUUUUGCCAUCUUAAUUGGUAUCCCUCGUCUUGAUGAAGCUUUCUUUUAUAUCUUCACCACGGGUGGUUACAAGCAUAGGUUCUUUAUAUGCUUAUUAGUAAGCUUGUGAACCCAUUUUCUAGUUGUGUGUGGGAAUGAUAGGCCUUGCAUCGUGUGCCUCAUUCUCCCAAGACUUUAUUGAUGCUUAAUGUCCAUCCGUACAUUAGUCUUCUCAAGUGCAUUGCCUUGACUCACACACAUCAUUUUGGUUGAGCCCAUUCUUAAGUUGCCUCUUUUUACUUGUUGCUCAACCAUAUGUUCGUUGCAACUACUAGGCUUUGUUUCCUAUAUGUGCACUUGCACUUGUUGUAAAUUUCUAUUGAUUUUGGGGGAGCUAUGAUCCUAUUUUGUGCACUUUGUAUCCAAAUACAAAUAUUCUUGUGUGCACAAAUCAUGGGGAGCUUCUCUAGUUUCUUUAGAACACUCCUUUGCUCAUAUCAUAAUAUCUUUUAUUCAUGUGGCAUGUAGGAUCAAUGGUCUAGUUGGUUCAAUUGGUAUCUUUUGAUAGCUUGCCUCGAUUGGUAUCCUUUGAUUGCUUGAUUGCUCGUUUCUCUGUAUGUUAUGUCUUUGUGGCAUAUCAUUCUUUUGCAAUCUUUGGGCCUCAAUAUAGUUUGUCUUCCUCCAAAUAUUUAUCGUUGGACAUGUGUAUUGCAUUCCACUCUCUAGUUGAGAAAUACACAAUUUAUGGAGGGACACAAGCUAUAUUGGCCUUCUAAGCCUUUCGCCCAUUUUGGCAAUCGAUGCCAAUGGGGGAGAAGUUUCAGAGAGUUUUGUGGAGAAGUCUUCAGAGUUUUCUCCUUGCUUUGGUUUUGUUCCUAAGCAUUUGCAUCUCAUACGCAUGCAUUAUUGGUUGUUGCAUUACAUGGUGAUGCAUAAUUCCUUACAUAACUCUCUUGAAAGUGAUUGUCAUCAAUUACCAAAAUGGGGGAGAUUGAAAGAACAUGCGGUGCCCCCAUGUUUGGUUUUGGUAAUUGAUGACAAUCUCUAUGGACUAAUGGUUGCCUUGAGUUAUAUUUGAAGGAUUUUUCCAUAGGCAUUUCUUGAAGUUCAUGUGUUGGUUUCAAGGAGUUUAUGUGGUGACCAAGGUGUUAUUAAGGAAUUAUCCAAAGAUUGGUCAUGUGAGAGUUGAGCUUAUUGCAAGCAUGUCUUGGAGAAGAAGAUUGUGUGAUCAUUCAUGUAUAUCUUCAAGACAUCAUCCAAAUGAAGAGAGUUGAAAAGAUUCAAGGUUGAUCAAGACUAAGUCAAGAGUGAAUCAACUUGAUCAACUCACAAAGCGUAGAAGAUGUACCGAGAGGGAUCAAGCGAUCCCAUGGUGUGGUAAGCAUUGUCAAUUACGCUUUGUGUACUAACCCAUGAUCUUCGUGAGAGUUCUUUGUGGGGUUAGGUUGCGGUGUGCAAGUUCAAGUGAAGCAUCAUGAAGAGAUCAAAUGCUUGAAGCUUGCCGUCCAUUGUGGUGACAAUGGACUUGUGAAGAUGUUGCGGUGUGCAAGUUCAAGUGAAGCAUCAUGAAGAGAUCAAAUGCUUGAAGCUUGCCGUCCAUUGUGGUGACAAUGGACUUGUGAAGAUGUGCGGAAGAGUGGCUCACCCAUAGUGGAGUAUGGGGGAGCAAUCAACUAGUCUUCAUCGAGGCAACGCAACCAAGAAAGGUGGUCCAACUUGAGGGAGUCAAGAUCGUCAUCAUCUAGCUCAAGUGGACCAUGUGCAAGGCAAAGGUUUGCCCUUGAUAGGUUUUCUAUUUUACCGGUCUCAUGAUGGUAGUUAGGAGACCGGGUUAUAGGAUCGAUUGUCGUACUAUCAAGGGGGGCUCUCGAUGAGUAGCUUGAUCGUAUCAUUCGUAGAGAGCUCAAACCAUUGCAUCCUUGCAUCAUCUUUCUUGGUUCAUGUUUGGUUCUUCUCUUUGUGAGUUUUGGAGCUUAUGGUCAUCUUGAUGACAAGCUCGAGUUCAUCGAAAACGGAGUUCACUCGCAUCUUCUAUGAUGUUUUCGAUGUUGGAAGGUUAUGCCGGUUCUUCUCGGUUGGAGGUUUCACUCCUCUAUUUUGUUGGCAUACCUUCCCUGCCUCUUCUUACUAACCAGUCGCUGUUUUGAUGCUACUCGUCAUCUUGUAUCCAACAAGCUUGAGUUUGCUCAAUUCGGAGCUCAUAUGCAGAAGUUAUGGCAGUUUUGGUUUCCCGUGGAGUAUACUUGUUUUCGUGGAAGUGGCUUUAGGUUGGUCCCAGCGGUAGUACCGCGGUAUCCAGCGGUAGUACCGCUUAGGGGUCACAAGCGGCAGUACCGCUCAAGAGCGGUAGUACCGCUCCAGAGCGGUAGUACCGCUGUAGCAACCAGCCGUAGUACCGCUAAGGCUUCGUGCUAGUACCACCUCGAUUCGAGCUCGUUCCCCUCUCUCAGUGUGACCUCUCUAGUCCCAGCGGUAGUACCGCGGGCCGGAGCGGUAGUACCGCUUGGGUGCUACAAGCGGCAGUACCGCCCCACAGCGGUAGUACCGCUGUAGCCCCCAGCCGUAGUACCGCUGCGGCUUCGUGCUAGUACUGCCUCGAUUCGAGGGGUCUUUUUCCGUGUCGGGUUUUGCGUUACUAGCCGCGGCAGUGGGGGCAGUAGUACCGCCUGUGUGCGGUAGUACCGCUCUGGGCCCAGCGGCAGUACCGCGAGGGGGAGCGAUAGUACCGCUGGCCAAGCGGUAGUACCGCCCUCUGCGGGGCUGUUUUGGGGGUAACGGUUGGAUUGUCCCCCCACUAUAUAAGGGGGUCUUCUUCCCCAUUCUACCUUAUCCUUUGAGCUCGUGUUCUUCCCCCAUUGUUGACCUUCUUCGAGCUUGCUAACUCUCAAUCCCUCCAUGGAUUCUUGCUAGUUUUUGAGGGAAAAGAGAGAGGAGAUAUAGAUCCACAUUUCCACCAAUCACUUUCUCCUCUAUGUGAGGGGAACCCCUUGGAUCUAGAUCUUGGAGUUCUUGGUGUUCUCCUUCUUGUUUUUCCUCUCAUCUUCCUCCCUAGCAUUAGUUGCUUUGGUGGGAUUUGAGAGAGAAGGAUUUGGGCACUCCGUGUGCCCUUGCCAUUGCAUUUGGUGCAUCGGUUUGAGUUCUCCACGUGAUACGUGGAAGUUACAAGUUGAGAAGCUUAUUACUCUUGGGUGCUUGGUGCCCUUGAGCUUGUUCCUCUUGGGUGCUUGGGCACCCUAGACGGUUGGUGGUGUUCGGAGCUCAAUCAUUGUGGUGUAAAGCUCCGAGCAAGCGUCGGGGUCUCCAAUUAGGUUGUGGAGAUCGCCCCGAGCAAUUUGACGGGUACCAGUGACCGCCCCAAGGGUUGCCAAAGUGUACGGGUUCGGUGACCGCCCCCAAGGGUUGCCAUUUGUACGGGUUCGGUGACCGCCCUCAAGGGUCCCUUAGUGGAAUCACGGCAUCUUGCAUUGUGCGAGGGCGUGAGGAGAUUACGGUGGCCCUAGUGGCUUCUUGGGGAGCAUUGUGCCUCCACACCGCUCCAAACGGAGAUUAGCAUCCGCAAGGGUGUGAACUUCGGGAUACAUCGUCGUCUCCGCGUGCCUCGGUUAUCUCUUACCCGAGCCCUUUACUUAUGCACUUUACUUUGUGAUAGCCAUAUUGUUUCUUGUCAUAUAUCUUGCUAUCACUUAGUUGUUUACCUUGCUUAGCAUAAGUUGUUGGUGCACAUAGGUGAGCCUAGUUAUUUUAGGUUUUGUGCUUGUCAGAUUAACCAUUAGGUUUAUUCCGCAUUGUUCAAGCCUAAACCGUAAUUAUUUUAAAGCGCCUAUUCACCCCCCCUCUAGGCGACAUCCACGAUCUUUCAACGCAGAAACUAUGGGAGGUGAUGACUGCUUGUGUGAUCAUGCACAAUAUGAUCGUAGAAGACGAGCGCCCGGAACGUCUGUACGAUCAAGGCUUUUAGUUUCAGGGUGAGAAUGUUGUGCCUGAGCAUGGAGUAGGGGCAACAUUUGAGCAGUUCACUCAGUUUCAUGAAGACAUGCGUGAUUGGGAAACUCACGUGCAACUGCAAAAUGAUUUGGUUGAGCAUAUGUGGACUCAUGUUGGCAACAAAUAGAUGUAUCUUCUUUUAUUCGUUUGUAAAACUAUGUGAAACAUUUUUAUUUGUAUUUGGCUUGUAAAACUAUACUAUUUAUUUGGCGGCUAAACUAUUUUGCAUGUUAACAUUUUCAUUUCAAAAUAUGUUUGAAUGCAAAUCAAUGUAAAAUUGGGCGGCCAGCCGGCCACGCCUGCACAUAUGGGUCGGCGCGUUGGGCGCGCUGCCGACCCAUAUGAAAAACAGGGCGGACGCCGGGCGGGCGGCCGACCCAAACGAACAAAAAGCGGACGAAAUCGCCGUCCGUUUGGGUCGGCCCGUUGGAGUUGCUCUUACGAAAUGGUGCCCUCGUAUCCAGCUCAAAAAACAAAAUGACGCCUUGUAAGCCUACGGCCCAACACAGAUUUCAACGUAGUGACCUGUAGUGCAUCAGAGUCCUACAUUUGACACUCGUGCUCGUGUUUUUUGAAUUUUUUUAGACCUUCCGGCGAUGUGCAUUCCGUGAGACUAGCCACAAUGGGUAGUAACAUGCUCAUGUUAUUAGUCUAUGUUACUACCUUUAUACUGGGGAGUAACAUAUGUAUGGUAACAUGGAGCACUUCAUUUAUUAGGCUAUACACACAUCUUGCCUUGAUAUGUGUGAUGUUACUCAUACUAGUAGUAACUACCUAUGUUACCGCUUUCAUCUCUUUCUUCAUUUAUUGCAUGCCACACCAUCUAUUUAAUCUAGAUAUGUGUGAUGUUACUACCUAUGUUACUCCCACUGUGGGUAGCCUGAGAGACGACAUUUCCGUCGACUACAAAUGCGUCUGUGGCGACUGGAUCAAUCUUAAGAUGAUGUGCUGGCUCGGUCUCUCGAAGAUGCUGCAGGUGUAAAUUGUGUGUACCCACGUCCAUAGGGACGAGUGUAUGUGCAUAUAUAUGAGCAUUUGUAUCUGUGGUGUAAAAAAAUAAUACAUACUCCCUCCGACCGAAAAAGCUUGUCUUUCAAAUAGAUGUAUCUAGCAUCAAGUUAGUGCUAGAUACAUCCAUUUGAUGGACAAUGUUGGGACAAGUUUUUUUGGACGGAGGAAGUAUGUUACACCAAAAAGAAAAUCAGAGUAGUAAGAACAUCUACGACCCUUAUACGUGUCUGUGGAUGCAUCCAUACACGUCCGCGGAUAAUGACCAUUCACCCCCUCAUUUCUUAGCAUUCGGAGUGGUUCUCUCAUAUCCGGCCCCACAAAUCCAUGCAAUGCGAGAUAAACUGCAUAGAUCAUCAGCAUAGCAAUCAUACAUACAAGCAGACAUAAAUAAAAUUUGUGUGCAUAGUAACAAAAGUUCAUCACCAGACACGUAUAGCCGGACCAAAAUAGGCAGUUCAUCACCACACACUAGAUAGCUAAGGGGGCAGACCCGACAUACCCGAGCUAUAAGCCAAGGAAAAUUUAUAUUACAAUAGCUACAAUGCAAAAACAAAAUAUGAAUUGGUUUGCAACAGUACUUAAACUAGUGAUUUGCUUAUUAUACUAACGGAUCUUACCGAGCCUUCUGUUGAGUUUUGUGUGGAUGAAGUGAUCAAAGAUCAAGGAGAUCUCGAUAUGAGGAGAAGGAGGAGAGGCAAGAGCUCAAGCUUGGGGAUGCCCAAGGCACCCCAAGUAAAUAUCCAAGGAGACUCAAGCGUCUAAGAUUGGGAAUGCCCCGGAAGGCAUCCCAUCUUUCUUCAACAAGUAUCAUUAUGUUUUCGUCUUUGUUUCGUUCAUGUGAUAUGUGCAAAUCUUGGAGCGUCUUUUGUGUUUACUUUUCAUUUUUUUAUUUUAUGCACCAUGCCGGUAUGAGAUAGCCCAUGGUCGAUUUAUAGAAUGCUCAUUGCACUUCACUUAUAUCUUUUGAGUAGGGCUUUAUAGAAUGCUUCAUGUGCUUCAGUUAUAUCAUUUGAAGUUUGGAUUGCCUGUUUCUCUUCACAUAGAAAACCGUUAUUUGUAGAAUGCUCUUUUGAUUCACUUAUACUUACUAGAGCAUGAUCUUUUGUAGAAAGAAUUAAACUCUCAUUCUCCACUUAUAUCUAUUUAGAGAGUCAACAGGAAUUGGUCAUUUGCAUGGUUAGUCAUAAAUCCUACAUAAAACCCGUGGAUCACUGAAUAUGAUAUGUUUGACUCCUUGCAAUAGUUUUGCGAUAUAGAGAUGGAAUAUGUGGGAGGUACUAGUAAACGGUUGCGGUUAGUAAGAAUAUUGGUGUUAAGGUUUGUGAUUCCCGAAGCAUGCAUGUAUAGUCUCUCGUUAUGCUAUGAAGUUGGAGCAUGAUUUAUUAUUGACUGUCUUCCUUAUGAGUGGCGGUCGGGGACGAGCAAUGGUCUUUUCCUACCAAUCAAUCCCCCUAGGGGCAUGUGUAGUAGUACUUCGCUUCGAGGGCUAAUAAACUUUUGCAAUAAGUAUACGAGUUCUUUAUGACUAAUGUGAGUCCAUGGAUUGUACGCACUCUUACCUAUCCGCAAUUUGCUAGCCUCUAUGGUACCGUCCAUUGCCCUUUCUCACCUCGAGAGUCGGUGCAAACUUCGCCGGUGCAUCCAAACCCCGUGAUAUGAAACACUCUAUCACACAUAAGCCUUAUUAUAUCUUCCUUAAAACAGCCACUAUACCUACCUAUUAUGGCCCCUUUCCAUAGCCAUUCCGAGAUAUAUUGCCAUGCAACUUCCACCGCUUCCGUUUUGAUGACUUGAGCAUUCAUUGUCAUAUUGCUUUGCAUGAUCGUAAGAUCGCUAGCAUGAUAUUUCCAUGGCUUGUCCGUUUUUUUAUAUCGUUGUUAUGCUAGAUCAUUGCACAUCCUGGUACACUGCCAGAGGCAUUCAUAUAGAGUCAUACUUUGUUAUAGGUAUCGAGUUUUAAUUUUCAUUUCUUUGAGUUAUAAUUAAAUAGAAGUGUGAUGAUCAUCAUUAUUCAUUUUUAGAGCAUUGCCCCAGUGAGGAAAGGAUGAUGGAGAAUAUGAUUCCCCCACAAGUCGGGAUGAGACUCCGGACAAUGAGAGAGAAAAUAUAAAAAAAUAAAUAAAAAAAAAGAAACAAAGAGAGAAGGGGCAUGCUACUUCCACACUUGUGCUUCAAAGUAGCACCAUGUUUUUCAUAUGGAGAGUUUCCUAUGUUGUCACUUUCAUAUACUAGUGGGAAUUUUUCAUUACAGAGUUAGAUGCACACCCACUUUGUUUUCAUUCCGAGCUUUCAUACACUUAUAGCUCUUAGUGCGUUCGUUGCAUGGCAAUCCCUACUCCUCGCAUUUAUAUCAAUUGAUGGGCAUCUCCGUGGCCCAUUGGUUAGCCGUGUCGAUGUGAGACUUUCUUAAUUUUUGUCUUCUCUAUAUUUACCCCUAUCAUCAUACUCUAUUCCACCCGUAGUGCUAUAUCCAUGGCUUGCGCUCAUGUAUUGCGUGAGGGUUGAAAAAGCUGAAGCGCGUUAAAAAGUAUGAACCAAUUGCUCGGCUGGUCAUCGGGGUUGUGCAUGAUAAAUACUUUGUGUUAAGAAGACAGAGCAUGACAAGACUAUAUGAUUUUGUAGGGAUAGCUUUCUUUAGCGUUGAUAUUUUGAAAUACAUGAUUGUUUGUUGGGAUGCCUGAGUAUUGAUGUCUUUAUGUCAAACUAUAGACUACUGCUUUGAAUCACUUAUGUCUUAAUAUUCAUUCCAUGACUAGACAUAUGAUCAAGUUUAUGCUAGGUAGCAUUCCACAUCAAAAAUUACCUUUUUAUCAUUUACCUACUCGAGAACGAGUAGGAAUUAAGCUUGGGAAUGCUGAUACUGAAGGAAAUAUGCCCUAGAGGCAAUAAUAAUGUUGUUAUUUAUUUUUCCUUAUAUCAUGAUAAAUGUUUAUUAUUCAUGCUAGAAUUGUAUUAACCAAAAACUUGUACAUGUGUGAAUACACAGACAAAACAAAGUGUCCCUAGUAUGCCUCUACUAGACUAGCUCGUUGAUCAAAGAUGGUUAAGUUUCCUGACCAUAGACAUGUGUUGUCAUUUGAUGAACGGGAUCACAUCAUUAGAGAAUAAUGUGAUGGACAAGACCCAUCUGUUAGCUUAGCAUAAUGAUCGUUUAGUUUUAUUGCUAUUGCUUUCUUCAUGACUUAUACAUGUUCCUCCGACUAUGAGAUUAUGCAACUCCCGAAUACCGGAGGAACACCUUGUGUGUUAUCAAACGUCACAACGUAACUGGGUGAUUAUAAAGAUGCUCUACAGGUGUCUCCAAAGGUGUUUGUUGAGUUGGCAUAGAUCGAGAUUAGGAUUUGUCACUCCGUGUAUCGGAGAGGUAUCUCUGGGCCCUCUCGGUAAUGCACAUCACUAUAAGCCUUGCAAGCAUUGUGACUAAUGAGUUAGUUGCAGGAUGAUUCAUUACGGAACGAGUAAAGAGACUUGCCGGUAACGAGAUUGAACUAGGUAUGAGAAUACCGACGAUCGAAUCUCGAGCAAGUAACAUACCGAUGACAAAGGGAACAACAUAUGUUGUUAUGCGGUUUGACCGAUAAAGAUCUUCGUAGAAUAUGUAGGAGCCAAUAUGAGCAUCCAGGUUCCGCUAUUGGUUAUUGACCGGAGAUGUGUCUCGGUCAUGUCUACAUAGUUCUCGAACCCGUAGGGUCCGCACGCUUAACGUUCGAUGACGAUUUGUAUUAUGAGUUAUGUGAUCUGAUGUACCGAAGGUUGUUCGGAGUCCCGGAUGAGAUCACGGACAUGACGAGGAGUCUCAAAAUGGUUGAGACGUAAAGAUCGAUAUAUUGGAAGGCUAUAUUCAGACAUCGGAAAGGUUUCGAGUGAUUCGGGUAUUUUUCGGAGUACCGGAGAGUUACGGGAAUUCGCAGGGAGAAGUAAUGGGCCUUAUUGGGCUUUAGUGGAGAGAGGGGAGAAGGGCCAAGAGGUGGCGCGCGCCUCCCUUCUGCCCAAACCGAAUUGGACAAGGGGUGGGGGUGCGGCCCCCUUUCCUUCUCCCUCUCCCUCACUUUCCUUCUCUCUUACUCCGAAUAGGAAAGAGGAGGGGAAUCCUACUUGGACUGGGGAGUCCUGGUAGGAUUCCCCACACCUGGCGCGCCCCCCUUGGGCUGGCCACCUCUUCCCUCCCCUCCUUUAUAUACGUGGCCACGGGGCACCCCAAAGGCACUACAAAAUUUGUCUUAGCCAUGUGCGGUGCCCCCCUCCGCAGUUACACACCUCGGUCAUAUCGUCGAAGUGCUUAGGCGAAGCCCUGCGUCGGUUACUUCAUCAUCACCGUCGCCACGCCAUCGUGCUGACGGAACUCUCCCUCGGCCUCAACUAGAUCAAGAGUAUGAGGGACGUCAUCGAGUUGAACGUGUGCUGAACACGGAGGUGCCGUACGUUCGGUGCUAGGAUCGGUUGGAUCGUGAAGACGUACGACUACAUCAACCGCGUUGAUAAAACGCUUCCGCUUUCGGUCUAUGAGGGUACGUGGAGACAAUCUCCCCGCUCGUUGCUAUGCUUCUUCUAGAUAGAUCUUGCGUGAUCGUAGGAAAUUUUUGAAAUUACUGCGUUCCCCUUCAGUGGCAUCCGAGCCAGGUUUAUGCGUAGAUGUUAUAUGCAUGAGUAGAACACAAAGGGUUGUGGGCGAUAAUAGUCAUACUGCUUACCAGCAUGUCAUACUUUGAUUCGGCGGUAUUGUUGGAUGAAGCGGCCCAGCUGACAUUACAUGACCGCGUUCAUGAGACUGGUUCUACCGCCGUGCUUCGCACACAGGUGGCUAGUGGGUGUCUGUUUCUCCAACUUUAGUUGAAUCGAGUGUGACUACACCCGGUCCUUGUUGAAGGUUAAAACAGCACACUUGACAAAAAAUCGUUGUGGUUUUGAUGCGUAGGUAAGAACGGUUCUUGCUAAGCCCGUAGCAGCCAUGUAAAACUUGCAACAACAAAUUAGAGGACAUCUGACUUGUUUUUGCAGGGCUUGCUGUGAUGUGAUAUGGUCAAGACGUGAUGAUAUAUAAAUUGUUGUAUGAGAUGAUCAUGUUUUGUAAAAGUUAUCAGCAAUUGGCAGGAGCCUUAUGGUUGUCACUUUAUUGUAUGAAAUGCAAUCGCCAUGUAAUUGCUUUACUUUAUCACUAAGCGGUAGCGAUAGUCGUGAUAGCAAUAGUUGGCAAGACGACAACGAUGCUUCGAUGGAGAUCAAGGUGUCAAGCCAGUGACGAUGGUGAUCAUGACGGUGCUUUGGAGAUGGAGAUCAAAGGCACAAGAUGAUGAUGGCCAUAUCAUAUCACUUAUAUUGAUUGCAUGUGAUGUUUAUCUUUAUGCAUCUUAUUUUGCUUAGUUCGGCGGUAGCAUUAUAAGAUGAUCUCUCACUAAAUUUCAAGGUAUAAGUGUUCUCCUUGAGUAUGCACCGUUGCGACAGUUCUUCGUGCUGAAACACCAUGUGAUGAUCGGGUGUGAUAAGCUCUACGUUCACAUACAACGGGUGCAAGCCAGUUUUGCACACGCGGAAUACUCGGGUUAAACUUGACGAGCCUAGCAUAUGCAGAUAUGGCCUCAGAACACUGGAGACCGAAAGGUCGAGCGUGAAUCAUAGUAGAUAUGAUCAACAUAGUGAUGUUCACCAUUGAAAACUACUCCAUCUCACAUGAUGAUCGGACAUGGUUUAGUUGAUUUGGAUCACAUGAUCAUUUAGAUGACUAGAGGGAUGUCUAUCUAAGUGGGAGUUCUUAAAUAAUAUGAUUAAAUUGAACUUUAAUUUAUCAUGAACUUAGUCCUAAUAGUAUUUGCAUAACUAUGUUGUAGAUCAAUAGCUCGCGAUGUAGCUCCCCAUUUAUUUUUGAUAUGUUCCUAGGGAAAAACUAUGUUGAAAGAUGAUAGUAGCAAUGAUGCGGACUAGGUUCGUGAUCUUAGGAUUAUCCUCAUUGCUGCACAGAAGAAUUAUGUCCUUUAUGCACUACUAGGUGACGGACCUAUUGCAGGAGCACAUUCAGAUGUUAUGAACGUUUGGCAAGCUCGGUAUGAUAACUACUUGAUAGUUUAGUGCGCCAUGCUUUACGGCUUAGAACCAGGACUUCAAAAAUGGUUUGAAUGCCACGGAACAUAUAAGAUGUUCCAAGAGCUGAAAUUGGUAUUUCAGACUCAUGCCCGAGUCAAGAGGUACGAGACCUCUGAUUGCCUACAAGAUGGAGGAGAAUAGCUCAACCAGUGAGCAUGUGCUCAGAUUGUCUGAGUACUACAAUCGCUUGAAUCAAGUGGGAGUUAAUCUUCCAGAUAAAAUAGUGAUUGACAGAGUUCUCUAGUCACUGUCACCAAGUUUCUGGAACUUCGUGAUGAACUAUAAUAUGCAAGGGAUGACGAAAACAAUUCCUGAGCUCUUCGUGAUGCUGAAAUCGACGAAGGUAGAAAUCAAGAAAAGCAUCAAAUGUUGAUGGUUGACAAGACCACUAGUUUCAAGUAAAAGGGCAAGGGAAAGAAAGGGAACUUCAAGAAGAAAGGCAAGCAAGUUGCCACUCCCAUGAAGAAGCCCAAAGCUAGACCCAAGCCUGAAACUGAGUGCUUCUACUGCGAAGGAAAUGGUCACUGGAAGCAGAACUACCCCAGAUACUUGGCGGAUAAGAAGGAUGGCAAAGUGAACAAAGGUAUAUUUGAUAUACAUGUUAUUGAUGUGUACUUUACUAGUGUUUAUAGCAACCCCUCGGUAUUUUAUAUUGGUUCAGUUGCUAAGAGUAGUAACUCGAAACGGGAGUUCCAAAAUAAACAGAGACUAGUUAAGGGUAAGGUGAUGAUGUGUGUUGGAAGUGAUUCCAAGGAUAAGAUCACCAUCAGACACUCCCUUUGCAUUCGGGAUUAGUGUUGAACCUAAAAUAAAUGUUAUUUGGUGUUUGCGUUGAGCAUGAAUAUGAUUGGAUCAUGUUUAUUGCAAUACAGUUAUUCAUUGAAGUCAAAGAAUAAUUGUUGUUCUAUUUACAUGAAUAAAACCUUCUAUGGUCAUACACUCAAUAUAAUUGAUUUAUUGAAUCUCGAUCGUAGUGAUACACAUAUUCAUAAUAUUGAAGCCAAAAGAUGCAAAGUUAAUAAUGAUAGUGCAACUUAUUUGUGGCACUGGCGUUUAGGUCAUAUUGGUGUAAAGCGCAUGAAGGAACUCCAUGCUGAUGGGCUUUUGGAAUCAGUUGAUGCUUGUGAACCAUGCCUCAUGGGCAAGAUGACUAAGACUCCGUUCUCCGGAACAAUGGAGCGAGCAACAGACUUAUUGGAAAUAAUACAUAUUGAUGCAUGCGGUCCGAUGAGUGUUGAGGCUCGCGACAGGUAUCGUUAUUUUUUGACCUUCACAGAUGAUUUGAGCAGAUAUGGGUAUAUCUACUUGAUGAAACAUAGGUCUGAAACAUUUGAAAAGUUCAAAGAAUUUCAGAGUGAAGUGGAAAAUCAUCAUAACAAGAAAAUAAAGUUUCUACGAUCUGAUCGUGGAAGUGAAUAUUUGAGUUAUGAGUUUGGUCUUCAUUUGAAACAAUGUGGAAUAGUUUAGCAACUCACGCCACCUAUAACACCACAGUGUAAUGGUGUGCCCGAACAUCGUAACCGUACUUUAUUAGAUAUUGUGCGAUCUAUGAUGUCUCUUACCGAUUUUCAGCUAUCGUUUUGGGGUUAUGCAUUAGAGACAACUACAUUCACGUUAAAUAGGGCACCAUCUAAAUCCGUUGAGAUGACACUGUAUGAACUGUGGUUUGGCAAGAAACUUAAGCUAUUGUUUCUUAAAGUUCGGGGUUGUGAUGUUUAUGUGAAAAAGUUUCAGCCUGAUAAGCUCAAACCCAAAUCGGAGAAGUGCGUCUUCAUAGGAUACCCAAAGGAGACUGUUGGGUACACCUUCUAUCACAGAUCUGAAGGCAAGAUAUUCGUUGCUAAGAGUGGAUCCUUUCUAGAGAAGGAGUUUCUCUCGAAAGAAGUGAGUGGGAGGAAAGUAGAACUUGAUGAGGUAAUUGUACCUGCUCCCGAAUUGGAAAGUAGUUCAUCACAAAAAUCAGUUCCGGUGAUUCCUACACCAAUUAGUGAGGAAGCUAAUGAUGAUGAUCAUGAAACUUUAGAUCAAGUUACUACCGAACCUCGUAGGUUAACCAGAGUAAGAUCUGCACCAGAGUGGUACAAUAAUCCUGCUCCGGAGGUCAUGUUACUUGACCAUGACGAACCUAUGAACUAUGAGGAAGCGAUGAUGAGCCCAGAUUCCAUGGCUUGAGGCCAUGAAAUCUGAUAUGGGAUCCAUGUAUGAGAACAAAGUACGGACUUUGAUUGACUUGCCCGAUGAUCGGUGAGCCAUUGAGAAUAAAUGGAUCUUCAAGAGGAAGACGAACACCGAUGGUAGUGUUACUAUCUACAAAGCUUGACUUGUCGUGAAAGGUUUUCGACAAGUUCAAGGUGUUGACUACGAUGAGAUUUUCUCACUCGUAGCGAUGCUUAAGUCUGUCUGGAUCAUGUUAGCAAUUGUUGCAUUUUAUGAAAUCUGGCAAAUGGAUAACAAAACUGCACUCCUUAAUGGUUUUAUUAAAGAAGAGUUGUAUAUGAUGCAACCAGAAGGUUUUGUCAAUCCUAAAGGUGCUAACAAAAUGUGCAAGCUCCAGCGAUCCAUUUAUAGACUGGUGCAAGCAUCUCGGAGUUGGAAUAUACGCUUUGAUAGUGUGAUCAAAGCAUAUCGUUUUAUACACACUUUUGGAGAAGCCUAUAUUUACAAGAAAGUGAGUGGGAGCACUACAGCCUUUCUUAUAAGUAUAUGUGAAUGACAUAUUGUUGAUCGGAAAUGAUGUAGAAUUUUUCUGGAAAGCAUAAAGGAGUGUUUGAAAGGGUUUUUCAAAGAAAGACCUCAGUGAAGCUGCUUACAUAUUGAGCAUCAAGGUCUAUAGAGAUAGAUCAAGACGCUUGAUAAGUUUUUUCAAUGAGUACAUACCUUGACAAGAUUUUGAAGUAGUUCAAAAUGGAACAGUCAAAGAAGGAGUUCUUGCCUGUGUUGCAAGGUGCGAAGUUGAGUAAAGACUCAAAACCCGACCACAGCAGAAAAUAGAAAGAGAAUGAAAAGUCAUUCCCUAUGCCUCAGUCAUAGGUUCUAUAAAGUAUGCCAUGCUAUGUACCAGACCUAUUGUAUACCAUGCCCUGAGUUUGGCAAGGGAGUACAAUAGUGAUCUAGGAUUAGAUCACUGGACAGCGGUCAAAAUUAUCCUUGGUGGAAUAAGGAUAUGUUUCUUGGUUAUGGAGGUGACAAAAAGUUCGUCGUAAAAGGGUUACAUCGAUGCAAGCUUUGACACUGAUCCGGAUGACUCUGAGUCUCAAUCUGGAUACAUAUUGAAAGUGGGAGCAAUUAGCUAGAGUAGCUCCAUGCAGAGCAUUGUAGACAUAGAAUAUUCGCAAAAUACAUACGGAUCUGAAUGUGGCAGACCCGUUGACUAAACUUCUCUCACAAGCAAAACAUGAUCACACCUUAGUACUCUUUGGGUGUUAAUCACAUAGUGAUGUGAACUAGAUUAUUGACUCUAGUAAACCCUUUGAGUGUUGGUCACAUGGCGAUGUGAACUAUGGGUGUUAAUCACAUGGUGAUGUGAACUAUUGGUGUUAAAUCACAUGAUGAUGUGAACUAGAUUAUUGACUCUAGUGCAAGUGGGAGACUGAAGGAAAUAUGCCCUAGAGGCAAUAAUAAAAUUGUUAUUUAUAUUUCCUUAUAUCAUGAUAAAUGUUUAUUAUUGAUGCUAGAAUUGUAUUAACCGGAAACUUAGUACAUGUGUGAAUACAUACACAAAACAAAGUGUCCCUAGUUAUGCCUGUACUAGACUAGCUCGAGAUGGUUAAGUUUUCUGACCAUAGACAUGUGGUGUCAUUUGAUGAACGGGGUUGAUACGUCUCCAACGUAUCUAUAAUUUUUGAUUGCUCCAUGCUAUAUUAUAUUCUGUUUUGGACAUUAUUGGGCUUUAUUAUUCACUUUUAUAUUAUUUUUGGGACUAACCUAUUAACCGGAGGCCCAGCCCAGAAUUGCUGUUUUUUGGCCUAUUUUAGAGUUUCGCAGAAAAAGAAUAUCAAACGGAGUCCAAACGGAAUGAAAUCUUCGGGAACGUGAUUUUCGGAACGAACAUGAUCCAGGAGACUUGGACCCUACGUCAAGAAACAAAGCAGGAAGCCACGAGGUAGGGGGCGCGCCCUCCACCCUCGUGGGCCCCACGUUGCUCCACCGACGUACUCCUUCCUCCUAUAUAUACCUACGUACCCCCAAACGAUCAGAUACGGAGCCAAAAACCUAAUUCCACCGCCGCAACCUUCUGUACCCACGAGAUCCCAUCUUGGGGCCUAUUCCGGAGCUCCGCCGGAAGGGCAUCGAUCACGGAGGGCUUCUACAUCAACACCAUAGCCUCUCCGAUGAAGUGUGAGUAGUUUACCUCAGACCUUCGGGUCCAUAGUUAUUAGCUAGAUGGCUUCUUCUCUCUUUUUGGAUCUCAAUACAAUGUUCCCCCCCUCUCUUGUGGAGAUCUAUUCGAUGUAAUCUUCUUUUGCGGUGUGUUUGUUGAGACCGAUGAAUUGUGGGUUUAUGAUCAAGUUUAUCUAGAACAAUAUUUGAAUCUUCUCUGAAUUCUUUUAUGUAUGAUUGGUUAUCUUUGCAAGUCUCUUCGAAUUAUCAGUUUGGUUUGGCCUACUAGAUUGAUCUUUCUUGCAAUGGGAGAAGUGCUUAGCUUUGGGUUCAAUCUUGCGGUGUCCUUUCCCAGUGACAGUAGGGGCAGCAAGGCACAUAUUGUAUUGUUGCCAUCGAGGAUAACAAGAUGGGGUUUUUAUCAUAUUGCAUGAAUUUAUCCCUCUACAUCAUGUCAUCUUGCUUAAGGCGUUACUCUGUUCUUAUGAACUUAAUACUCUAGAUGCAUGCUGGAUAGCGGUCGAUGUGUGGAGUCAUAGUAGUAGAUGCAGGCAGGAGUCGGUCUACUUGUCUCGGACGUGAUGCCUAUAUACAUGAUCAUACCUAGAUAUUCUCAUAACUAUGCUCAAUUCUGUCAAUUGCUCAACAGUAAUUUGUUCACCCACCGUAAAAUACUUAUGUUCUUGAGAGAAGCCACUAGUGAAACCUAUGGCCCCCGGGUCUAUUCUCCAUCAUAUUAAUCUUCCAACACUUAGUUAUUUCCGUUGCUUUUAUUUUACUUUGCAUCUUUAUCAUAAAAAUACCAAAAAUAUUAUCUUAUCAUAUCUAUCAGAUCUCACUCUCGUAAGUGACCGUGUAGGGAUUGACAACCCCUUAUCGCGUUGGUUGCGAGGAUUUAUUUUUUUUGUGUAGGUGCGAGGGACUCGCGCGUAGCCUCCUACUGGAUUGAUACCUUGGUUCUCAAAAACUGAGGGAAAUACUUACGCUACUUUGCUGCAUCACCCUUUCCUCUUCAAGGGAAAACCAACGCAGUGCUCAAGAGGUAGCAAGAAGGAUUUCUGGCGCCGUUGCCGGGGAGGCUUACGCGAAGUCAAGACAAGAUUUGAUUCCCGACAAUGAGCCAUUUCUGGCGCCGUUGCUGGGGAGGUCUACGCAAAAGUCAACAUACCAAGUACCCAUCACAAACCCUUAUCUCCCGCAUUACAUUAUUUGCCAUUUGCCUCUCGUUUUCCUCUCCCCCACUUCACCCUUGCCAUUUUAUUCGCCCUCUCUUUUCCGCUCGCCUCUUUUUUUUCAUUUGCUUGCCUUUCCGUCAUGGCUAGUCCUUUAUCUUCUCCGUUGUCUCCCGAAAAUGAAGUUCUCAAUUUUAAACAAAGGGAGGGAGAAAAUCUAAAAGAUGCUUGGUAUAGAAUUUGCAAUGCUCAAAAUAGAUCUACCAGGAAGCAAUCUACUUCCGUUCUUCUCCGCAAUUUUUAUGUGGGUGCUAAUCCUUGGUAUAGAUAUAUUCUUGACACCAUUACCGGAGGGAAUUUCUUGGGUAGCCAAACUUUUGACUCUUAUAAUGUUGGGAAUCGUAGCAUAAUUUUAAAAUUUUCCUACGCUCACCAAGAUGCAUCUAUGGAGUGUACUAGCAACGAGGGGAAGGUAGUGCAUCUACAUACCCUUGUAGAUCGCGAGCGGAAGCGUUCCAAUGAACGUGGAUGACGGAGUCGUACUCGCCGUGAUCCAAAUCACCGAUGACCGAGUGCCGAACGGACGGCACCUCCGCGUUCAACACACGUACGGUGCAGCGACGUCUCCUCCUUCUUGAUCCAGCAAGGGGGAAGGAGAGGUUGAUGGAGAUCCAACAGCACGACGGCGUGGUGGUGGAUGUAGCGGGUCUCCGGCAGGGCUUCGCCGAGCUUCUGCGAGAGAGAGAGAGGUGUUGCAGGGGAGGAGGGAGGCGCCCAAGGCUGUGGUUUGCUGCCCUCCCUCCCCCCCACUAUUUAUAGGACCCCUGGGGGGGCGCCAGCCCUUGGGAGAUCAGAUCUCCAAGGGGGGCGGCGGCCAAGUGGGGGGAAGGGGGUGCCUUGCCCCCCAAGGCAAGGGGAAAAGCUCCCCCCUAGGGUUCCCAACCCUAGGCGCAUGGGGGGAGGCCCAAGGGGGGCGCCCCAGCCCACUAAGGGCUGGUUCCCUUCCACUUUCAGCCCACGGGGCCCUCCGGGACAGGUGGCCCCACCCGGUGGACCCCCGGGACCCUUCCGGUGGUCCCAGUACAAUACCGGUAACCCCCGAAACUUUCCCGAUGGCCGAAACUUGACUUCCUAUAUAUAAUUCUUCACCUCCGGACCAUUUCGGAACCUCUCGUGACGUCCGGGAUCUCAUCCGGGACUCCGAACAACUUUCGGGUUUCCGCAUACAUAUAUCUCUACAACCCUAGCGUCACCGGACCUUAAGUGUGUAGACCCUACGGGUUCGGGAGACAUGCAGACAUGACCGAGACGCCUCUCCGGUCAAUAACCAACAGCGGGAUCUGGAUACCCAUGUUGGCUCCCACAUGCUCCACGAUGAUCUCAUCGGAUGAACCACGGUGUCGAGGAUUCAAUCAAUCCGUAUGCAAUUCCCUUUGUCAAUCGGUAUGUUACUUGCCCGAGAUUCGAUCGUUGGUAUCCCAAUACCUUGUUCAAUCUCAUUACCGGCAAGUCUCUUUACUCGUACCGCAAUGCAUGAUCCCGUGACUAACGCCUUAGUCACAUUGAGCUCAUUAUGAUGAUGCAUUACCGAGUGGGCCCAGAGAUACCUCUCCGUCACACGGAGUGACAAAUCCCAGUCUCGAUCCGUGCCAACCCAACAGACACUUUUGGAGAUACCCGUAGUGCACCUUUAUAGUCACCCAGUUACGUUGUGACGGUUGGCACACCCAAAGCACUCCUACAGUAUCCGGGAGUUGCACGAUCUCAUGGUCUAAGGAAAAGAUACUUGACAUUGGAAAAGCUCUAGCAAACGAAACUACACGAUCUUUUAUGCUAUGCUUAGGAUUGGGUCUUGUCCAUCACAUCAUUCUCCUAAUGAUGUGAUCCCGUUAUCAAUGACAUCCAAUGUCCAUAGUCAGGAAACCAUGACUAUCUGUUGAUCAACGAGCUAGUCAACUAGAGGCUUACUAGGGACAGGUUGUGGUCUAUGUAUUCACACAUGUAUUACGAUUUCCGGACAAUACAAUUAUAGCAUGAAUAAUAGACAAUUACCAUGAACAAAGAAAUAUAAUAAUAACCAUUUAUCAUUGCCUCUAGGGCAUAUUUCCAACAUAUAAUGCUAUGAUAGAUUUAUUUGGCUCACCACCUCUCUUGGUUAAUGGAACUAUUUUAACUUUAGAGCAUGUAAUGCAAAGACUUGAAAUUAUUGAAAAUAAAGUUGCUACCGUAGAGCUAAUUGAAAAUUUGGAUAAAAAGAUCCACAACCAAAUUACCCAAUACGGAUCUAAAGUAGGAGUCACUUUGAAAAAUAUUAAGGAGAAAGAACCCAUAGUUAAUGAAAGAAUAAAUCAGGAUUCUACUAGAAUCAAUAAACUUAGGGUAUCAUUACCAACUUGGGAACCGCUUUUUCUUCCGUAAAGAAUAGUCCUAGUCCUCCAACAAAAAUUGCCAAGCUUAUGUAUGUUCCUAAAAAUAAGGGUGAAUCCUCUAGUAAAGAAACUGCGGAUCUUAAAUCUAUAAGUAUUCAUCCCAAUCUUUUUGCUAUCAUUAAGGAACCAUUUGCUACAAAUGAAUUUUUCGAUCUUGUUCCUAAAAGUUUGAUAAUUAAUAGAAAGAAAGAACCUCUAAAGGAUGAUAGAUGUCUUAUUGAAGAAUUGCCUACCAAAGAUGGCAAUACCUAGAUCUAUCCUUGCUUUUAUGCCUAGCUAGGGGCGUUAAACGAUAGCGCUUGUUGGGAGGCAACCCAAUUUUAUUUUUAGUUUUUUUGCUUUUUGUUUCUGUUUAGGAAUAAAUAUUUGUUCUAGCCUCUGGUUAGAUGUGUUUUUAUGUUUAAUUAGUGUUUGUGCCAAGUUAAACCUAUAGGAUCUUCUUGGAUGAUAGUUAUUUGAUCUUGCAGAAAAUUCCAGAAACUUUCUGUUCACGAAAAUAACUGUUAAAAAUCACCAGAACGUGAUAAAAUAUUGAUUCCAAUUGCUGCUGGUGAAUAAACAAAUUUUCUAGGUCUUCCUAUUUUGGCUGAUUUUUUGGAGUUCCAGAAGUUUGCGUUAGUUACAGAUUACUACAGACUGUUCUGUUUUUGACAGAUUCUGUUUUUCGUGUGUUGUUUGCUUAUUUUGAUGAAUCUAUGGCUAGUAAAAUAGUUUAUAAACCAUAGAGAAGUUGGAAUAAAGUAGGUUUAACACCAAUGUAAAUAAAGAAUGAGUUCAUUACAGUACCUUGAAGUGGUCUUUUGUUUUCUUUCGCUAACGGAGCUCACGAGAUUUUCUACUAAGUUUUGUGUUGUGAAGUUUUCAAGUUUUGGGUGAAAGAUUUGAUGGAUUAUGGAACAAGGAGUGGCAAGAGCCUAAGAUUGGGGAUGCCCAUGGCACCCCCAAGAUAAUCUAAGGACACCAAAAAGCCAAAACUUGGGGAUUCCCCGGAAGGCAUCCCCUCUUUCGUUUACUUCCAUCGGUAACUUUACUUGGAGCUAUAUUUUUAUUCACCACAUGAUAUGUGUUUUGCUUGGAGCGUCUUGUAUGAUUUGAGUCUUUGCUUUUUAGUUUACCACAAUCAUCCUUGUUGUACACACCUUUUGAGAGAGACACACAUAAUUCGGAAAUUAUUAGAACACCCUAUGUGCUUCACUUAUAUCUUUUGAGUUAUAUAGUUUUGCUCUAGUACUUCACUUAUAUCUUUUAGAGCACGGUGGUGGAUUUGUUUUAUAGAAACUAUUGAUCUCUCAUGCUUCACUUAGAUUAUUUUGAGAGUCUUAAAUAGCAUGGUAAUUUGCUUAAAUAAUCCUAAUAUGCUAGGUAUUCAAGAAUAGUAAAAACUUUCUUAUGAGUGUGUUGAAUACUAAGAGAAGUUUGAUGCUUGAUGAUUGUUUUGAGAUGUGGAGGUAGUGAUAUUAAAGUUGUGCUAGUUGAGUAGUUGUGAAUUUGAGAAAUACUUGUGUUGAAGUUUGCAAGUCCCGUAGCAUGCACGUAUGGUAAACGUUAUGUAACAAAUUUGAAACAUGAGGUGUUCUUUGAUUGUCCUCCUUAUGAGUGGCGGUCAGGGACGAGCGAUGGUCUUUUCCUACCAAUCUAUCCCCUUAGGAGCAUGCGCGUAGUGCUUUGCUUUUGAUGACUUGUAGAUUUUUGCAAUAAGUAUGUGAGUUCUUUAUGACUAAUGUUGAGUCCAUGGAUUAUACGCACCCUCACCUUUCCAUCAUUGCUAGCCUCUUCGGUACCGUGCAUUGCCCUUUCUCACAUUGAGAGUUGGUGCAAACUUCGCCGGUGCAUCCAAACCCCGUGAUAUGAUACGCUCUUUCACACAUAAACCUCCUUAUAUCUUCCUCAAAACAGCCACCAUACCUACCUAUUAUGGCAUUUCCAUAGCCAUUCCGAGAUAUAUUGCCAUGCAACUUUCCACCGUUCCGUUUAUCAUGACACAUUCAUCAUUGUCAUAUUGCUUUGCAUGAUCAUGUAGUUGACAUAGUAUUUGUGGCAAAGCCACCAUUCAUAAUUCUUUCAUACAUGUCACUCUUGGUUCAUUGCAUAUCCCGGUACACCGCCGGAGGCAUUCAUAUGGAGUCAUACUUUGUUCUAGUAUCGAGUUGUAAUCAUUGAGUUGUAAAUAAAUAGAAGUGUGAUGAUCAUCAUUUUCUAGAGCAUUGUCCCAAGUGAGGAAUAAAAAAAAGAGAGAAAGGCCAUAAAAAAGAGAAGGCCCAAAAAAAUGAGAGAAAAAGAGAGAAGGGACAAUGUUACUAUCCUUUUACCACACUUGGGCUUCAAAGUAGCACCAUAAUCUUCAUGAUAGAGAGUCUCUUGUUUUGUCACUUUCAUAUACCAGUGGGAAUUUUUCAUUAUAGAACUUGGCUUGUAUAUUCCAACAAUGGGCCUCCUCAAGUGCCCUAGGUCUUCGUGAGCAAGCAAGUUGGAUGCACACCCACUUAGUUUCUUUUGUUGAGCUUUCAUAUAUUUAUAGCUCUAGUGCAUCCGUUGCAUGGCAAUCCCUACUCCUUGCAUUAACAUCAAUCGAUGGGCAUCUCCAUAGCUCAUUGAUUAGCCUCGUUGAUGUGAGACUUUCUCCUUUUUUGUCUUCUCCACAUAACCCCCAUCAUCAUAUUCUAUUCCACCCAUAGUGCUAUGUCCAUGGCUCACGCUCAUGUAUUGCGUGAAGGUUGAAAGAGUUUGAGAUUACUAAAGUAUGAAACAAUUGCUUGGCUUGUCAUCGGGGUUGUGCAUGAUGAGAGCAUUCUUGUGUGACGAAAAUGGAGCAUGACUAAACUAUAUGAUUUUGUAGGGAUGAACUUUCUUUGGCCAUGUUAUUUUGAGAGGACAUAAUUGCUUAGUUAGUAUGCUUGAAGUAUUAUUAUUUUUAUGUCAAUAUGAACUUUUAUGUUGAAUCUUUCGGAUCUAAAUAUUCAUACAACAAUUAAGAAGAAUUACAUUGAAAUAAUGCCAAGUAGCACUCCGCAUCAAAAAUUCUGUUUUUAUCAUUUACCUUCUCGAGGACGAGCAGGAAUUAAGCUUGGGGAUGCUUGAUACGUCUCCAACGUAUCUAUAAUUUUUGAUUGCUCCAUGCUAUAUUAUCUUCUGUUUUGGACAUUAUUGGGCUUUAUUAUUCACUUUUAUAUUAUUUUUGGGACUAACCUAUUAACCGGAGGCCCAGCCCAGAAUUGCUUUUUUUGUGCCUAUUUUAGAGUUUCGCAGAAAAAGAAUAUCAAACGAAGUCCAAAUGGAAUGAAACCUUCGGGAACGUGAUUUUCGGAACGAACAUGAUCCAGGAGACUUGGACCCUACGUCAAGAAACAAAGCAGGAAGCCACAAGGUAGGGGGGCGCGCCUACCCCUUGGGCGCGCCCUCCACCCUCGUGGGCCCCAUGUUGCUCCACCGACGUACUCCUUCCUCCUAUAUAUACCUACGUACCCCAAACGAUCAGAUACGGAGCCAAAAACCUAAUUCCACCGCCGCAACCUUCUGUACCCACGAGAUCCCAUCUUGGGGCCUGUUCCGGAGCUCCGCCAGAAGGGGCAUCGAUCACGGAGGGCUUCUACAUCAACAACAUAGCCUCUCCGAUGAAGUGUGAGUAGUUUACCUCAGACCUUCUGGUCCAUAGUUAUUAGCUAGAUGGCUUCUUCUCUCUUUUUGGAUCUCAAUACAAUGUUCUCCCCCUCUCUUGUGGAGAUCUAUUCGAUGUAAUCUUCUUUUGUGGUGUGUUUGUUGAGACCGAUGAAUUGUGGGUUUAUGAUCAAGUUUAUCUAUGAACAAUAUUUGAAUCUUCUCUGAAUUCUUUUAUGUAUGAUUGAUUAUCUUUGCAAGUCUCUUCGAAUUAUCAAUUUGGAUUGGCCUACUAGAUUGAUCUUUCUUGCAAUGGGAGAAGUGCUUAGCUUUGGGUUCAAUCUUGUGUUGUCCUUUCCCAGUGACAGUAGGGGCAGCAAGGCACGUAUUGUAUUGUUGCCAUCGAGGAUAACAAGAUGUUUUUUUAUCAUAUUGCAUGAAUUUAUCCCUCUACAUCAUGUCAUCUUGCUUAAGGCGUUACUCUGUUCUUAUGAACUUAAUACUCUAGAUGCAUACUGGAUAGCGGUCGAUGUGUGGAGUAAUAGUAGUAGAUGCAGGCAGGAGUCGGUCUAGUUGUCUCGGACGUGAUGCCUAUAUACAUGAUCAUACCUAGAUAUUCUCAUAACUAUGCUCAGUUCUGUCAAUUGCUCAACAAUAAUUUGUUCAUCCACCGUAAAAUACUUAUGCUCUUGAGAGAAGUCACUAGUGAAACCUAUGGCCCCCGGGUCUAUUCUCCAUCAUAUUAAUCUUCCAACACUCAGUUAUUUCCGUUGCUUUUAUUUUACUUUGCAUCUUUAUCAUAAAAAUACCAAAAAUAUUAUCUUAUCAUAUCUAUCAGAUCUCACUCUCGUAAGUGACCGUGUAGGGAUUGACAACCCCUUAUCGCGUUGGUUGCGAGGAUUUAUUUGUUUUGUCUAGGUGCGAGGGACUCGCGCGUAGCCUGCAACUGGAUUGAUACCUUGGUUCUCAAAAACUGAGGGAAAUACUUACGCUACUUUGCUGCAUCACCCUUUCCUCUUCAAGGGAAAACCAACGCAAUGCUCAAGAGGUAGCAGGAUCACAUCAUUAGAGAAUGAUGUGAUGGACAAGACCCAUCUGUUAGCUUAGCAUAAUGAUUGUUUAGUUUUAUUGCUAUUGCUUUCUUCAUGACUUAUACAUGUUCCUCUGACUAUGAGAUUAUGCAACUCCCGAAUACCAAAGGAACACCUUGUGUUCUAUCAAACGUCACAAAGUAACUGGGUGAUUAUAAAGAUGCUCUACAGGUGUCUCCGAAGAAGUUUGUUGAGUUGGCAUAGAUCGAUAUUAGGAUUUGUCACUCCGUGUAUCGGAGAUGUAUCUUUGGCCCCUCUCGGUAAUGCACAUCACUAUAAGCCUUGCAAGCAUUGUGACUAAUGAGUUAGUUGCGGGAGAUGCAUUACGGAACGAGUAAAGAGACUUGCUGGUAACGAGAUUGAACUAGGUAUGAGGAUACCGACGAUCGAAUCUCGGGCAAGUAACAUACCGAUGACAAAGGGAACAACGUAUGUUGUUAUGCGGUUUGACCGAUCAAGAUCUUCGUAGAAUAUGUAGGAGCCAAUAUGAGCAUCCAGGUUCCGCUAUUGGUUAUUGACCAGAGAUGUGUCUCGGUCAUGUCUACAUAGUUCUCGAACCCGUAGGGUUCGCACGCUUAACGUUUGAUGACGAUUUGUAUUAUGAGUUAGGUGAUUUGAUGUACUGAAGGUUGUUUGGAGUCCCGGAUGAGAUCACGGACAUGACGAGGAGUCUCGAAAUGGUCGAGAUGUAAAGAUCGAUAUAUUAGAAGGCUGUAUUCGGACAUUGGAAAGGUUCCGACUGAUUCGGGUAUUUUUCAGAGUACCGGAGAGUUACGGGAAUUCACCGGGAGAAGUAAUGGGCCUUAUUGGGAUUUAAUGGAGAGAGGGGAGAAGGGCCAAGAGGUGGCGCGCGCCUCCCCCCUUCGCAAACCGAAUUGGACAAGGGGUGGGGGCGCGGCCCCCCUUUGGACUGGGGAGUCCUAGUAGGAUUCCCCGCACCUGGCGCGCCCCCUUGGGCCGGCCACCUCUUCCCUCCCCUCGUUUAUAUACGUGGCCAUGGGUCACCCCAAAGGCACUCCAAGAUUUUUCUUAGCCGUGUGCGGUGCCCCCCUCCACAGUUACACACCUCGGUCAUAUCGUUGUAGUGCUUAGGCGAAGCCCUGCGCCGGUAACUUCAUCAUCACUGUCGCCACGCCAUCGUGCUGACGGAACUCUCCCUUGGCCUCAACUGGAUCAAGAGUACGAGGGACCUCAUCGAGCUGAACGUGUGUUGAACACGGAGGUGCCAUACAUUCGGUGCUAGGAUCGGUCGGAUCGUGAAGACGUACGACUACAUCAACCGCGUUGAUAAAACGCUUCCGCGUUCGGUCUACAAGGGUACGUGGACACACUCUCCCCGCUCGUUGCUAUGCUUCUUCUAGAUAGAUCUUGCGUGAUCGUAGGAAAUUUUUGAAAUUACUGCGAUCCCCUAUAGAUACGUCUCCGUCUUAUCUAUAUUUUUUGAUUGUUUCAUGCCAAUAUUAUACAACUUUCACAUACUUUUGGCAACAUUUUAUAUGAUUUUUUUGGACUAACCUAUUGAUCCAGUGCCCAGUGCCAGUUCCUAUUUGUUGCAUGUUUUCUAUUUCGUAGAAAAUCCAUAUCAAUCAAAGUCCAAAAGCGAUAAAAAUUUACGGAGAAUUAUUUUGGAAUAUAUGUGAUUUUUGGGACUUGGAAUCAACGCAAACGGAGGCCCACAAUGACCACAAUCCACCAGGGUGUGCCGGGCACCCCCUGGCGUUCCCAGGUGUCUCAUGCCCUCCUCGAAGGUUGGUUGGGGCCCUUCUAGCGCAAGAAAGAUAAUUUAUGGAAACAAUUGUGUAAAAGUUUCAGCGCAAUCGGAGUUAUGGAUCUCCGGGAAUUUAAGAAACCGUGAAGGGCUAGAUCUGGGGAGCGCGAAACAGAAGAGAACAAAGAGGAAGAUCCAAUCUCGGAGGGGCUCCCGCCCCUCCGCCGCCAUGGAGGCCAUGGACCAGAGGGGAAACUCUCCUCCCAUCUAGGUGGGAGGUCAAGGAAGAAGAAGAAGGAGGGGGCUCUCUUCUCCUCUCUCCCGGUGGCGCCGGAGUGCCGCCGAGGCAAGGGUCGUGACGACGAUCUACAUCAAAAAUCUUGCUACCGUCAACACCAACUUUCUCCCCCUUUAUGCAGCGGUGUAACACCUCUCUUCCCCGCUGUAAUCUCUACUUAAACAUGGUGCUCAACUCCAUAUAUUAUUUCCCAAUGAUCCAUGGUUAUCCUAUGAUGUUUGAAUAGAUCCGUUUUGUCAUGUGGGUUAAUCGUGAUCUUGGUUGGUAUGAUUGUAUAUUUUAUUUAUUGUGCUGUCCUACGGUACCCUCCAUCUCGCGCAAACAUGAGGCCCCCCCGCUAUAGGGUGUUGCAAUACGUUCAUGAUUCGCUUAUGGUGGGUUGCGAGAGUGAUAGAAGCUUAAACCCGAGUAAGUGGGUUGUUGCGUAUGGGAUAAAGAGGACUUGAUACUUAAUGUUAUGGUUGGGUUUCACGACCCUAAUGAUCUUUAGUAGUUGCGGAUGCUUGCUAGAGUUCCAAUCAUAAGUGCAUAUGAUCCAAGUAGAGAAAGUAUGUUAGCUCAUGCCUCUCCCUCAUAUAAAAUUACAAGAAUGAUUACCCGUACUUGUUAUCGAUUACCUAGGGACAAAUGACUUUCUUGUUGACAAAAGCUAUCCACUUUUAUUACCUUGCAAUUAAUUCAUAGUUUUAUUCUUGCAAAGUACUCGUAGUUUUAUUCUUGCAAAAUAGUUUCAUACUUGUUUUAGGUAAAGUAAACGUCAAGUGUGCGUAGAGUUGUAUCGGUGGUCGAUAGAACUUGAGGGAAUAUUUGUUCUACCUUUAGCUCCUCGUUGGGUUCGACACUCUUAUUUAUUGAAGAAGGCUACAAACUAUUCCCUACACUUGUGGGUUAUCACAUACCCCCAAAUACUACCCAUAUAUUCAUCAAAAUAAGCAAACAACACAUAGAAAACAAAUUCUGUCAAAAACAGAACAGUCUGCAGUAAUCUGGAAAUUUCAUAUACUUGUGUAACUCCAAAAAUUCUGAAAAAUUAGGACAAUUUAGGAAAUUUGUAUAUCAAUAUUGUGUAAAAAUUUCAUAUCAAAAUCAAGUUCAUGUGAUUUUCUAAAUUUCUAGCAAUGAGCACAAAAGUUUAUGUUUAUCAGCAAGAUCAAAUCAACUAUCACCAUAGACCAUCCCAAAGGUCUUACUUGGCUCAAACACUAAUUAAAACACCAAAACACAAUUACUACAAAGGUAAUAAUGUGUAUAUAUUAAAAAAUAGAACAAAAAAUAAAAAUUGGGUUGCCUCCCAAAAGCGCUAUUGUUUAACGCCCCUAUCUAGUCAUAAAACAUAGAUCUAGGUAUUGUCAUCUUUGGUAUUUAAUUCUUCAAUUGCACACUUAUAACCCCUUGGAGGUACUUUGGGUUAAUUGAAAAUCACACUCCUAGGUAGGAAAUCAAGAAAUUCACUUGUAGCAAUUGGUUCUUUAAUGAUAUUGAUAAAGCUAGGGUAAUCACUUAUCACCUUAAGAUCUUUGUUUCCUUUACUAGAUGAUUCACCCUUAUUUUUAGGAACAUAAAUAAACUUAGUAGCUUUAGAAGGAGGAAAGUUUGGGGUAGUUUUAAUAGAGGCAAAAGCGGAACCCAAGUUGGUAAUAAUAUCUUCUAACUUAUCAAUUCUAGUAGAUACUUUUCUUUAGAUUCUUUAAAGUGAUUCCUACCUUUGAUCCAAUUUGUGUAAUGUGAUUAUGAAUCUUUUUAUCCAAAAUUUCAAUAAGCUCUACGGUAGAAAUUUUAUUCUUGAUAAUAUCAAGCCUUUGCAUCACAUGUUCCAAAGUUAAAACUGUUUCAUUAACCAUAAGUGGUGGUGAUCCUACCAAAUUCAUCAUAGCAUUGCAAUCAUCCAAAGUAUGACUACCCAAAAAAUUACCCCCAGUAAUGGUGUCAAGCACAUAUCUAUACCAAAUAGUAACACCAACAUAAAAAUUUCCGAGAAGAAUGGUGGUAGAUUUCUUACGGGUAGAUCUAUUCUGAGCAUUCCAAAUUCUAUACCAAGCAUCUUCUAAAAUUUCCCCAUCCCUUUGUUUAAAAUUAAGAACAUCACUUCCAGGGGUGAUAACAAUGGUAGAAGGACUAGCCAUGAUAGCAAAACAAGCGAUCUAGCACACAAGCAAACAAAAAAGACAAACGUAAGAAGGCGAAUAAAAAGGCAAAUAUUUUUGUGUUUUUCUAAAAAUGUUUUAGAAGUGGGAGAGAGGAAACGAGAGGCAAAUGGCAAAUAAUGUAAGUGCAAGAGAUGAGAGUUUAUGAUGGGUACUUGGUAGGCUUGAUGUAGAACCUCCCCGACAACAGCGCCAGAAAUUCUUCCUGCUAAUUCUUAAGCUUGCGUUGAUUUUUCCCUUGAAGAGGAAAGGGUGAUGUAGCAAAGUACAGGUAAGUAUUUUCCUUGGUUAAGAACCAAGGUAUCAAUCCAGUAGGAGGCACAAGUAAGUCUCCAAUAUAUGCACCUGCACAAACUAACAAACACUAGCACACAACGCGAAAAAGGGGUUGUCAAUCCCUUCACGAUCACGGACAAGAGUGAGAUCUAAUAGAGAUAGGUAUAAAAGAGAAAACUAAAGUAAAUAUAAUAAAUUGCAGCAAGGUAUUUUUUUGUUUUUUGGUUUAUAGAUUUGAAAAUAAAUGAUGUAAAAUAUACCCAGGGACCAUAGGUUUCACUAGAGGCUUCUCUCUUGAAAGAAAACAUACGGUGGGUAAACAAAUUACUGUUGAGCAAUUGAUAGAAAAGCAUGUAAUUAUGACGAUAUCUAAGGCAAUGAUCAUGAAUAUAGGCAUCACGUCCGUGAAAAGUUGACCAAAAUGAUUUUGCAUCUACUACUAUUACUCCAUACAUGACCGACUCCCGCGUGCAUCUAGAGUAUUAAGUUCAUAAGAAUAGAGAAACGCUUUAAGUAAGAUGACAUGAUGUAGAGGGAUAAACUCAAGCAAUAUGACAUAAAACCCAUCUUUUUAUCCUUGAUGGAAACAAUACAAUGCGUGCCUCACUACCCCUUCUGUCACUGGGCGAGGACACCGCAAGAUUGAACCCAAAACUAAGCACCUCUCCCAUUGCAAGAAAAACCAAUCUAGUUGGCCAUACCAAACCGAUAGUUCGAAGAGAAAUACAAAGAUAUCUUAAUCAUGCAUAAAAGAGUUCAGAGAAGACUCAAAUAAUAUUCAUAAAUAAUCUGAUAAUAAACCCAUAAUUCAUCAGAUCUCAGCAAACGCACCACAAAAUAAGAUUACAUCGGAUAGAACUCCAAGAACAUCGAGGAGAGCAUUGUAUUGAAGACCAAAGAGAGAGAAGAAGCCAUCUAGCUACUAGCUAUGGACCCUUAGGUUUGUGGUAAACUACUCAGGCUUCAUUGGAAGGGCAGCAAGGUUGAUGUAGAGGCCCUCCAUGAUCGAAUCCCCCUCCGGCAGAGUGCCAGAAAAGGCCCCAAGAUGGGAUCUCACGUGAACAGAGGCUUGCGGCGGCGGGAAGUAUUUUGGUGGACGCUUCUGAUGUUUGAGGAAUAUUUGAGAAUAUAUAGAGAUGGAAUUAGGGUUAGGGGACUCCCGAGGGGCCCACAAGCCAUGGGGCGCGCCCUGAGGGCUUGUGGCCUCCUCGGGACUCCUCUGGCCCUCUCCCCAAGUCUUGUGGGUGUCUUCUGGUCGAAGAAAAAGCAUCAUAAAGUUUUAUUCCAUUUGGACUCCAUUUGAUAUUCCUUUUCUGUAAAAGUCAAAAACAAGGGAAAAACAUAAACUGGCACUGGGCUCUAGGUUAAUACGUUAGUCCCAAAAAUAAUAUAAAAUAGCAUAUUAAUGCAUAUAAAACAUCCAAAAGAGAUAAUAUAAUAGCAUCAAACAAUCAAAAAUUAUAGAUACGUUGGAGACGUAUCAUGCAUCUACCAUGCUUUCACAAGAAUUCAUAAUUUGUGUAAAAUUGGCUUUGUAUAUAUUGAAUCACUGGUAGGACCUUUGAUUCCUUAAACUGAGAUAUGAAACCACUAUUUAGAACAGUGUUCCAUCGGCACAAACUAUCUAGAAGCCAUACCAAGUUCAUAAACGAAAUUUUUGAUUCAUCACUCUCCAAUGUUGCUUCUAAAGCGAUGACAUACUCAAACUUCUUUUUAGAAUUCACCACAGUAACUUUCUUGGAUAAUUCCAACUUACUGUGCCACAAAAAAUCCUUUUAAUUAAAAUCAAAAAUCGCUUAGAGCAUCGAUGAAGAUUUUAUCGAUGUAACCACUUACAAUGAGCAUGUAUUGAUGUAACUCCUUACAACGAUCUUUCCAUUUUCUUUGUAUGCGAGAAACAUAUUGUCUUUCUUAUUUUAGUACUUAAUGACAUUUUCACGUUUGUCCUAUGAUCAACAAUUUGAUCACUCUGGUAACUUUACUCGCAACUUAAUUAGAGUACUGGACAUAUUUGAUUGUUUACAUACCAUGGUUCUUAUUUAGACUUUGUUGUUGAAACUGAUUGUGUUGUUGCCAUCAAGAUGAUUUUGUCUCUAGGGAAGGACAAGUCGCAGCAUGCACAUCGGGUGAAUGAGAUCAUAACUCUUGACUCACGGAAGGAGGAUUGAAAUAUUUAAGGUUAGGCAUGAUGUUAACAUGGCUCCAGCGAGGAAGGGCGAUGACAGCAACACGCCUUCAGCUCGCUUCAGUGCUUGCAGUCGUCGCUAGGUGGUCUACAUAUCUGAAUGAAAAUUUUAUUAUUUGUAGUGUUCAUUUUACUACCAUGAUUGAAGAUGAAUUGAUCGAAAGUUUUUUCAGAAAAAACAUUGCUAGUCAUAGCCUCGCUUGUAAAGGGCGAUCACAACAAUGAAUUGGUUGUUGGUUGCAGAGCACCCAAGAGGAAAUUGCUAGCAUUGUGGACGCUGAAUGUAACCUUGUUCCUUGAUCAAUAAAAUCCCCUUCCAUGCAGAAAAAAGACUACAAAGUCGAGCACACCUUAUAUUCUGGGAAGCAAGGAGUAUCAACAAUGGCAACCAAGGUUGUUGGAGAAAUAGAGGCAUAUUCUGUAGCUAAAUUUGCUUUUGUCUCUCUCGUGUGUCGAGAGACAUCGUGCUCUAAUGCAUGAAUUUUGUUUGGAAGAGAAAUCGAGGUAGCUAAAUUUGCUUUGUCUUUGUCGUGUGGCCAGUUUGUCUGGUUACUUGAUGUAACGCCAAAUAUGUGGUCCUAUCCUCAAGGAACUUGGAAGUCCCGCCAAAUAUGUGCAUAUCAGAGACGCUUCGCAAGGUGGAUAUCAUUACAACAUACCAUAUACUGAACAUAUGAGAAUACCAGAUAAAAGGCUUACACUCGCCACAAGCUACAACAUGAAUACAUCAAUACAUAGCAAUCAUCAUACAGAAGAGCACGAUCCGACUAUGGAUGAAGUCAAACAAAAAGAAGAACGACAUCCACCCUGCUAAUCCCAGGCUGCCAACCGGGAACCCGUCCUAUGAUUGACGAAGAAGAAGAAGCAAAAGAAGAACUCCAAAUAGAAAAAGCAUGCAUCGCUCUCACGUCAAAGCAUCACUUUAUCUGUACCUGCACCUGUUGUUGUAGUAAUUUGUGAGCCAUGGGGACUUAGCAAUCUCACUACCAUGGGUAUCAAAACUAGCAAAGCUUAAUGGGUGAGGAAUGGUUAAGUGUUGAGGUUGCAGCAAGCACUAAGCAUUUGUAUGUGGCUAACUUAUAAGUACAAGAAUAAGAAGAGUAGACUACGCAUAAUCGGGCACAAAUUAAUAUGAUCAAGAAGUGAUCCUGAACACCAAUUUAAGAGUCAUACAUAACCCCACCGUGUUCUCUUCCCGAACACCCUCGAAAAGAGACAAACACGGUUACACACGCAGUUGAUGUACUUUAAUUGAAUUUAGUGUUAAGUUCCAUACAACCGGAUACUAUAAAUUUCCAAGUCGCCACAUAACCGCGGGCACGACUUUCCGAAAGAUUUAACCCUGUGGGGUGCUCCAAGUAGCCCAUCACAAAUUACCAGACACAUCCAAUGGAAAACCUCACACCGUGAUAAUGUGAUGCCUAUCAGGAAUCCCGGUGGACAAGCCACUCGCCAAAGCUAAAAUUAAACUAGCAAGGCCUCCCAGCGUGUCGACGAACUUGACAGGAGCCGUGUAUCUCGUUCUUAGGAUAUGACCGGAUCGGCUAAGUUUCUGGCUGGCACACUGAUACGUCUCCAACGUAUAUAUAAUUUUUGAUUAUUCCAUGCUAUUAUAGUCUCAAUCUUGGAUGUUUUUAUGCAAUUAUAUGCUAUUUUAUAUCAUUUUUUGGGACGAACCUAUUAACCUAGUGCCUAUUGCCAGUUACUAUUUUCUGCUUGUUUGGAUUUUCGGGAAAUCAAUAUCAAACGAAGUCCAAACAAAGAAACAUCUUUGGAUUAAUUUUUCUGUACCAAAAGGGACCCACGAAGGAGAAGGCCAUAAGAGACACGAGGGAGCGAUAAGCGCGCGCCCCAGGGGGGCACCCAUUGAGCUUGAGGGGACCUCGUGGCACCCCUUGACCUAAUUCCGCCUCUAAAAAUUCUCAAAUAUUCCCAAUAUACCAGAGAGCCGCCCGAAACACUUUUUCCGCUGCCGCAAGCUUCAGUUCUUCCGCAAUCCCAUCUGGAGGCCUUUCUGGUACUCCACCUGAGGGGGAAUCGGUCAUGGAGGGCUUCUAAUCAUUCUUGCUGCCCUCCGAUGAUGCGUGAGUAGUUCAUCACAGACCUACGGGUCCAUAGCUAGUAGCUAGAUGGCUUCUCUCUCUCUCUCUCUCUCUUUGAUCUUGAACACAAUGUUCUCCUCGAUGUUCUUGGAGUUCUACCUGAUGUAAUCUUCUUAUGCAAUGUAUUUGUUGGGAUCCGGUGAAUUGUGGGUUUAUGAUCUGAAUAUUUAUGAGAAGUAAUGGAGUCUUUUCUGAACUUACCAUGCAUGAUUGUUAUAGAUUUGUAUUUCUCUCUGAUUUAUCUGUUUGGUUUGGCCAGCUAGAUUGAUUUGUCUUCAGUGGGAGAGGUGCUUUGUGAUGGUUCAAUCUUGCAGUGCUAUAUCCCAGUGACAGAAAGGGACAAUAUGCGCAUUUGUAUUGUUGCCAUUAAGGGUAAAACGAUGGGGUUUAUUCAUAUCAAUUGAGUUUACUUUGUCUACAUCAUGUCAUCUUGCUUAAGGUGUUACUCUAUUUUUAUUAACUUAAUACCCUAGAUGCAUGUUGGAUAGUCGUUGAUGGGUGGAGUAAUAGUAGUAGAUGUAGGUAGGAGUCAGUCUACUUGUCUCGGAUGUGAAUAUCGUCAUAACUAUGCGCUUUUCUAUCAAUUGCCCAACAGUAAUUUGUUCACCCAUCGUUUGCUAUGUGUUCGAGAGAGAAGCCUCUAGUGAAAAUUAUGCCCCCCGGGUCUACUUUUAUCAUAUAUAAAAUCCAAAAUAUUCUUGCUGCAAUUUAAAUUUUUUUUAAUUUUGUUUUGCAAUUUACUUUAUCUAUCUAUCACUAUCAUAAUUAAUCCUUGCAAGUAACGAGUUCAAGGGGAUUGACAACCCUCUUGCCUGCGUUGGGUGUAAGUAUUUGAUUUGUGUGUGUAGGUGUUGUUCAUGAAGCUUUGCAUGAUUCUCCUACUGGAUUGAUACCUUGGUUCUCACUCAAGGAAAUAUGUAUCUCUACUGUGCUGCAUCUCUUCUCCCCUUCGGGGAAAAUCCGAACGUGGCUCACAAGUAGCAGGAAGAAUUUCUGGCGCCGUUGUCGGGGAGACAUCAUCAGAACGUAUCAAGUAUCUUCGCACAAACUAUCAUCUACUUGCUCUUAUUUCUAUUUGCCUUUUUAUUUGCCUUUGUCUCUCGUUUUCAUCCCCCCACUUCUAUUUUUUUACAAAAACACAAAAAUAUUUUUGUUUGUUUGCUUGCUUUUAUUGCCUUCAUGUCAACACACGAAAAACAUGAAAUGAAAGCAAAAAUUUAAGAUGACUAUGGACCCACUUAAAGUUUUCUACUUGGGUCAUCUUCAACCCAUUUGUGCUCGUGCCGAAAACCCAACUAGCUUAGUCAAGAGAAAAUCAUUAGAUGAACAUGCUUAUUUUGUGCGUCACCUUUUGUCUCAAAAGGGGAGACUCUUAUGGAAUCAAAUAAGUUGUUUGCUAUGCUAUGCUUGGAAUCUAUGUGAAAUAUAUGAUUUCACUUGUUGCUCUAGUAACCCUAAAAACACCUUCCCUACCUAUGUGAGUUUAAUGAUAAUGAGAUCUUAUCUUCUUAUGCCAAGGGUGUUUAUAGUUACUAUGAUAUCGAACAAAUUGAAGAAUUUGUUGCUCUUAAGGGUGCUUAUGAAUUUGCUUCUUUGAUUAAAAAGUACGAUGCUACUCUCUAUAAAUCUGAUUUUUUUCCAUACUUAAAUAUUGCUAUGAAAACUAUGCUCCUAAUGCCUAUGUUAAUGAAUUUAUUGAGAGAAUGUCUGCUGCUUUGGAAGCAAAUAAUGCUAUGCAUGAAUCUAUAGAUAAUUAUGAUCCCGUUGAUUCGAUUGAAAUAUCCCCUCUCGAUGACCGUGAUGCUUGCUAUUCUUAUGGCCACGAUGCCAAUAUUAAUAAUGCUUGUGGAGAUGAACUUGUUAUAGUUCCUUAUGUUAAAAAUGAAAUUAUUACUAUUGCACCCACACUUGAUAGCUCCUUGAAUGAAAGACAUGAUGAUUGGAAUGAUUCUAUUAUAAAUUUUAUUAAUGUCAAUUGUGUUAAUGAUAUGCAAAGCUACAAGCUUGGGGAUGAUAAUUUUGUGAUGUCGACUACUUAUUGCAAUGAUAAUGAUUGGGGUGAUAAUGCCUCUUAUGAUCUUCAAAUUUUAUUUAAGCCCCAUGAUGAAUAUGUUAUUGAUAAUAAUGUUUGCAAUAAUAUUGAAAGUGGGUUUGGAAGAGUGUCAACUUUAGGUAAAAAGAAUCCCACAUAUUUGAAGAGUGUUCAAUCUUAUGAUUUUUUUGAUAAAAGUCGGUUUGGAGAGGUCAUGACUUUAGUUGAUGUUAAUCCCACUGUCUUGGAAGAUUAUAAAACUUUUAUGCAUUUGGAUCAUGAAGAGAAAAGUUUAUAUAAUAACUAUAUUAUUGAAUUUGUUUAUGAUCUUACAUGUUAUUAUUAUGAGAGAGGAAAAUAUGGUUGUAGAAAUUUUCAUGUUACUAAAUUACCUCUCGUUAUGUUGAGAUUGUCAAUGUUUCGUUCCUCUAUAUUUCAUAUGCUAGAUAUUUCUUGUCUUGAUAAUUUGUUUGCUUAUCAAAUGCCUAUGAAUAGGAAGUAUGUUAGGAUUAAAUGUGUUUGUCACAUGUUCUAUGAUGCUCUCUUUGUGCUUCAAAUUUUGUCUUUCAUGUGAGCAUCAAUAAAAUCUCAAGCUUAUCUUAAUGGCUAUAGAGAAAGAGAUUGUUGGGAGACAACCCAAUAGCUAUCAUUUAUAUAUUUUUUGUGUUGAAACAAUUAUUCUAUUUUUAUGAUUGUGUUUUUUAUGUUUUAGUUAGUGUUUGUGCCAAGUAAAGCCACUGGGAUGAUUUGGUUUAUAGUUGACUUGAUUCUGUGAAAAAAUAGAAACCUUUGCACCCAGUACAGGAAUUUUCAAUAUUCACCGAAACAUAAAAUUCAGAAUAUUUUUAAAUAUCAUUGUUGUACAAAUUUCCCACGCUAUACAAAUUUCCCACGCUGUCGUAAUUUUUCAGAUGUUUUGGAGUUACAGAAGUAUUGUGUUUGUUCAUAUCAUUACAAACUGUUCUGUUUUAGACAGAUUCUAUUUUUGUUGCAUAGUUUUCUUGUUUUGAUGAUGCUAUGGAUUAUAUCAGGGGUAUAAGUCAUGGAGAAGUUAGAAUACAGUAGGUAUUAUGCAAUAAUAAAAUAUGAAUGGGUUCAUGAGAAUACCUAAAGUUUAUGAUUUGCUUGUUAUACUAACGGAUCUCACGAGGUUUCUGUUAAGUUUUGUGUGCUAAAGUUUUCAUGUUUUGGGUGAGAUCACAAUGGAUGAAGGAAUAAGGAGUGGCAAGACCCUAAGCUUGGGGACUCCUAGACACCCCAAGGUAAUAUUCAAGGAAGACCCAAGUGUCUAAGCUUGGGGAUGCCCCGGACGACAUCCCCUCUUUCGUCUACAAACCAUCAUUAUAUUACUUGGAGCUAUAUUUUUGUUCAUCACAUGAUAUGAGUUUUGAUUGGAGCGUCUUGUAUGAUAGUAGUAUUUGCUUUGUUUGCUUUUUAGUUUGUCACAAUCAUCAUUUGCUACAAACACCUUUUGAGAGGGAUACACAUUAUUUCAUGAUUUGUUAGAAUACUCUAUGUGCUUCACUUAUAUCUUUUGAGCUAGACAGUUGCUUUAGUGCAUCACUUAUAUCUUUUAGAGCACGAUGGUGGUUGUAUUUUAAAGAAAUAGUUGCACUCUCAUGCUUCACUUAUACACUACUAGGGAAAACCCUAGUAGUAGCGCUGGAUGAAAGCCUUGCAGUAGCGCUGGGGCCCGCGCUACUGCUACGACGCUACAACUAAUGUUUAACAGUAGCAUGGGUUCAACCAACGCUACCCCUACCCUACCCCUACCUAGCAGUAGCAUGGGUACAACUAGUGCUACUGCUACCCCUACCUAGCAGUAGCGUGGGUCCAACCAAUGCUAUUGCUAAAUUUUCCUGUAUUUUUAUUUUCUUUUGCGUAUUUGCGCUGUAUUUGUAUAGGUUUUAUGAUCCUAUAAUAACUCAUCAUCAUCAUCAUGAUAACAACUCAUAAUAAUAAUAAUAAUAAUAACAACUCAUCAUCAUAGUCAUAACAACUCAUCAUCAUAACAACUCCUCCUCGUCAUCAUCGUCUAUGAGUCAUACUAGCAAAUAUGCCCGUGCGUUGCAACAGGAGAAAAAAUAUCAUCGCAUGCCCGUACCAAGUAACUACAGUUUGAAACACAAGUGUGAUGAUUUGUUUUAUAACGUGCAUCAAUUAUUCAUAACACUAAUUAUACUUUCAGCUAGACCAUCUUUACAAAACGGAUAAGAAAUGUAUGUAUUAUUAGGUAUGCAACCUCUCUAUAUUCCGACCUUCACUAUUUCACGUGUUAUACACCCAUGAAGGUGUACUAAUUGCCCAGAUUUAAUGCGAGACAUAUGUAGUGUGAGACAAAGGACCAAAGAUUUAUUAGGUUUAAAGUUAUUGUGACUGAUUCCAUAACCAAGAACUGAAAACAUGAAUAGUUUGUUUUCUAUACUUUGGGACUUUUUUUAUCGCAUUGGCAAUCUUCUCGGAAAGCUGAAUCAAAUUUCGUAAUUAAUUGUUGUAUUGUAUUAUGAGUGGUCCCAUUUGCAUGCAUGAUACACACAUAAGAAAAGACCUUGGUACAAGACAUGAAAACUGAAAAGAGUGGUGCAUAGAAGCACAAACAAUGCUACCUACAUAAGCAGUCACACGUGAUUAACUUCAUCACCAAGGUGGCUCUUUUUGUUGUUGCAACAAAUUAGGGGAACCGGCCCACCGAGUUGAAUUUGGGGUGGGUGGGUGUUGAGAUUAGUUAGGAAGAUUACGUAAGGAGACCGUAAGGUUUAUGUAGUUCUAGCAUUUUGUAUGAAGCACUAAUGAUGGAUGCUCGUUUACAUAAUUCUUGUCUAAUCUAAAGAUUAAGGAAUGCCUCAUUAAUAUUAACCGUUUUGAAUAUAUACCAAGAGAAAAUAUUUGGAAAUCCAUUGAUCCAUACCUGCACUUAGGUAAUGCAUACAUGUAUGCUUGCUUCCUACUAUAUAUACUUGUAUAUGCAUUACGUAUGCUCGGAGGUUGCUUGCGAUACGCCAAAUGAUAAUGAAUCUUAAAAUAAUGCAAUGUCCAAGCGAUCGGUCUAGCUCCAAGUGCAUCAUAUUUUACGACGCCGGUGGUUGAUGUCUACUAUGCAACUCUAUUCUUGUAGACUCGUGUUGGGCCUCCAAGCGCAGAGUUUUGUAGGACAGUAGCAAUUUUCCCUCAAGUGGAUGACCUAAGGUUUAUCAAUCCGUGGGAGGUGUAGGAUGAAGAUGGUCUCUCUCAAACGACCCUGCAACCAAAUACAAGAAAUCUCUUGUGUCCCCAACACACUGAAUACAAUGGCAAAUUGUACAGGUGAACUAGUUCGGCGAAGAGAUGAUGAUAAAAGUGUAAUAUUGAUGGUAGAAAUACAUUUUUAUAAUCUGAAUAAAUAAAAAUAGCAAGGUAGCAAAUAGUAAACGACACAAAAACGGUAUUGCAAUGCUUAAAAAUGAGGCCUAGGGUCCGUACUUUCGCUAGUGCAAUCUAUCAACAAUGCUAACAUAGUUGGAUCAUAUGAUUAUCCCUCAAAGUGCAGCAAAGAAUCACUCCCGAGUUCCUAUUAGCGGAGAACAAAAGAUAGAAAUUGUUUGUAGGGUAAGAGACCACCUCAAAGCUAUUCUUUCCGAUCAAUCUAUCCUAGAGUUCGUACUAGAAUAACGCAAGCUAUUCUUCUUGAUCAAUCUAAUCAAGAGUUCGUACUAGAAUAACACCAAAGCAAAUUCAUAUUCAUAAUACUCAGUCCACACAAAGAACUGCAAGGAGACCCCAAAGUUUCUAUCAGAAAAGAUAAUAAAAUGUGCAUCAACUCCUAUGCAUAGAUUACCCCAAUAUCACCGCGGAAUCCGUGAGUUGAAUGCCAUAACACAUAUCAAGUGAAUCAAUAUGAUACCCCAUUUGUCACCUCAAGUAUUCAUAUUGCAAGACAUACAUCAUGUGUUCUCAUCUCUGAAUAUUCAAUCCGACAAUACAAACUUCAAAGGGUAAAGACUCAAUUCAUCAUAACAAGAGUAUAACAGGGAGAAACAUCAUAUGAUCCGACUAUAUUAACAAAGCCCAUGAUAUAGAUCACGAGAGAGAGAGAGAGAGAUUAAACACAUAGCUACUGGUACAAACCCUCAGCCCUGAGGCUGGACUACUCCCUCCUCAUCAUGGUGGCCGCCGGGAUGAUGAAGAUGGCCACCGGAGAUGAUUCCCCCCUCCGGCAGGGUGCCGGAACGGGGUCUAGAUUGAUUUUCGCGGAUACAGAGACCUUGCUGCAGCGGAACUUCUGAUCUAGGGUAACCCUGAUGGGUUUUGGAAUAUUUGGGAAUUUAUAGUGCAAAGAAGGGGUACAGGAGGCCACCGAGGUGGGCACCUCCCACCUGGGCGCGCCAGGUGGGCCUGGCGGGCCCUGGUGGGUUGUGCCCCCCUCGGGGCACCCCCCAGGUGCUGCUCUGGCCCAAUGGGUGUCUUCUGGUCCAUAAAAAAUCACCGUGUAGUUUCGUUGCAUUUGGACUCCGUUUGGUAUUGAUUUCCUGUGAUGUAAAAAACAAGCAAAAAACAGCAACUAGCACUGGGCACUGGGUCAAUAGGUUAGUCCCAAAAAAUGAUAUAAAGUCGCUAUAAAAUGAUUGUAAAACAUCCAAGAAUGAUAAUAUAUUGGCAUGAAUACUUCAUAAAUUAUAGAUACGUUGGAGACGUAUCAGCAUCCCCAAGCUUAAUUCCUACUCGUCCUCGAGUAGGUAAAUGAGAAAAGAAAUAAUUUAUGAAGUGUGAAUGCUAGCAAAGUGCAUAAGUUUGAUCAAUGGCAAUGUCAAUCACUUUUCCUAGCAUCAUAACAACAAUUCUUUCUCAUAAAAUUUCUCAUGUUGUAGUGGCAACCAAUUCACAUGUUAAGGUUUAAACAAUGAACUCUCUUGAAACCCAACAACCUAUGUUCUUAGUCACCAAGCAAUUGCAAUUCAACUUAUUCAACAGAGUCUAAGUAAGAGCUCCACAUACUCAACCAUCAUAUAGUCUUCUAUGAUUGCUAACACUCACCACGUACACAUGAGCAAAACGUUUCAACCGGAGACAUAGAAAGAUAGGGGCUUAUUGUUUUGCCUCCCAACGUAUUCACCUCAAGGGUGAUGUCAACAAUAAUAACUCAUGCUACCCAUAUUCAACUGGACAUAUGUGCCUAGAUCUUUCCUCACCACAUGAUGCUUGCCAAAAGUGAAAAAUAAAAAGGAAUAUAGAGAAAAACUUUGACUCUUUGCAUAAAAGUAAAUACAGAAAAGUAAAAGAUAGGCCCUUCGCAGAGGGAAGCAGAGGUUGCCAUGCGCUUAUUUGUUUGUAUGCUCAAUCCCUUAGUGCAAAAGAACGCCACGUUACAUUGCCCCUUAAGAUGACAACCUUUAUUAUGCAGUCUAUCGCUUUUAUUCUUUGUCAUUCAAGUUCGUGCAACGCUCAAUUUUCUCUUACACUAAAUGAUCUCACACUUUUAGAAGCAAUUUUUAUUGCCUUUUUGCACCGAUGACAACUUACUUGAGGGAUCUUGCUCAAUCCCUAGGUAGGUAUGGUGGACACUUGAAAAAGAUUUGGGUUUAAGGGUUUUUGGAUGCAUAAGUAGUAUCUCUACUGAGCGGGGAUUUUUUGGCUAGCAAAGAUAGGGGGCAAGCACCACAUGUUGAAGGAUCUAUGACAAUAUGACUUCUAUGUGAAUAUGAACAAUCAUAAACCAUUACGUUGUCUUCGUUGUCCAACGUCAACAAUUUUGGCAUAUAAUAUUUUGAUGGGGGCUCACAAUCACAAAAUAUUUCCAUGAUAGUGUAUUUUCAUGUGAAAGUUCUCUUCCUUAUACUAGUUAUUCGUGAAUUGCUUGUAUGACCGAUAUUGUGAUUGUCAAGCCUCAAAAGGUUUCACUUUCUAAACCCAAUGUGAAGCUACCACUAGGCAUGAUAUGAUUUCAACUUCAUGAUAUUCAAUUUAUUCAACAAUUUACUCAUAGGAUAUAAGUGAAGCACAAGAGUAAAUGACAAACUACUCCAAAAAGAUAUAAGUGAAGAUCAAACGAGUAGAUAAGUAAAUAGGUAGCUAUUUGAGGACUCUCUCUUAUUCAAAACUUUCAGAUCUAAGUAAUUUAUUAAAACAGCAAGCAAAACAAAACAAAAUGACAUUUCAAGGAUAGCACACAUCAUGUGAAGAAGCAAAAACUUAGGCUCAACCGAUACUAAAUGAUAAUUGUUGAAGAAGAAAGGUGGGAUGCCUACCGGGGCAUCCCCAAGCUUAGAUGCUUGAGACUUCUUGGAAUAUUAACUUGGGGUGCCUUGGGCAUCCCCAAGCUUGAGCUUUUGUGUCUCCUUAUUUCCUUUUAUAUCUCGGUUUCCCUAAAUCUUAAAAACCUCAUCCACACAAAACUCAACAAGAACUCGUGAGAUAAGUUAGUAUAAACCAAUGCAAAAGCUUUAUCAUUCUAUACUGUAGCAAAUCACUAAAAUUAUUAUUCAACAUUGCAUACUAAAUGCCUCUGCAUAUUUAAUACUCCUACCCUCAAAUAGAAUCAUUAAACAAGCAAACAUAUGCAAACAUAACAGCAAUCUGCCAAAACAGUACAGUUUGUAAAGAAUGCAAGAGUAUCAAUAGUUCCCUAACUCCAAAAAUUAUGAAAAUAUACCACACUGUAGAAAAUUUAUCAGACUUAUUAUGCAAAAAGUUUCAACAUUUUAACACAUUCUGACUUUUCUAGGGAAUUUUUGCAACAGCGGUAAACUUUCUGUUUUCAAACAGCAACAUGUAUACUUGCAAAAUAAGCAUGGUAAGGCUAUCCUUGACAUUUUUAUUGAAAAUAAAGAUGCAAAACAUUAUUAUAAAUAACAGCAAGCAAAUCUUAAAAAAAUAAAUUGAUGCUCCAAGUAAAACUCAUGUCAUGUGACAAAUGAAAACAUAGCUCCAAGUGAGGUUACCGAUAAUGUUGGAGACGAAAGAGGGGAUGCCUUUCGGGGCAUCCCCAAGCUUAGUUGCUUCGAUAUUCCUUGGAUAUUACCUUGGGGUGCCUUGGGCAUCCCCAAGCUUAGGGUCUUUUCACUUCUUAUUCUCCUCAUAUCGUCAUCUCACCCAAAACUUGAAAACUUCAAUCACACAAAACUUAACGGAACUUUGUGAGAUAGGUUAGUAUGAUAAAGAGCAAACCAUUUCACUUUGUUACUGUAAAAUACAAGAUUCAUAAUUGUUUCCAUACAAUGACUACUGUAGCAUAUCAUUUCCACAAUUUAUAUUGAGCAAUAUAAGCCAUAGAAACUAGAAAACAAACAGACUAUGCAUUGAAAACAGAAUCUGUCAAAAACAGAAUAGUCUGUAAUGAUCUGGACUCAAACCAUACUUCUGUACUCCAAAAAUUAUGAAACAAAUUGGACCACGUGAGCAAUUUGUAUAUUAAACUUCUGCAAAAAGAAUCAACUCAAAAGAACUCUUCUGUUAAAAAUGAGACUUAUUUUCGUGAGCGCAAAAGUUUCUGUUUUUCAGCAGGGUCAAAUCAACUAUCACCCAACAUGAUCCCAAAGGCUUUACUUGACACUUUAUUGAAACAAAGCAAUAAAACAUGAUCAAUACAGUAGAAUAAUCAUGUUAACACACAAAAACAAUAGGUAAAAGUUUUGUGUUGUCUCCCAACAAGCGCUUUUCUUUAAUGCCUUUUAAGCUAGGCAUGAUGAUUCAAUGAUGCUCGCAUAAAAGAUAAGAAUUGAAAUACAAAGAGAACAUCAUGCAUCAUAAGUUCCUCUCUCAUAAUAAUUUUCAGUAGAAUCAUGAAUAGAUUCAUCAAUAUAGCCAUUACAUAAAGCAUUCUUUUCAUGAUCCACUAGCAUAGAAAAUUCAUUACUCUCUAUGGCAUACAUGUCAUCAUAAUAAUCAUCAUAGAAAGCAACUUUAUUGCCAUAGUCAGUUGAAACCUCUUCAAAAAUAGUGGGUGUACCACUAAAUAAAGUCAUGACCUCUCCAAAUCCACUUUCUUCAAUAUUGUAAUGAGAUUCAACACCCUCCAAAAUAGUGGGAUCACUACUACCUAGAGUUGACACUCUUCCAAACCCACUUUUAUCAAUGUAAUCAUCAUAAAUAGGAGGCAUGCUAUCAUCAAAAUAAGUUUGAUCAAUCAAAGUAGGGGGACUAAAAAGAUCAUCUUCAUUAAACACAGCCUCCCCAAGCUUGGGACAAACAUUAAUUGCGGCAAAUAAAUUCUCAAACAUGUCAUUCUCAUUAAACAUAGCAUCCCCAAGCUUGUGGCUUGGCAUAUCAUAAGCAUAAUCAUUCUCAUCAUUAAUAGUAUGAAUGGAACCAACGGUAUAACAAUUGCUAUCAUCAUAAUUUCCCAAGUUGGUGCCAAAAAGAUUUCCAAUAUUAUAAGAAGUAUCAUUAUCUUCCCAAUCAUAAUCAUCAUAACAAGCAAUAGGCAUAGCAAAAUCAUCAUCAAGUGCAUCAUCUUCCACAAUUAUUUUUGAUUCAUUUUCAUGAGGCACAACAAUAACAGGAGCAACAUUAUUUGGGAGAGAUACCUUUUUACCACUCUUCUUUCUUCUUCUUUUCUUCUUCUUCACCACAUCAUGUGUGGGUUCAUUGAAUCUUUUCAAGCUUCUUAUUGAUGAGAUUGGUUGGACUACUCCCUCCUCAUCGUGGUGGCCGUCAGGAUGAUGAAGAUGGCCACCGGAGAUGAUUCCCCCCUACGGCAGGGUGCCAGAAUGGGGUCUAGAUUGGUUUUCGCGGAUAUAGAGACCUUGCGGCGGUGGAACUUCUGAUCUAGGGUAACCCCGAUGGGUUUCGGAAUAUUUGGGAAUUUAUAGUGCAAAGAAGGGGUAUGGGAGGCCAACGAGGUGGGCACAACCCACCUGGGCACGCCAGGUGGGCCUGGCGCGCCCUGGUGAGUUGUGGCCCCCUCGGGGCACCCCCCAGGUGCUGCUCUGGCCCAAUGGGUGUCUUCUGGUCCAUAAAAAAUCACCGUGGAGUUUCGUUGGAUUUGGACUCCGUUUGGUAUUGAUUUCCUGCGAUGUAAAAAACAAGCAAAAAAUAACAACUAGCACUGGGCACUGGGUCAAUAGGUUAGUCCCAAAAAAUGAUAUAAAGUUGCUAUAAAAUGAUUGUAAAACAUCCAAGAAUGAUAAUAUAUUGGCAUGAAUACUUCAUAAAUUAUAGAUACGUUGGAGACGUAUCAGCGGUACUGCGGUUACUCUUUGGCAAGUAGACCCUUUCAUAUAUCUCAAUCAGUUUUCUCACGCUGUCGUCCUGCUGCCCCGUGCUGCUGACACUCAUGGCCGCCUUAUCUUCCACAGUCCUACAGCUGCUCACCACUGUUGGUGCGGCAGCUGUAGCUCAUCGUCGCCUUGUUUUACUGUUGCUACUCGCCACCACCACCCAGUAGUGUAGCAGUUGCUGCUCGUCGCCUCGUCUUGUAUGCUACUACUGCUCGCCAUGGCCACAACAUGGUGUAGCUGUCUGACUCAAUAACCCCGUCGCCCCGGCUUCCCUAGCAACAAUAAAGAAGAUGUCGUUGUGGCCACGACGCGUAGGCGCACCUAUGUGGUUGCCCAUCGGUUGUGUCCUCCCCGGCCAGCGACCUGCCUGGCUACCUCCCACUUGCUCCCGGCUACAGGCGCGCUAUUGCUGGGCAAGGUUAUGGGCUCAUGCGGCUCUGCACUUGGGCGCUGGGCUCGAUCUGCGUAAUUACGAUAAAAGGCGAGCGAGAGUGGGACGGGCGCCGAUGGCGGUCGUGGCUGGGUCGGAACCCUAGGCUCGGUCCAGAAAGAGACGCAGAGAGCGAAAGACGAAGGAGGAGACACCGUGUGCGAGGACGGUGCACGCCUUCCUGGAUCUUGCUCUGGCGAGCAUCAGGGUUUAGGACAACGAUGGAAGGCAUCUAUGUGUUCCUGUGGCAUCUCGUUGGCGUGAAGUACAUGUUUGUCAGCCCGCAACAAUUCCACCUACUGCUCCUUUGCUCGUUCAUCCCAAACUCGGUAUUUACGAAUGGGCUAGGGAGGUAGCGAGGCAUGUGGAGUUCGACUGGGUCACGGACAAAGUAACAAUAGUACACAUGAAGACAAAGUAACAAUAGUACACAUGAAAACCAAUUGCGUACAGAUAUUUUUCCAGUCAUUGAUUUGUGAUACGUCUCCGUUGUAUCUAUAAUUUUUGAUUUUCAUGCCAAUGUUAUACAACUUUCACAUAUUUUGGCAACUUUUUAUAUGACUUAUUGGACUACCCUACUAAUCCAGUGCCCAGUGCCAGUUCCUGCUUUCUGCAUGUUUUUGUUUUGCAGAAAAUCCUAUCAAACGAAGUCCAAAUGCAAUAAAAUUUUACGAGAAUUAUUUUAGAAUAUUUGUGAUUUUUGGGAGGUCGAACCAUCGCAAACGGAGGCCCACACACACCACAAGACACCUGGGCGCGCCCCAGGCCCCAGGCGCGUGGUGGUGGGUUUUGCUCACCUUGUACAUCGGUUGGGGCUCUACUUUGGGUGCAAGGAAGCUUAUUUCCGAAAAAAAACAUGUUAAAAUCUCAUCGCAAUCGGAGUUACGGAUCUCCGGGAAUAUAAGAAACGGUUUUCGGCCAGGUCUGGAGAGCGCAAAACAGAAGAGAACAGAGAGGGAGAUCCAAUCUCGGAGGGGCUCCCGCACCUCCGCCGCCAUGGAGGCCAUGGACCAGAGGGCGAACUCUCCUCCCAUCUAGGGGGGAGGCCAAGGAAGAAGAAGGAGGAGGGGGCACUCUCCCCCUCUCUCCCGGUGACGCUGGAGUGUCGCCGGGGCAAGGAUCGUGACGGUGAUCUACAUCAACAAUCUUGCUACCGCCAACAUCAACUCUCUCCCCCUCUAUGCAGCGGUGUAACACCUCUUCCCCCCACUGUAAUCUCUACUUAAACAUGGUGCUCAACUCCAUAUAUUAUUUCCCAAUGAUCUAUGGUUAUCCUAUGAUGUUUUGGUAGAUCCGUUUUGUCCUGUGGGUUCAUCGUGAUCUUGGUUGGUAUGAUUUUAUAUUUUAUUUAUGGUGCUGCCCUAUGGUGCUCUCCGUCUCGCGCAAACAUGAGGGGCCCCCGCUGUAGGGUGUUGCAAUAUGUUCAUGGUUUGCUUAUUGUCGGUGUUGCGGGGGUGUCAGCAGCCUAAGCGCGGAUAAGUGGGUUAUGGCGUAUGGGAGUAAAGAGGACUUGAUACUUAAUGCUAUGGUUAGGAUUCACGACCUUAAUGAUCUUUAGUAGUUGCGGAUGCUUGCUAGGGGUCCAAUCAUAAGUGCAUAUGAUCCAAGUAGAGAAAGUAUGUUAGCUCAUGCCUCUCCCUCAUAUAAAAUUACAAGAAUGAUUACCGGUACUUGUUAUCAAUUGCCUAGGGACAAAUGACUUUCUUGUUGACAAAAGCUAUCCACUUUUAUUACCUUGCAAUUUAUCCAUAGUUUUAUACUCGCAAAGUACUCAUAGUUUUAUUUUUGCAAAAUAGUUUCAUACUUCUUCUAGGUAAAGCAAACGUCAAGUGUGUGUAGAGUUGUAUCAGUGGUCGAUAGAACUUGAGGGAAUAUUUGUUCUACCUUUAGCUCCUCGUUGGGUUCGACACUCUUAUUUAACUUAUGGGUUAUCAAUUUGUUUCCAAAAAAUCAAUUCCUCUUAUGGUCAAAAAGUUGCGUACAAAAGUUUCACAUGUUCAGGGAUUGUGGAAGGAGAAUCAAAAACCUUUCUCCUUUUAAAUCUCAGCCGUUAAUCUUGUGGAUGGAAGGAUAAUAAAGAAACCUUCCUCAUUUUAAAUGUCAGCCGUUAAUCUUUGUGGUUAAUACAAUAUCAAUGGAUAUAAAAGGGUGACGGAUGGAGAGCCAUGAAAGGUUCCGUCCUUUAAUAUUAGGUAUAGAUAACAACUCAUCAUUCUAACACAUUAUAGCCUACGGCCCCCGGGUUUCUUCUUUAUUAUAUUUGCCUUUGCGAUCUAUUUUCCUUCACUUUUAUUUUCAGAUCUAUUAAACCAAAAAUACAAAAAUACCUUGCUGCAAUUUAUUUUAUUUGGCAUUCGAUCUAUCAAUAUUUACAACUCUCUCACGUCUGUUUGCCAAUUUCUGGCGCCGUUGCCUGAAAGGGAUUGAAAACCCCUUUAACACGUCGGGUUGCGAGUAUUUGUUAUUUGUGUGCAGGUGCUGUUUAUGUAGUGUUGCUUGGUUCUCCUACUGUGUGACGCCCCCGAUUCAAUCGUACACUAAUCAUGCACGCAAACGUGUACGAUCAAGAUCAGGGACUCACGGGAAGAUAUCACAACACAACUCUAAAAACAUAAAUAAGUCAUACAAGCAUCGUAGUACAAGCCAGGGGCCUCGAGGGCUCGAAUACAAGUGCUCGAUCAUAGACGAGUCAGCGGAAGCAACAAUAUCUGAGUACAGACAUAAGUUAAACAAGUUUGCCUUAAGAAGGCUAGCACAAACUGGGAUACAGAACGAAAGAGGCGCAGGCCUCCUACAUGUGAUCCUCCUAAACUACUCCUGGUCGUCGUCAGCGGCCUGCACGUAGUAGUAGGCACCUCCGGUGUAGUAGGAGUCAUCGUCGACGGUGGCGUCUGGCUCCUGGGCUCCAGCAUCUGGUUGCGACAACCAGGAAGAGAGGAAAGGGGGAAAGGGGACAAAAGCAACCGUGAGUACUCAUCCAAAGUCCUCGCAAGCAAGGAUCUACACUACUUAUGCAUGGGUAUCUGUGUAAAGGGGCAAUAUCGGUGGACUGAACUACAGAAUGCCAGAAUAAGAGGGGGAUAGCUAAUCCUAUCGAAGACUACGCUUCUGGCAGCCUCCAUCUUGCAGCAUGUAGAAGAGAGUAGAUGGUAAGUUCACCAAGUAGCAUCGUAUAGCAUAAUCCUACCCGACGAUCCUCUCCUUGUCGACCUGUGAGAGAGUGAUCACCGGGUUGUAUCUGGCACUUGGAAGGGUGUGUUUUAUUAAGUAUCCGGUUCUAGUUGUCAUAAGGUCAAGGUACAACUCCGGGUCACCUGUUACCGUGGACACGACUAUUCAAAUAGACCAACUUCCCUGCAGGUGUGCACCACAUUACCCGACACGCUCGAUCCCUCUGACCGGGCACACUUUCCUGGGUCAUGUCCGGCCUCGGGAUAUCAACACGUCGCAGCCCCACCUAGGCUCAACAGAGAGGUCAGCACGCCGGUCUAAAUCCUAUGCGCGCAGGGGUCUGGGCCCAUCGCCCAUUGCACACCUGCACGUUGCGUACGUGGUCGGAAGCAGACCUAGCCCCCUUAAUACAAGCGCGGGCUUACGGUCCAAUGCGGCGUGCGCCGCUCAGUCGCUGACGUCAAAAAGAGCUUCAGCUGAUACCACGACGCCGGUUGCCCAUAUCUUGUCCCACGUGGCGGUUAGUGCGUAUAAGGUCAACGACCCAACUCAGAUCAAAUACCAAGAUCUCGUUAAGCGUGUUAUUAUGAAGUAACCACGGACGCCGACCAGGGCCAGGCCCACCUCUCUCCUAGGUGGUCUCAACCUGCCCUGUCGCUCCGCCACAAAGUAACAGUCAGGGGCCGUCAGGAACCCAGGCCCACCUCUACCGGGAUGGAGCCACCUGUCCUUUCAGCCCCCACAUCGGAAUCACUUGCGGGUACUCUACGAGCCAACCCGACUUUAGUCACCACAUGAAUCAUAUAAUGUAUAUAAGUAUAUACCCGUGAUCACCUCCCGAGUGAUCACGGCCCGAUAGUAUAGCACGACAGACGGACAAAUAUGUAGGGCCACUGAUGGAAUACUAGCAUCCUAUACUAAGCAUUUAGGAUUGCAGCUAAGGGUAACAACUGAAGCAACAAUGACAGGCUAUGAAGCUGAAUAGGAUUAACAGAAAGCAGUAACAUGCUACACUACUCUAAUGCAAGCAGUAGAGAGAAGGAAUAGGCGAUAUCUUGUGAUCAAGGGGGGGGGGGCUUGCCUAGAAGCUCAGCUGAGAAGGAGGGGUCGUCAACACCGUAGUCGUACUAGGUAGCGGUGGCGUCGGUCUCGGUGUCUAACGAGAGAAGAGGGGGAAGAAACAAUAAAUAUAAUGCAAACAUAAGCAUGACGGUGCAUGACAUGACAAUGACCGUUGCUAGAUGUGCCCUAACGCGGUAGUAGGUGAUACCGGCGAAGGGGGAAAACAUCCGGGAAAGUAUUCCCAGUGUUUCGCAUUUUCUGACAGAUGAACCAGAGGGGGAAAGUUGCGUGUUUGCUAUGCUAGGGGUGUGUGGCAGGCGAACGGGCUGCGUAUCCGGAUUCGUCUCGUCGUUCUGAGCAACUUUCAUGUACAAAGUAUUUUCAUCCGAGUUACGGAUUAUUUUUAAUGUUUUAAAUCAUUUCUAAAUUAUUAUUAUUAAUUUAAUUCGAAAUUAGCAUUAUUGCAUUAGCAUGUCGUCAGCAGUCAACAGAGGUGUUGACUGGGGUCAAACUGACAUGUGGGGCCAGGGGGCUGGGUUGACCCAGUCAAAUGUCUAGUCAGCAGUUGACUAGUCAACUAUUGACUGGUCAAACCUGGGUAGUGGGGCCCAGGUGUCAUUCUCACAGUUUUAAGAUUUUCUUUUUUUAAAGAUAUUUAGAGGUGGGUCUACCUGUAAGUGUUAGGGGGGGGGUACUUAAAUUAGUUUACAUUUAAACUAAGUUAAUGGCCCACGGUUCAGUGUCAUUUUAGGGGUUUUUAGUUAGUGGCUAAUGAUGCCUCGUCGGCAUGUUAAGCCGUCUAACCGCCUGGGUUAACAGGGGACGGCGGCGACGACCAUCCGGCCAACUGCAGCGUCAGCCGGACGCGUGAUUAGGGGUGCCUGAAAGCCCUCGGCGCGGCGCAGCGGAUGGUGGUCGCGGUAGGUGCGAGGGCAGUCUGUUGCGGUGCUGGCGUCGAGGCGAGCGGCGGCCGGAGCGGGCGGCAGCGGCAGCCGCAGAUGGCAAGGCGAGCAGCGACACGGUAGGGGGGAAGCAGUGGUAGGCGGCGAAGCGCGAGAGCAGUGCGCGGGGCUGCGGUGGCGAUGCGAGCCAGGGGGAGCGACGACGCGGCCGGCGCGGUUGUGGCGCGCGCGAUCCGCGGUCGGGAGGUGCGAGUGGCUUUGCCGGGGCACGAUCUCGUGCGCAGUGGCGCAACCGAAGCGGGGGGAGCCGGGCGGGCAUGGCAGGUGCGUAGCGGGCACUGGCGGUGCGAGCCAUGGCGGGGGAAGGACACGACGGUGACGGCGCGCAGUGAUAGCCGCAUCAUAAGUAGAGAAGAAGGAGCGAGGCCGGAGCCUGGGGGCUCACCCACGUUGCAGGGACGAGGGGCGGCGUGGCUCGGGGGUGCCUUUGGGGAGGAGGACGGGGACGAGCGACGUGGUGGUGGCCACGGGCGUCGGGGCGACGGGGUGACUUCGGGGUGAGGUGGCGCUGGCGAUUCGGCGAUGACGACGUGCACAACGGCAGGGAGGCGACGGCGGACAACGGCAAGCUACGUCGGGAAGCAUCGAGUGGCGGGGCGCGGCCGUCGGGACGGCGCCAGGGGCAGCGGGUUCGAUCCGAUCCACAUCAGGGGCGGGGGCAGAGGCAAGGGGGAGGAAAUCAUGGGGAGGGAGUGGGUGAGUGGGGGGUUCGUGGGUUAGGGUUUCGGGCUAGCAGGGGUUAUGUGGGGAGUGGGUGGCCGGUUGGGCCGGCCAGGCGGGAUGGUGGCCUGCUGGGCCGAAGCCCAGUGAGGGAGGGGGGGCCUUUCCCCCCUUUUUUUUGUUUGUUUUGUUUUGUUUACUUUUUCUUAUAUUUCUUUUCUGUUUUAAUUUUAUUUCCCAAUUUGUUUUAGUUUGGUAAAAUAUUCAAUUAGCACCUAACAUAGUAACAUUAAUUAUACCAUUGCCACAAUAACUUUGGCACCUAGCUAAAUAGUUUAGUAUUUUGUAAAAUAUAUUAGGAGUAUAACUAAUUGUUUUUUCCGUUGUUUUAAUCACUUUAGGGUAUUUAAUUAUUUUAUAAAGAUGUUGUUUCUCCACCAAUAAUAUCCAUGAUUUUUUUGUCACAUUAAGAACAUUUUAGUUUUGACUUUUGAAAACUUUAAUUGUUUGACUUGAUUUUAAAUUUGAAAUUUGAACGGGAUUUGAAUCAUCGCAAGAUAACAACAGUAAUCGUGGUGACGUGGCAUCAUUAGCGGAGGGUUACUGUAGCGUAACUAUCUGGGCGUCACAAUUCUCCUCCACUACAAGAAAUCUCGUCCCGAGAUUUAAGAGGUGGAAUAAGGGGGAAAGGUCUGGUUACGAAAUCCUAACGAAUCUUCUCGGUCUUGGUUGCUCUUCUCAAAGAGGUCGAUCCAUUACAUUGAAGUCUUCAUUCCUAUGCUUCAGUCAUCACGAUGAAGUCGGCAUCCUUUCUUUAGGAUCUCCAUCGUACUUAAGAAUAUGAAAAGGGCAGCUCGGCAAUGACAGAAUGUUAUAAGAAGGGUAAUAACAUGGGGUUAACCCAUGAAUGAGCAUAAGGGUACCUCUCGAGUUAGAUAAAUAAAACACAUAGAGAGUGAAGUUUGAAGGUACGAGAAGAUUUUCAAGCAGCCAGGCAAUCGUUCAAUGCCUACUCAGAAGGUGAAAGGGUUUCAGGGCAACGUGAAUAAGUAUUGCGUCUGAUACCAGAAUAGAUCACUAGGAAUGUGGCUCCUGAAUUGCAUACGACGCUAAGAGUGGGGAUUAACUUUGGAAACAGGGUGUACAGGAGAGUCAGGUUUUGAUCCUGGGACCUGUGGGUUAUGGGCCCACCAUGUGGGUUAAAAGUAGGAAGGGCGAUGACAUCUUGCACGAUCAUGUAAGCAAGGCAUGUCAGAGGAUAGUCUGUUGGUUAUGUCGACAACAACAUCGGUACCAAGGGCGAGGGACGAAGAGAACCAUUUUCCUGCUCGUUGAACUAGGCGGGCCAAUAGGCAAAGUUCUCGUCCAUCGGCGGUUACCGGAAUGUCAUCAACAGUAGAAACAUGGUCUCACUGACAGAGUUGUACACUGAGGUGUUUACAUAAGCAGUGAAUCAUUACUGCUUAGAUUAUAUAGAUCACAAGAAAGGUCAAACAAACCAAUGGAAAGGAAAAUGUGAUCAUCGGGUUAAACAGAACAAUGGAAAGGGAAAAAUGUGUUUAAACACAUAUUUCAGAGGUAUAUCCUUCUCAAGGACAAGCAGAGCAUGAUAUCCAUGACAGGAUAUAAUGUAGAAAACCCUUUAGGUAAGGGGAGAGAAAUUUCAUGACAUUACCCAUGCAACGGCGUUCGGAUAAUUGAGCAAGAAACAUUUAGCAUUGGGCUUCAAAUUUUUUGUUGAAAAUCGGAGUACCACAGACAUGCUUCGAGAUAGCAUUGACAUGGUCUUCAAACAAAGGUCGGACUUUGAAUACACAAAGGAUCCAUCAGGAACAACUUAUAAAAUAAGUCUUACGAUUUCCUCAUGGAAGAAUCGUUAAUCUUGCUAAAAAGGAAACUAUAACAAUAGGUCCUCCGGCCAGGUGUGCUAGGCAUGACAUCAUCUUAUCGGGUCAUAUAAAGACAAAUGAUAUAACUCUUGGAUAUAUGUUUCAACCAUCAUAUCUGACCGAGAUUCAGAUCUGAUCGGUGUCAGGAUACCUCAGACUCAUGAUGCCUCAGGAGAAAAAGGUGCGACACAAAUUGACGAGAAGACAUUGUAAGAUUCUCAGGAAAUGAACUAUGGAAGCGAUUUCCGAACAACAGUUCAUCAUUGAGCCAGGGAGAGGAUGACAGGGUGGCCGAUGGACUCAGCAAAAAUUCAUUGAGAUUUCCAAGAAGAUGGAUUUCCACAAUUAUGUGAACAAGGAGAUAACAUUUGUCAGAUCAAAUGAUAUACUGAUGUAUGCUCGAGGGAACAUCCACAAUUCAACAUUGAUCGAAAAUGCACCUGGAAAUAUGGAUUGAGCAACCCAAUCAAGGUUAGAAUGGUGAUACAAUAACCUAUAGUAUAAGGAUGAACUAUCGACCCUUAACUUCAAAGCAAUAUGGUUGCUAGAAGUAACAAAGUCACACGUCAGAGUUCACUUGUGUGUAUUCCGGUUAGAAACAACACGGGGAACAAGAAAGAAUGGUGGUGGUGAGAAGUAUCACUAUAACAAGAAUUCUUAAGAGGUGGUGAAAUUCUCACGACAUUCUUGACAUAAAAGACGGUAAUACUCAAAGGUAAAGAAGAACAAAUGUUGGAUAGCAAGGAACUCAAGGUAUAACACAAAACACGAACAAGUUUGUGUUGAACGGAAGGCAAUAAAAUGGUCGAUGAUAAAACAAAUCAUCGAGGGCAAGAAUGGUAUUUCUCAUCAUGAAUUCAAUUGAUAUCUAGGAAGGAGGCAAGAUGUUGAUGAUGAUCACGACAAAUUUUGUCGAGAGGCUCCACGAAGAAGCAAUCGAACAGCGACUGCAUCAAGCAAAAGGACUGAUGCAGGGAUAGAUUAUUGGAUCCAUGGAUACGACACCAACUCGGAACCAAGCUUAUUAUUCGAGGUGGAACGAUAAGACUAGGGAAUCAAUGUAAGCUUAGCUCAUGGUCGAAGGUUGUGCUCCGGGAAUAAGGAAGAGGUAGCACAGUUAAAAUCAGCACGAUAAUGAUAUAGCCAAUCAGGCUAGGAAUGACAUGACGGAGUAUUAAACUUCCCAACAACAAAGUACUAGGAGUACUGAAUCAUAGUGUCGAUUCGAUUCACUAUGCAGUGUUCUCAGUUGACUAAUAACUCAAAACACGGGGAAAUCUGAAAUCGGUGAGAAGCAAUACUAGAUGUAUACUCAUAGGAAGCGACACAGUUCUUUGAUAUUCUCGAUAUACCAGAGGGUAAUACUCGAAGGAAGAUCAAAAUAGAGGUUGCAGAGAUGUAUUGAUCUUCAGAAGACAAGUACUUUAACUUGCCCGAGAAAUGGAAUCAAAAAGAAAAUAUGGUCGGAACCACGAUUGCAAAGGAACAAUUCACAGAUACCAGAUGAUAUUUUAUCAAGGAAAUAAUCAUUAGUACAAGAAGCUUCCAUGAUAGGAUCCACAUCGUGUCCAUGGGCAUGAACACAAAGUUCAAGGUCGACUCCCACUUCUCCAAUGCAUAAUCUUUCAUUCACUUCUCACUUUCCAUGAAGUUGUAGCGUUGAAAUUUUAUCUGAUGAAAAGCCAGUAGAGUAUAACCCGCAUAACUUUCGAGUUCACCCAGAUUAUGGAAGGCAUAGGUUCAACCCAUCGGGGCAUCUUAGGAACAUAUACCACAAACUUUAGUAGCAAAUAACUCAAGCUCGGAAGCAGAGCAAGGUUGACAAAGGCAUAGGAUAUUACUUGCCAAAGGCAGAAGACACAAUUUACCGAAGGCAUUAUGUAUCAAGGGAGAAACUCUCGAGGUUAUUGGAUAUGAAGGACACUAUCGGAUAAUAACCAAGCAAUUGGUCUCGCAGACCACAAGGAAUCUGGUGUGAGUAUCGAUACUCAAUCAGAAGGAAAAAGAAUGCAAAGGCAUCAGAUUAGAGAAACAACUAACUAAUUCAAAGCUCAAAUGCAAAUGAAUUAUGAUUUCCAAAUCAAAGGAUCAGAAGCAAACGCUCUGAUUAAGAAUGGAUAAGUUGAAUAGACUUAGGGGUACAUUCAAUGACAAGUUGAUUGGUCGAGGACCAGCUCGUGUUCAAAAUGACGUCUGAGCCGAAAGGAUGAAUCCUAGGAUUCGACUGAUGAUGGUGAACAUCCGCAACUUAUUGAAUCAAGGGACUCAAAAAUGAUAGUGACAAAUGAUGCGAAUAAGAUUAGUAUACUUAUGGGAUUAACCAUAAUGCAAGCAAGCAAGAAUUUCAAAAACAACAGGCUGUUGAGGAUUUUCGAAAUAUCAAAUAGUAUUUCGAAGACUUUGGUGAAACACAUGAACAACGGGGAAAGAACGGAUACUCGGUAAGUGCGAGGAAUUAUCCAUAGGGGGGUAUUCAUGUGGCAAGAACUGCAAGGCGGUAGGCACAAAGUAUUAUCGGAACAUUGGAGAGAAUUUCGGGGUAUCUUGCAAUAGCAAGAUCAACGGGGAAUGAUUGUAUGAAUGGCAAGUGUACUUGGUUAUCCACUGGGGUUUAUCGAUGGAAUGGAAUUGCAAAAGCGAUGGUACAAAGUAUCGAGGGAACAUUGGAGAGUAACUUUGGAAUCUUCUAGUGCAUCAAGCGAUCAUGUGUAUCGAGUGGCUCUUCAGGAGGAAGUAGUUACGAGAACCUAGAGUUAGAGUUAGUAAAACCAUUUAACCCGAGUAGAAGGGAGAUAAGAGUCCCAGAGCAUAGACGAGGAAUAAAAGAUCAUAAUACCACCCAAUGGCGACGUGGGCCCAUAGGCCACACAGCCAUGUUAGUAAAGGUUUUGCAAUGACUAGACUCAACUUCGGCCAAGGAGUUGGAAAGGGGGAUUCCUACAGGCAGUCGGCUCUAAUACCAACUUGUGACGCCCCCGAUUCAAUCGUACACUAAUCAUGCACGCAAACGUGUACGAUCAAGAUCAGGGACUCACGGGAAGAUAUCACAACACAACUCUAAAAACAUAAAUAAGUCAUACAAGCAUCAUAGUACAAGCCAGGGGCCUCGAGGGCUCGAAUACAAGUGCUCGAUCAUAGACGAGUCAGCGGAAGCAACAAUAUCUGAGUAUAGACAUAAGUUAAACAAGUUUGCCUUAACAAGGCUACCACAAACUGGGAUACAGAUCGAAAGAGGCGCAGGCCUCCUGCCUGGGAUCCUCCUAAACUACUCCUGGUCGUCGUCAGCGGCCUGCACGUAGUAGUAGGCACCUCCGGUGUAGUAGGAGUCGUCGUCGACGGUGGCGUCUGGCUCCUGGGCUCCAACAUCUGGUUGCGACAACCAGGAAGAGAGGAAAGGGGGGGGGGAGGGGACAAAAGCAACCAUGAGUACUCAUCCAAAGUACUCGCAAGCAAGGAUCUACACUACUUAUGCAUGGGUAUCUGUGUAAAGGGGCAAUAUCGGUGGACUGAACUGUAGAAUGCCAGAAUAAGAGGGGGAUAACUAAUCCUAUCAAAGACUAAGCUUCUGGCAGCCUCCAUCUUGCAGCAUGUAGAAGAGACUAGAUGGUAAGUUCACCAAGUAGCAUCGUAUAGCAUAAUCCUACCCGACGAUCCUCUCCUCGUCGACCUGUGAGAGAGCGAUCACAGGGUUGUAUCUGGCACUUGGAAGGGUGUGUUUUAUUAAGUAUCCGGUUCUAGUUGUCAUAAGGUCAAGGUACAACUCUGAGUCGCCUGUUAUCGUGGACACGGCUAUUCGAAUAGAUCAACUUCCCUGCAGGGGUGCACCACAUUACCCGACACGCUCGAUCCCUCUGGCCGGGCACACUUUCCUGGGUCAUGUCCGGCCUCGGGAGAUCAACACGUCUCAGCCCCACCUAGGCUCAACAGAGAGGUCAGCACGCCGGUCUAAAUCCUAUGCGCGCAGGGGUCUGGGCCCAUCGCCUAUUGCACACCUGCAUGUUGCGUACGCGGCCGGAAGCAAACCUAGCCCCCUUAAUACAAGCGCGGGCUUACGGUCCAAUGCGGCGUGCGCCGCUCAGUCGCUGACGUCAAAAAGAGCAUCGGCUGAUACCACGACGCCGGUUGCCCAUAUCUUGUCCCACGUGGCGGUUAGUGCGUAUAAGGUCAACGACCCAACUCAGAUCAAAUACCAAGAUCUCGUUAAGCGUGUUAUUAUGAAGUAACCACGGACGCCGACCAGGGCCAGCCCACCUCUCUCCUAGGUGGUCUCAACCUGCCCUGUCGCUCUGCCACAAAGUAACAGUCAGGGGCCGUCAGGAACCCAGGCCCACCUCUACCGGGAUGGAGCCACCUGUCCUUUCAGCCCCCACAUCGGAAUCAUUUGCGGGUACUCUACGAGCCAACCCGAGUUUAGUCACCACAUGAAUCAUAUAAUGUAUAUAAGUAUAUACCUGUGAUCACCUCCCGAGUGAUCACGGCCCGAUAGUAUAGCACGACAGACGGACAAAUAUGUAGGGCCACUGAUGGAAUACUAGCGUCCUAUACUAAGCAUUUAGGAUUGCAGGUAAGGGUAACAACUGUAGCAACAAUGACAGGCUAUGCAGCAGAAUAGGAUUAAGCGAAAGCAGUAACAUGCUACACUACUCUAAUGCAAGUAGUAGAGAGAAGGAAUAGGCGAUAUCUGGUGAUCAAGGAGGGGGGGGGGGGGCUUGCCUGGAAGCUCAGCUGAGAAGGAGGGGUCGUCAACACCGUAGUCGUACUGGGUAGCGGUGGCGUCGGUCUCGGUGUCUAACGAGAGAAGAGGGGGAAGAAACAAUAAAUAUAAUGCAAACAUAAGGAUGACGGUGCAUGACAUGACAAUGAGCGUUGCUAGAUGUGCCCUAACGCGGUAGUAGGUGAUACCGGCGACGCGUUUUCGGACAGAUGAACCAGAGGGGAAAGUUGCGUGUUUGCUAUGCUACGGGUGUGUGGCGGGCGAACGGGCUGAGUAUCCGGAUUCCUCUCGUCGUUCUGAGCAACUUUCAUGUACAAAGUAUUUUCAUCCGAGUUACGGAUUAUUUUAUAUGAAUUUUUAAAGUUUUAAAUCAUUUCUAAAUUAUUAUUAUUAAUUUAAUUUGAAAUUAGUAUUAUUGCAUCAGCAUGACGUCAGCAGUCAACAGAGGUGUUGACUGGGGUCAAACUGACAUGUGGGGCCAGGGGGCUGGGUUGACCGAGUCAAAUGUCCAGUCAGCAGUUGACUAGUCAACUGUUGACUGGUCAAACCUGGGUAGUGGGGCCCAGGUGUCAUUCUCACAGUUUUAAGAUUUUAUUUUUUAAAAGAUAUUUAAAGGUGGGUCUACCUGUAAGUGUUAGGGGGGUACUUAAAUUAGUUUACAUUUAAACUAAGUUAAUGGCCCACGGUUCAGUGUCAUUUUAGGGGUUUUUAGUUAGUGGCUAAUGAUGCCUCGUCGGCAUGUUAAGCCGUCUAACCGCCUGGGUUAACAGGGGACGGCGGCGACGACCAUCCGGCCAACUGCAGCGUCAGCCGGACGCGUGACUAGGGGUGCCUGAAAGCCCUCGGCGCGGCGCAGCGGAUGGUGGUCGCGGUAGGUGCGAGGGCAGUCUGUUGCGGUGCCGGCGUCGAGGCGAGCGGCGGCCGGAGCGGGCGGCAGCGGCAGCCGCAGAUGGCAAGGCGAGCAGCGACACGGUAGGGGGGAAGCAGUGGUAGGCGGCGAAGCGCGAGAGCAGUGCGCGGGGCUGCGGUGGCGAUGCGAGCCAGGGGGAGCGACGACGCGGCCGGCGCGGUUGUGGCGCGCGCGAUCCGCGGUCGGGAGGUGCGAGUGGCUUGGCCGGGGCACGAUCUCGUGCGCAGUGGCGNNNNNNNNNNNNNNNNNNNNNNNNNNNNNNNNNNNNNNNNNNNNNNNNNNNNNNNNNNNNNNNNNNNNNNNNNNNNNNNNNNNNNNNNNNNNNNNNNNNNNNNNNNNNNNNNNNNNNNNNNNNNNNNNNNNNNNNNNNNNNNNNNNNNNNNNNNNNNNNNNNNNNNNNNNNNNNNNNNNNNNNNNNNNNNNNNNNNNNNNNNNNNNNNNNNNNNNNNNNNNNNNNNNNNNNNNNNNNNNNNNNNNNNNNNNNNNNNNNNNNNNNNNNNNNNNNNNNNNNNNNNNNNNNNNNNNNNNNNNNNNNNNNNNNNNNNNNNNNNNNNNNNNNNNNNNNNNNNNNNNNNNNNNNNNNNNNNNNNNNNNNNNNNNNNNNNNNNNNNNNNNNNNNNNNNNNNNNNNNNNNNNNNNNNNNNNNNNNNNNNNNNNNNNNNNNNNNNNNNNNNNNNNNNNNNNNNNNNNNNNNNNNNNNNNNNNNNNNNNNNNNNNNNNNNNNNNNNNNNNNNNNNNNNNNNNNNNNNNNNNNNNNNNNNNNNNNNNNNNNNNNNNNNNNNNNNNNNNNNNNNNNNNNNNNNNNNNNNNNNNNNNNNNNNNNNNNNNNNNNNNNNNNNNNNNNNNNNNNNNNNNNNNNNNNNNNNNNNNNNNNNNNNNNNNNNNNNNNNNNNNNNNNNNNNNNNNNNNNNNNNNNNNNNNNNNNNNNNNNNNNNNNNNNNNNNNNNNNNNNNNNNNNNNNNNNNNNNNNNNNNNNNNNNNNNNNNNNNNNNNNNNNNNNNNNNNNNNNNNNNNNNNNNNNNNNNNNNNNNNNNNNNNNNNNNNNNNNNNNNNNNNNNNNNNNNNNNNNNNNNNNNNNNNNNNNNNNNNNNNNNNNNNNNNNNNNNNNNNNNNNNNNNNNNNNNNNNNNNNNNNNNNNNNNNNNNNNNNNNNNNNNNNNNNNNNNNNNNNNNNNNNNNNNNNNNNNNNNNNNNNNNNNNNNNNNNNNNNNNNNNNNNNNNNNNNNNNNNNNNNNNNNNNNNNNNNNNNNNNNNNNNNNNNNNNNNNNNNNNNNNNNNNNNNNNNNNNNNNNNNNNNNNNNNNNNNNNNNNNNNNNNNNNNNNNNNNNNNNNNNNNNNNNNNNNNNNNNNNNNNNNNNNNNNNNNNNNNNNNNNNNNNNNNNNNNNNNNNNNNNNNNNNNNNNNNNNNNNNNNNNNNNNNNNNNNNNNNNNNNNNNNNNNNNNNNNNNNNNNNNNNNNNNNNNNNNNNNNNNNNNGAGUGGGGGGUUCGUGGGUUAGGGUUUCGGGCUAGCGGGUGUUAUGUGGGGAGUGGGUGGCCGGUUGGGCCGGCGAGGCGGGAUGGUGGCCUGCUGGGCCGAAGCCCAGUGAGGGAGGGGGGUCCUUUCCCCCCUUUUUUGUUUGUUUUGUUUUCUUUACUUUUUCUUAUAUUUCUUUUCUGUUUUAAUUUUAUUUCCCAAUUUGUUUUAGUUUGGUAAAAUAUUCAAUUAGCACCUAACAUAGUAACAUUAAUUAUACCACUGCCACAAUAACUUUCGCACCUAGCUAAAUAGUUUAGUAUUUUGUAAAAUAUAUUAGGAGUAUAACUAAUUGUUUUUGCUGUUGUUUUAAUCACUUUAGGGUAUUGAAUUAUUUUAUAAAUAUGUUGUUUCUCCACCAAUAAUAUCCAUAAUUUAUUUGUCACAUUAAGAACAUUUUAGUUUUGAAUUUUGUAAACUUUAAUUGUUUGACUUGAUUUUAAAUUUGAAAUUUGAACGGGAUUUGAAUCAUCGCAAGAUUAACAACUGUAAUCGUGGUGACGUGGCAUCAUUAGCGGAGGGUUACUGUAGCAUAACUAUCCAGGCAUCACAUACUGGUUUGAUAACCUUGGUCUCAUCACUAAGGGAAAUACCUACCAUAGCUGUGUUGCAUCAUCCCUGCCUCUUUGGGGAAAUACUGACGUAGCUUCAAGCCACAUCAGUAUAACCUUGCCAAGUUAGAGCAUACACCUCGAUGGGGGAAUAGGACUGGUCAUCUGUCUCUGAAUCCAUCUCCGAGGAGCUAUUGAGACCCAGCAAGAGAUCUGCUUCGACAGGUAGCACUGUCUGCUAUGAAGACCUUGUUUUCACUCCAGAUUUUUCCAUCACCCACUCGAAUGGCUGAUUCACAUGAAGAGUAGUUUAAUGUACAAACAUUGUCGGCAAAUGGAAAUGUAAUGAAGAAAAGGAUUGGCAAGAUAUCAUUCAAAUAUAUGAUGCCCGGUUAAACAGGAUGGCAUUGCAUAUUUCACAUACAUUAUGGCUGCCUAAAAGAGAUGAGACUACAUAAUUCUCAUAUAUGAUAUAGAAACUAAACAUGUGGCAUUAUAGAACAUGUCUAAACUAAGCAAAUGACAUAUAUGAUGUCGAAAGUAGGCACUGCAAGGCAACAUAUGCAUGAUAUGACCAACAUCAUCAUGCCAAGUUAGAGCAAACACCUUGGGGGGUAAAUAGGAGUGGUCAGCUUUGUCUGAAGCUGCCUCAGAAUAGAUAUCUUCCUCUGGAUUACAAUCUGGAGGGGGGGGGGAGGGUUUGCCAUUGAACCCACCAUGGAGUGAUGUCUGCAUGACAUUGUAUUGCCGAUGCAAAACUCUUCUCUUUUUCUCUACAUGUUUAGCAUGACUGUGUACAAUUUGUGACAUGCAUAUGAAAAAAAUAUAGUAAAAUUAUGUAAGGAGAGCAUGCAAAAAUCUAGAGUGAUGGUAACAACCAGUGGAUGGAUCCAACAAUAAUGAUAGCAGGCCGAUGAUAGCUUUAAUUUAAUAAAAAGACAGAUGAUGAUUGCUUUACUAUUUGUUUCCCACCCAAGAUGAACAACAUAGGCAUACCCUAGGUGAACCAGAUAAUAGAUAGAGAUUCUAUUCAUUGCUGCCCUCGAUAUGUGCCCCACAAGUAAUUUUAAAACUCAAGUUUGAACAUUAAUUUGGACCUGACUUGGAGUCUAAAAGGUGAACAGGACAAUAAAGUAGCAGGUAAUAUUAAGCAAUGCAUAACAUAAGCAGAAAUAAAAGAGUACAAUCUCUCUUGUGGACCCGUGUACUCCUCAGGUUCAUCUGCUGAGUCGAUGAUGGUGAUGCAGUUGCGAUGGGUGCCGGCGGCAGGGAAGGAGAUCUGAGGCGGCGAAAGACAGUCAGGAGUCGUGAUGUCUGGUUUGGUGGAUGCUUCUGUCGAUGGAGCAGCUCAGGUGAGGUGGACGACGUCGCGGCAAGAGCAGGACAAACGACAGAAAGUUUUCUUUGACACAUAUCUGUAACUGAAGUAAUUCUAUAAGGGCUCCUUUGGCUUGCAGGAUUCUAAAAACUCAGGGAUAGGAAAAACAUCGGAAUAGGAUAGGAAUGCACGUGGGAAACAAAGUAUUUGUAAACACAAGAUUUCUGUCAACUUGGGUGUUUGGUUCACAGGAAUUGGAAGAGUAGAGGAAUGCAAAGAAACAUGGCCAAAUUAAAGUGAAACCUUAUGAAAGCGUGUAUAGUUAGAAUGUUAUUCUGCCACUAAUACACUUGGUCUUGUUUUCAUGCAUGGGAUUUUGAAAAGUAGGUCGAGGUGGAUGUUUUGCUCCAUUCCUUUCGACGAAGUGCAUGAAUAAUUGAAUAGUAGAGUGCCAUAGGAAAAUUUCCUAUUGUAUGUUUUUCCUUCACUUUUUUCCUUUGAACCAAAAUAGCCCUAAUGGAUCGACAUGAAUGUAGAGUAAUAAGUGAUGCGACAAGUGUACAACUUCUUUGCCAUAGCCGUGUCGACCUCAGCAUCAUUGGGUUGGUCAUUGAAGAAGUUGUGGCAGGGGUGUCUGUCGAAGGCGUGGAGGAAGAUCUGAGUCGUCUAUAGACGGCGUCCAGGGCACUGCUCUGUUGUGAUGGGUUGUUUCGUCGUUGGAGCAGCUCCGGCGAGCCAUAGGACGCCGGGGCUGAAGCAGUACAAGACAGACAUCGUUAAUCUCAAGUGGGAUUCUAAUAGCAUCUCUAGUAGAUGGUGUAAAAUACAUUACCAAAAAGUGAUAGAUGUAAAAUUUACAUCACCAAAAAACACCUGACUACAACAAAUGAGGUAAAAACUAUUGACUCUGAACUUAACCGUCGAAACUGAAAUUUACUGUGGAAUCUGAAUGUUACUGUCGAAACUGAACGCACUGGUAGCAGAGAGGCACUUCACAUGUAGUUUAGGCCGCUCGAGCACUAGUAGUAGAGAAACUAUGAUCUAAAUCAGUAGGCGAUCGACGGGGAACACGGUGGCAGAUAGCAGCCGGAGCAGCAGCGCCUGGAGGAGCACCGCGAACUAGAGCCAGAGCAGCAACUCGUGUAGCUGCAGUAGCCCGUGUACUAACAUCAGCAGUGCAAGCGAGAGCAAGAGUAGAGUAGCAACAUGAGCAAGGGGAGAGCAGAACAGCAGCGUGACUGAGCGAGAGCCGGAGCAGCAGCAGUAGCACGAGCGAGCGAGAGCCGGAGCAGCAGCGGCUGAUCCGGCUGGUAUGGACGCUGCCGCCGAAGGGGCCUCGCACUGGGGGAGAGCCGCUGUAACGCCCACGAUGCGGCUAUAUCUCCCACGUGUCGAGGCACGACUUAGAGGCAUAACCGCAUAGUGGUUUUGUCGCAAGAAGGGUCAUCUUCACACAAUCCCAUGUAAUGAACAAGAAUGGGAUAAAGAGUUGGCUUACAAUCGCCACUUCACACAGUACAUAAAUAUAAAUCAUACAUCAUCCAAAAUACAAACAUAUAGACCGACUACGGUCAAGAUCCAAAUAAAAAUAAGAUAACCCCAAAUGCUAGAUCCCCGAUCGUCCCAACUGGGCUCCACUACUGAUCAUCAGGAAAAGACACAUAGUAACGACCACGUUCCUCGUCGAACUCCCACUUGAGAUCAACCCCAUCAACUGCACUGGCAUCGUCGGCACCUGCAACUGUUUUGGUAGAAUCUGUGAGUCACAAGGACUCAGCAAUCUCACACCCGCGAGAUCAAGACUAUCUAAGCUUAUAGGAAAAGAAGGUGUAGUGAGGUGGAGCUGCAGCGGCAAAAGCAUAUAUGGUGGCUAACUUGCGCAAAUGAGAGCGAGAAGAGAAGCAACGGAACGGACGUCAUCUAGCAAUGACCAAGAAGUGAUCCUGAACACCUACUUACGUCAUACAUAACUCAAACCGUGUUCACUUCCCGGACUCCGCCGAGAAGAGACCGUCACGGCUACACACGCAGUUGAUGUAUUUUAAUUGGGUCAAGUGACAAGUUAUCUACAACCGGACAUUAACAAAUUCCCAUCUGCCUCAUAACCGCGGGCACGGCUUUCGAAAGAUAAUACCCUGCAGGGGUGUCCCAACUUAGCCCAUCAUAAGCUGUCACGGUCAACGAAGGAUAAACCUUCUCCCGGAAAGACCCGAUCAGUCUCGGAAUCCUGAUUUACAAGACAUUUCGACAAUGGUAAAACAAGACCAGCAAAGCCGCCCGAAUGUGCCGACAAAUCCCGAUAGGAGCUGCACAUAUCUCGUUCUCAGGGCACACCGGAUAAGUCAAGCUAUGAGUAAAACCAGACCUCGAGUUUCCCCGAGGUGGCCCCGCANNNNNNNNNNNNNNNNNNNNNNNNNNNNNNNNNNNNNNNNNNNNNNNNNNNNNNNNNNNNNNNNNNNNNNNNNNNNNNNNNNNNNNNNNNNNNNNNNNNNNNNNNNNNNNNNNNNNNNNNNNNNNNNNNNNNNNNNNNNNNNNNNNNNNNNNNNNNNNNNNNNNNNNNNNNNNNNNNNNNNNNNNNNNNNNNNNNNNNNNNNNNNNNNNNNNNNNNNNNNNNNNNNNNCCGGGGGUUAAAAUAAGAUGACCCUCGGGCUCGCGAAAACCCGGGGGAAAAGGCUUAGGCGGCAAAUGGUAAAACCAAAGUUGGGCCUUGCUGGAGGAGUUUUAUUCAAGGCGAACUGUCAAGGGGGUCCCAUAAAUCACCCGACCGUGUAAGGAACGCAAACUCAAGGAACAUAAUCCCGGUAUAUCAGUAACUAGGGCGGCAAGAGUGGAACAAAACACCAGGCAUAAGGCCGAGCCUUCCACCCUUUACCAAGUAUAUAUAGAUGCAUUAAUUAAAUAAGAGAUAUUGUGAUAUCCCAACAUAUCCAUGUUCCGACAUGGAACAAACUUCAACUUCACCUGCAACUAGCAACGCUAUAAGAGGGGCUGAGCAAAAGCGGUAACUUAGCCAAACAACGGUUUGCUAGGAAAGGAUGGUUAGGGGCUGACAUGGAAAAAUGGGAGACAUGAUAUAGCAAGUGAUAGGUAGCGUAGCAUGGCAAUAGAGCGAACAACUAGCAAAGCAAAGAUAGAAGUGAUUUCGAGGGGUGGUCAUCUUGCCUGCAAGGUUCUCAGAGUUGUCGAAAGCUUGAUCCUCGUAAGCGUACUCAACAGGUUCCUCGUUCACGAACUCGUCUCCCGGCUCUACCCAAGACAAGAACACAAGCAACGGAACCACAAUCAAUCACGAGGAAUGCACAAGCAACAUGAUGCAAAACAUGUAUGAUAUGCGAUGCAUAUGCGUGCUCCGGAAGGAAAAUGAUGAACAAGGCAGUAACUUGGCAAACCAAGCAUCCCACUGGAAAGAUGAGAUGAUUUUGGUCAAAAUCAAUAUAAAGAUCACCGGAAAUGGAUGCACGGUUUGCAAAUGGCAAGCAAAACAAGAAUGACACGAAUCUGCGAUUAACAGCAUGAUGGCACUUAAAAUGCAACAAGUAGCAAUGCUACAGCACUCCAACAUAGCAACAAAGCAUAUGAAAGUAAUCUACAGGAGAUGCUUGACAAAAGAAGAACACUGAGCUACGGCUAGAUCACAACAUAUCAAGCUCAAACAAGCAUGGCAAAAGUGCAAAAGAUAACAGGAUCACAGACAGUGAAAAACUGGACAUGGCAGAAAACAGCAUCAGGUAGCAAUGUUCAGAGCACGAAAUUAACAUGCUACAGGAACUUAACAUAGCAAAACAAGGCAUGGCAGUGUUCUACUAAAUGCAUAUGACAAAAGUCCCUUACUGACCAUAAGCCAAAAAGGACCAUAAGAUAUGAUGGCAAGCAUGUAAACAUAGCAAGUUUCGUUAUCAGGUUCCAGACUUCGCAGAAAACAGAGCAUGACAGAAAUAAUAAUAUGUAGGCCUGUUUAUGAGCUUGAUGCACUCACUACAGAGCAAUGCAUGACAAAACUAGCAUACCUACAGCAAGUUGGCAUGUUUAUGAAGCUAACCAUGGUAAGAACACAAGCAUAGCAUGUAUGGAUCAACUACAAUAAGCUUGGCAAAAUUGCAUAUCAUGUUAAGAAUCUGCCAGAAAUAUUUUAUAGCAAAAGUAGAGCAAGAUUGAGUCAUGCUAUGGCACUCCAUAAUUGCAAACAAUUGCAGGAAUGGAUUAAUUACAACAAUAGCUACACAACAUUCUUACUGAACAUCUCCAAAAUAUGCAUGGAUCUCUCUGUAGCAUCAAGUUUACAUGGCAAGAAAAUAACAGCAGACAAGGACUUGGAGAAAUCACUAAGUCCCUGAAAUCAGAAACAUUACGGGGCCUACUUUGCAUGCUUGUGCUUGUCACCACAGAUAUCACAAAAAUACAUGGCAUAUACCACUGGAAAUAUGGCAUGGCCUACUUCAAAACACAUAUAGAGCUCAUGCCCAUAAGAUGCACAGAAUUAAAGAUACAAAAAUGACAAAUCUCCAAGUUCUGUUAAGAACCAGCAGAUAACAGCAACUAGCCCUCUUCCAACAGAGAUUUGGGCAUCAAUAUGACCUCUAAUGAACAUGGUGCAAUUGAACAAAAUGAAGAGCAUCACGAGACGAACAAUUUGACAUAUUACACGCGCGAAUUGGAGCUACAUGCAAGAAGUUAUGGAGCUGUGAACAGAGGCAUAUGCUGUGAAAAUUAAGGACUUAGAGAAAUUAGGGGGGGCGAGAAAGUCAACGCUACAGUGAUUUGCCGAUCGGAUAUGGGACAGAGCUCGGGCUCUGCCCGCCGGCGACGAAGGAGAGGAAGGCGAGGCGGGGCGGCGGCCGUAGGGAGGAGGAAGGGGACGUCGACGGCGGCGGCUCCUCGGGCAGCGCGCCCCGGGCGGCGGCGNNNNNNNNNNNNNNNNNNNNNNNNNNNNNNNNNNNNNNNNNNNNNNNNNNNNNNNNNNNNNNNNNNNNNNNNNNNNNNNNNNNNNNNNNNNNNNNNNNNNNNNNNNNNNNNNNNNNNNNNNNNNNNNNNNNNNNNNNNNNNNNNNNNNNNNNNNNNNNNNNNNNNNNNNNNNNNNNNNNNNNNNNNNNNNNNNNNNNNNNNNNNNNNNNNNNNNNNNNNNNNNNNNNNNNNNNNNNNNNNNNNNNNNNNNNNNNNNNNNNNNNNNNNNNNNNNNNNNNNNNNNNNNNNNNNNNNNNNNNNNNNNNNNNNNNNNNNNNNNNNNNNNNNNNNNNNNNNNNNNNNNNNNNNNNNNNNNNNNNNNNNNNNNNNNNNNNNNNNNNNNNNNNNNNNNNNNNNNNNNNNNNNNNNNNNNNNNNNNNNNNNNNNNNNNNNNNNNNNNNNNNNNNNNNNNNNNNNNNNNNNNGACGACGACGGUGACGUGGCGGCCCCGGAUUGGCUGCGGGCGCGGUUGCGAUUUCGUCCGGCGGCGCUGGACGCGUCCGCCCGCGGAGAGGAGUUUUUUUAGGGUUUCGGGGACUGCGAAUGUUAUUUCGGAAUGCUCACAUAUUUAUAGGUAGAGGGAGCUAGGAGGCUCCAAAUGAGGUGCGGUUUUCGCCCACACGAUCAUGAUCGAACGACCUAGAGCAUGGAAGAGAGUUUGGUGGGUGUCGUGGAAUUUUCACGGCAGAUGUCCUCAAGCUAGGACUUAGUCGUGGAGCCAUCGCCGCUAGGAAGCUUGAAGGGGUUAAACGGGACAAGGAACACAAGGGUUUAUACUGGUUCGGCCCCUUACGGUGAAGGUAAAAGCUACGUCCAGUUGAGGUGGUAUUGAUAAGGGUUUCGAUGACCAGGGAGCUAAACCGCUAUGCCUGGCUCUCGAUGAGAUCUUUCUUGUCCUUAAACCGCUGCCGGGUCGUCCCUUUAUAUAGGGAGGCUGACACCCAGCAGCUCUCAGAGUCCCGGCCGGCUCAUAAGAGUGUCCGGCUCGGACUCUCAACUAUUCUUGCCUUAUACUACAAGCUCUACCAUAAUGAUGAUUGUAACUACGUGCCUUAAGCCAUAUCCGGGUCUUAAGCCCAUCUUUGGCCCACCGUUUUCAAGCUUGGCGCCGGGCUUCUGGCGAUGACCAUUAUGAGUAACCCGGCCCCUCCUGGCGGGUGACUCUAAGGUUUAUAUCCUCAACAUUAGGCCCCAGAUUGAUUUGAGCCGGCUCAUGUCAAUCUUCAAUUCUUUCGACAGAAAUUCUCCGGCUUACACUUGUGUGAAGGCCAUAACCCGGCGUGACGUUAUCCCCUGGACUCCGGGUAAUCCGCCGUGACGUCAUCUUCCAUUAAGUCCAUUUUUACUCCACUAUAUCCGCAACGGAUCUUAUCUUUACUGCCAUCCCAAAAAUCGAGGCGUUUCGUGGGGAGAUAACCACGCCGUGGUCUCCUCGUUUCUCGCGCCCACUUAUGAGCUCGCCCUUAUAAGUAGUCCGACCCUAGGGUCUUUCCAUUCUCCCCCUUCUGUCGUCUCCUUCCUCUCGCUGCUCCCGUGCUGCCCGAGCUCCGCCGCCGCCGCCGCCGCAACAGAGCUCUGCAUCCUCGUCGUCCUUGGCCGCUGCAUCACCCUGAACCGUCCAGAGAACCGCGGCGAACCCCUGCAUCUGUAAGUUCCUUCCUCCUCGUAGGAUAGAUCUACGUUAAGCUCCUGCUGUUCUUCCGUGUUCUUCGCCGUCGCCCACGAGUUCUUGGUAGUUUUCGUUUUUACUGCCUCUUCUUGAUCUUAAGAUAGCAUAGAACCAACGCGGCGGCCGUUUGGCACUCAUUUCAAAUGCAAGUAGACCUCUUUUGACUGCCUAAAGGCCCCGUUCGAGCCCAAGAACUUCCCUCGCGUCUGUUUUUAGGUCUAGAAACUUUCCUUUUAGUCGACCGUUUUGAUCCAAAUUAUUUACUGCAAUGUGUGAAAACUGUUUUCACCACACUUAGUAAAAAAUUGCACCCGUUGAGUCAUGGCGGUUUACAUUUCCGGUUUAAAGAAACCACGCGCCGUAGGAUCUUCCGGCUCAAAGGAGGCCAUGCGCCAUAAAAUUUUCCGGCUUAUCUGUGACAAGGUCGUAGACAAUCGAAUUACUUCUUAAUACCCCCAGCGGCUUAGAUAACCCAAUGCAAUUAGAUAUAUGUCAUUAGGCCCCUCCAUAAGCCGCCACUUUAACACUGAACUGUAAAUUUCCUCCGGCUUAUAAUUAAACCGGGCAUGUUUCCUUUUAUCAUAGGCUUCCGACUUUCACCAUGCCUCCCAAAGCUCCUAAAGCACCCAUCACUUGCAAUUGGAUGAGGUCCAACGUCACCGACGAGACCUUAAUGGAUUUCAUGAAGUCAGGUUACCUGCCCAAAAAGGACGUCAUGUCCUACCGUGCCCCCGACCCAUCAGAGGAGAGACCACAGCCGAGGGACGGGGAAGUGGUAGUUUUUGCGGACCAUAUGAGCCGGGGCUUCGCACCGCCCGGCUCAAAGUUCUUCAGAGAUGUGCUGAAUUUCUUCGACCUGCGGCCUCAAGACAUAGGACCCAACUCGGUGUCAAAUAUAUGCAAUUUCCAAGUGUUCUGUGAGGUCUACCUUGGAGAAGAACCCAGCCUGCUGCUCUUCAGAGAGCUCUUCUACCUGAAUCGUCAGAACGAGUGCGCCAACGGGCCAAGCUUGGAACUUGGUGGCAUCUCCAUUCAGCGGCGGAGAGACUGCCUUUUCCCUUACGCCGAGCCACCAAGUCACCCAAAGGACUGGAACCAGACGUGGUUCUAUUGCCAAGACACGUCGCCGGCUGAUGAGAGCCCGCUGCCCGGCUUUCACCCUUCACGUCUGGAACCAACUCACCCUCUGUCUGACAAGUUAACUCAAGUGGAGCGCCAACCUCUGCUCCCCACCAUCAACAAGAUCAAGGCUCUUCUGGGCAAUGGUCUCAACGGAAUUGAUCUGGUCCGGGUCUGGAUCUCAUGGCGGGUGAUCCCCUUGAGCCGCCGCACCGGCUUAAUGUGUGAAUACACAGGCCGGAAAGAUGACCCCCUGCGACACAGCCGCAACGAUCUUCCUGAAGAUGUGGCUGAAGACAUGACCAAGGCCCUUUUAAAUGAGAGCUUGGCAGACUGCGGGAGGACCGGGUUAGCCCCCUUCUGCAAGACCAACCCAGCCCCAGCGGUUAGCCGCUGAACUGAACAUCUUAUCUUCUUCUGUAGAUAACCUUCAUCUGAAUCUUUAAGAAAUCAUCAUUGUAUUUUUCAGGCUGAUGACAAAUUUUGGAAGGUCAAAUAUGACCAUGAGGCGGCCAAGAAGGCUAGGAAGGCUAAGAAAGCUGCCAAGAGAGCCGCUCCCCGCAAGAAGGGAAGUAGGCCUACUGCUUCAGAGCUGCUGCAACUAAGCGACAGCUCCGAGUCAGAGGUAACCCCUGAACCUGUAAUCUCUUGUUGUAUUUAUUUUGUAUUUCUGUCCACCUUAUCAAUACUGUUCAUCAACAGGAUGACACCGGAGCAAGUAACCCGGUGGUUGAAGAGGUAAUGAUACUUUCCUCCGACUCGGAGCCCUUGCCAAGGCUGAAAGUCCGAAGGGUAACCCGGAAAGUAAGAUUUUCACAUCCUUUAGCUUAUCAAGAUCCUCAAUUUCUUUUGAAGCAACAGAUUCAUGAGAGCCGGCGGCACACCCGGACCAACAAGGACGCCGACCUCUCUUCCGGUUUACCUGACGCGUCGAGGAAACGCCAGAACGAGGUGAUCUCAAACUUGUACCCUUUUCAUCCUUUGGCGGGUGUUAUACGUCAACCGCUCAACUCUUCUGACUCAAUUUAUCAGGAAACUUCCCCCUCUUCUGGCAACUCUAUGCAGUCGAACCUGCCGGCUUUCAAGACCGUGCCCGGGUAAUGAUGAUCAUCUCAUGUUGUACUUGUCUUUACUUACACUUUUGUGCUUAACCUUUUUGUCUUUUCAGUGCCCAGGCAAAACUCACCAAGAAGGCGAAGAAGAACAAGCCGGUCGAAGAGCCGGACUUGCCUGAACCGGAGGUAGCAGCUCAAGAACCGCCAGCUGCCUCCGCUCCCGAAGCCACCGCUCCAACCGACAAGGCAACUGCAGAAGCUUCUGCUAACCCGGAGACCUCCAGCUCGGCUCAGCCGGCCAAUGACCCGGACGUGGUAAUCACCCGGACGGAGUUUGUUGAGCCGGGGAGACCUACUGCACUGGCCAAGUGCUCUGCCAAGGAGGAGUUGCUACAGCACCGCCGGGUUAAUCUAGACCUCACCGACUACGCCAACCUGAACAUCGGAGAGAUCGUCUCCGGCUAUGUCAGCCAAGUGCACAAGAGCCGGGAUGUAGAGAUCAACAUGGUGAACCAGAUUCAGCAGAAGUCUGAGGUACUACUCUUCUUUCUCCUUGCUUACUGCAUAGUUAUCUUGUUAUUCUUACCAUACUCUAGCCCCCAAGUCUACGACUUAUGAUAAAAUAUGUUGUAGACUUAAGUUCCGGCUUACUCGCUUGAACCGGCAAUUUGUAAAUAGAAACGUUCGAUAUGCAUUAGCCCCCAAGUGCCAAGUGUCUUUGCUUGGAAAGUGCUUGGGACUUUGAAAUUGCGUAAUAACUAUUCAUCCUAUAACCCGAAAAUUAUGCAGGCUGCUUGCAAGAAGUUUGAAGCUGACAUCUCCGAUCUGAAUACCUGCCUGAGGACGCAAGAAACUGAGACCCGGAAGGCUAAUGCCAAAUUUGUGUCCAGUAUUGCUGCGCAAGAAAAGCUGAAGACGGACUUUGAUGCUGAACGGAAAGCUUGGGCCUUAGAGAAGGCUACUCUGGUGAACCGGGCCGAACAGGCGGAGAGGGCUCUGACAGAGAAGACCGCCGAACUCUCCGGCUUAAAGUGCCAAGUGUCCCAGAUGGUUGCCACAAUCUUCGGUAAGUCAUUCCACCGGCUUUCAUCCAGUUCAUAAUUUUUAUGUCUCAUAACCCAUCAUUGCCGGCGGCUUUAUCUUACUCUGUUACACAGGUCCCAGAAGCGCCAACCUCAACCAAAGUGUGGUAACCAAGUUGAAGGCCGUGUAUACCCUGGUGGAGCAAGUCUACACCGGGUCACAGCGUGCCUUGGCUGUGGUGGCCCUAUCCAAUGAGGUGCCGACUCACCUGGCGGAAGUUCUUCGCCGGCUUGCCGUUCUUCCCCAACGUGUCCAAGAGCUGCGGCGGGCCUCUGCAAGAGCCGGAGCCAUAGCUGCUCUGAGCCGGGCCAAGGCGUUCCUUCCAGAACUAGACCCAGCGGACAUUGCUCUGGGCUACCCCAGUUUGAAGGAAGACGGCACCCCCUUCGACCAAAGGGACUUUGCAGCCUGCGUGAAGAUCGUACGCCCGGUGGCCACUCUGAUUGGCAAUGACACGGAUCUGACUAAGUACCAGCCGGGUUAUGAUGCAGAGAAUCAGAGGAUCCCCACUCCGCGCUAUGAAGCCAUCAGCUUAGUCCCGCCGGCUCGUAAGCACACCUUUGCCCCGGAGAUUGACCCGGCCGGGUUAAUUGACGAGGAAGCCCAAUUUGAAGCUCUGAGCGGCAUUGACUGGAAGUCGUCAACUUUCUAGGUCUUGGGAACAGCCGGAGGAGCGGAGAGGGAUGAGCCAGAAAGUUCAGCUCAGCAAGCAUCGUAACUCUGCAGGCGGCUUAUUAAACAAUGCUUCACCCUUUUGGACUCGAUGAGUCUUCUAAUAGAGUAGGACCAACACUUUAACUUUGCCGUGCCAUCGUGCACGCGUUGAAUGCUGAAUUCCAUUUAAGUUAUCUCCUUUAUACCUCUCCGGGUCAUAAUUGAUCAUUCAUUUUCCUUAAUCUCAAAUAGUUGCCUUUAACUAUCCUGCAUAGAAAGACAAAUCACAAGUCUCUAGGCGGCUUACCGCACUGAGAAUCGUAGUUUUAGAUAUAUAACCCGGAAGAUGAAUCAAAAAGACUGGUCCUCAAUUAUGUCUUUGAUAUACCCGUAAUAACACAAUUACCGGCCUGCAAGCACACUGCCGGCUUAUAUAACCCGGGUAAUAAGGUUGGUACCUCAAUUCCGGUUUACCAGUAUUAAGAACGCCGAUUGUAUUCGAUGAGUACUGUAAAUCAAAGUUUAAGCCGGCAAAGUGAGACCCGCCGUGUAUACUUGAAAUAAUCAGAAGAACUUGCUAUAAAUCAGAAAAACUUAGAGGCUUCUGGUUCGAAUACGACCAGAGACCCGUCCCAAAGGGGUUAUGCUAAGAUUCGAAUGCGAUCAUAUAGCCCCCAGUGGGUGUGGCGAUGCCAAUCAAGAGGGUACCGACAGCUAUGUUCUCUUUGGUUCGAAUACGACCCAUGUUUGAACAGGAAGCCCCCAAAUGAUCUUAAGAAUUGUUUAACGACGCUGAUUCGAAUGCGAUCCACGUCGGUUCCCAAAGGGGUUAAACUAUGAUUCAAAUAUGAUCAAAGAAAACUCCCCAAUGAGCUCGGCACUUUGCCAAUCAAAUGGGUAUCGACAUCCAUGUUCUCUUUGGUUCGAAUACGACCUAUGUUUGAACAGGAAGCCCCCAAGUGACUAUAUUGUGUAUGGCUAGAUUCAAAUACGAUCAUAAGCCGGACCCUCCUUCAAAUUAUCAUAUGAUCUUGUAAUGAAAAUAACACGUUUAUCUUUGGAGGAGAAAAAAGGACAGAGGUCCUGCUUUAUUGCUUAUCAUAAUAUAUACAUGGCUUAGGGAAAUAUGUACAUUAUGAGAGCCAGUGGCUCAAGUGUAAUAAGGCCGAAGCUGAGCUAUGUUCCACGGCCGACGGGUCUCUUCCUCCGACUUACGUGAAUCUUUGUGCUCCCGAAUGUCAAUGAGGUAAUAUGACCCGUUGUGCAAAUUCUUGCUGACCACAAAGGGCCCUUCCCAAGGCGGGGAUAGCUUGUGCGCAUUUGUUUGAUCUUGGAUGAGCCGGAGCACCAGAUCGCCUUCCUGGAAGACCCGGGAUUUAACCCGGCGACUAUGAUAACGGCGCAGGUCCUGUUGGUAAAUCGCUGAGCGAGCUGCUGCCACAUCACGCUGUUCGUCCAACAAGUCAAGAGCAUCUUGGCGCGCCUGUUCAUUAUCCACCUCAACAUAAGCCGCCACUCGAGGCGAGUCAUGACGGAUGUCACUGGGGAGGACUGCUUCCGCUCCAUAAACCAUGAAGAAAGGUGUGAAACCUGUAGACCUGUUAGGAGUAGUGUUGAUGCUCCAUAACACGGAGGGUAACUCCUCCACCCAACAACCUGACGUCCGUUGUAAAGGGACCAAAAGCCGGGGUUUGAUGCCCUUCAGAAUCUCCUGAUUAGCCCACUCAGCUUGACCAUUGGACUGAGGAUGAGCCACUAAUGAAACAUCAAGUCGGAUAUGCUCUCGUUGACAAAACUCCUCCAUGGCGCCUUUGGAUAGAUUGGUACCAUUGUCAGUUAUAAUGCUGUGCGGAAAGCCAAAGCGAAAAAUCACCUUUUUCAUAAAUUGAACCGCCGUGGCUGCAUCACACUUGCUAACUGGCUCCGCUUCAACCCACUUGGUAAAUUUGUCAACUGCCACCAAGAGGUGGGUCUUCUUAUCCUUGGACCUUUUAAAAGGCCCAACCAUAUCAAGCCCCCAGACCGCAAAGGG
rnacentral:lncRNA from 1 species